rnacentral:lncRNA from 1 species
CUCUCCUCUGCUCUGCUCCCAGACAGAAAGAAAGAAAGAAAGAAAGAAAGAAAAGCAGAGUAGGAGGAGAAAGGGGAAGUCUUUAGGCAGGCAGCGAUGACGACCACCGCGGCAGGGUCGGAGUCGUCGUCCUCGUCGACCACGGCGGCGGCGGCGGUGCUGCCGGUGGGGUUCCGGUUCCGUCCGACGGACGAGGAGCUGGUGCGGCACUACCUCAAGGCCAAGAUCGCGGGGCGGGCGCACCCGGACCUGCUGGCGAUCCCGGACGUGGACCUGGCGGCGGUGGAGCCGUGGGACCUGCCCGCCCGCUCCGUCAUCAAGUCCGACGACCCCGAGUGGUUCUUCUUCGCCCGCCGCGACCGCCCCAAGUACCCCGGCAAGUCCUCCCGCUCCUGCCGCUCCACCGCCGCCGGAUACUGGAAGGCCACCGGCAAGGACCGCCUCAUCCGGGCGCCCGGCCCCGGCGGCUGCAGGGGGAAGGGCGCCCUCAUCGGCGUGAAGAAGACCCUGGUGUUCCACCGCGGCCGCGCCCCACGCGGCGCACGCACCCCGUGGAUCAUGCACGAGUACACCGCCACCGACCCAAACCCCCAGUCCCAGUCCCAAUCCCAAUCUCAAUCUGCAGGCCCCCAAAAUGUAACCUUCCUCUUGUUGUUCUCCUCUGCUCUGCUCUGCUUCCAUUGAUUUGAUUUGAUUUGAUUUCAGCUUAAAUAAGUAGAGGAGUAAUUCUUUCUUUCUGCCAUGCCAUGGAUGUGGAAUCAGAUACCGUUAGGUUGCAUUGCAGUCAGGCAGUCUACUCUAUUUGCAUCCAGGCGUCAAAUCAGAUAGAUACUCUGCCUCUUGUAUUGCUCUGCUCUGCUUCAGUUUCAUUUCAACUAAUCUAUUUUGUUUGUUGCUUGUUUCUCACUUAUUUAUGCCUACUAUAUAGGUAGUAUGGAUGUGAAUAUGAAUGUGCUUCCAUCUCAACUUUACAUCAGUGUUAGCAGUACCAAACUAUAAUAUUUGCAGUCAGCAGUUAGGAUAUUUAUUAUCGCUUGUAUUGCUCUGUCUGUCUGUCGAAUUGUUUUCCUCUUUAUUUCUGUAUAUAAUAGGAAGGAUGGCUUGGAAUCAUGCAUGCACACAACUUAGUCCAACAAGAUCAGAUCAUCUGCCUCUUGUACUGCUCUGCUUCAAUUUCAGUUCAGCUCAUCUAUUUUGUUUCUUCACAUAUAAGAUAUUGCAUCUCAUUCACUUGCUUGUUUCUCAAUUAUUUAUACAACUAUGGGUAUGAAUGUGCUAGCUAGCUUAAAUACGUACAAUUUGCUGUCUUGACAGGAUUUGAACACUAACUAGGAUAGGAGGACAGAGCAUACUUCCUUCCUGGCAGGAUGAAUAUGAAUAUGUUGUGUUCAAAAUAUCUUCUUCUUGUUUCUUCAGCGAUGCUUCUUUCUUUCUUCUAUGAAUAUGGAUAUGAAAUGAAUGCCCUAGCUAGCUGAGCAGCACCGUUUGCAGUCAGUCAGUAAGGUGUAGCUCACUCUAUUCUUGGGACAUAACAAUAGGACAGGGCAUACUUGCAAGAUGAUGAAACCAUGUAUAAUUAUAAUUGAGCAGUCAGUCAGUCACUAGUUGGUGUCUGUGUCGUUCGUAGGCUCUAUGUCGCUCGUCAAGUCAGUACUUGGUGCAAUAGGAAUGGCCUGUAUAUUUUGUGGUAGCUAGGGCUUAAAAAUCAUCAUUGUGCACUCAGUCAGUCAGUCAGUACCAUUGUGAAGAAAGAUAAUGUACCUCGCCUCACUCACUUCUUGACAGAAUCCUUUGUCAACUUGUCAUAACACUAGGAUCAUAGUACAUACUUGCAAGCUGAUGAAAUCAUUUAUAUAUCACUCGAUGACUGUCUUGUUAAUUUGUUUCUUCAGGAUAGCUUUGUUCUGUACCGCCUGUUCAACAAGCAGGAUGAAGAGACCCCGGCGCCCAUUUCAGGACCCCCGUCCACGUCGCCUCCAGCCAAUCCGCCGCUACAGCAAGCCGACGACACGGCCAGCGCCUCCAUGGUGGAAGACAAGGCCUCGCCAUCUGAUUCGAGCCAGCUGACCCCGACCAAUGCAACCACCGACCACUCCUCCACGGCCCAUCUUCCUGCAGCCGCCGGCGAUGCAGAGCAGACAGCGGAUCAGGUGAACUGCUUGUUUUCCCUUUCCUGAGUACAGUAUUAUCUUCAGUCUGUUCCGCCUUUCAGUUGACUGAGAAAUGUGUGUGUUUUCGUAUCCAUAAAUUAAAUUGCAGGAAGCUGCUUUUACUGCUUCGUUGGAGCAGCUUCCAGACAUACAGCUACAGGCCGAGCAGCAAAGACACGAUGAGUUCCCUAUAUUCAAUUCCCCGAUGCGUCCUUACACGGAUCUCCCGUUCGUCGGCAACAUGGGUGAUGAGCAGGAAGACUUUUCGAUGUAUCUGAACAACACCAUAGGUGAGCAGGAUGUGCAAGACAUGUUGCUCAAUCCAGCCGGCUCUACUACAGCUCCUCUUCCGUUCUGGUCCGCUAGCUCAGGUUCAUGGACUCCUUAUGAUCUCCAAGAUAUGGGGGCAGCACCUUGGACGCAGCAGCAGCCUACAGCUCCAGCAGAUUUGAUGGACCCGCAACAAGGGAUCGCGGCAAGGAGGAUCCGGCUUGCGUACGCUGUUGAGAGGGCAUCGGCGUCUCAGCCUGUAUUAGCUUGUCACUCGGAAAGCGAAGAAGGUGAGGGCGAAUCAGCAGGCUGUAGCACAGAGAGUUCAUCCAGCAACCAUGAGGAGGAUCAUGUCGAUGAUGCCGUUUUCCAAACCAUGGUAUGUAUGGUUCUUCUGACUAAUUACCUUGAGUUAUGCUCUCUUGAAAAAAAGACUUAGAGCAAGUCUACUUAGUAGUAGUAUUUACUUUACUCAUCAUAAUAAUAUGUCUGUGUUGCUCAGGCUGGAGAUCUGAUGCAUAACAUGGCUCCUGCUCAAGCACUAGUAGUUUCUCCGGUGCAAGUUGCAGACAAGCUUGAGCAUCUAUCAUUCAAUCUCAAUGGUAUGUAAUAUAAUAAACCUUGCUUGUUCAGUUUUGAAAAGAGGAAGGGUAGCUUAGUGCCCGUAUCCUGAGCUGAGCUGUUUGGUAAAUUUGGUGCCGUGCAGAUAACAACAUAUUGGAACAAGAAGAUGCCAAGCUGCCUGGUGGAGCUGUUCUGAAGCAGGAUUCCGGUCGAAACGGGCACGACCAGGACGGACUCGUGCGCAACAGUGACUGCGUGCCUGGCCCUGGAGAUUCAUCUUCAGAAACAGCCGUGCGGAGAUCCCUCUGGCUGGCGCUCCUGGUGAUGGCCCCUCUGCUUGUGCUUGUCUUGGCUGGUGUCUGGAGGUCACUGAGCUACCGGCCGGUCUAAACUAAACGGUUCCUCUUCCUCAUCGUUCUUCGUUCGUAGGCUCUCUCACUGAUAUAUGUUGCUGGUGUGUAUAUACUUACUCCCUCCGUCCGGAAAUACUUGUCAUCAAAAUGGAUAAAAGGGGACGUAUCUAGACAUAUUUUUGUUCUAGAUACAUCUGUUUUUAAUCAUUUUGAUGACAAGUAUUUUCGAGGACGGAGGGAGUAUAACUUUAGGCUCUACCUACCGUACCGACUUUGUAAUGUCGCCAUGGGUUGAUAUUCACAUGACAUAUUGUAGAAAGCGACUUCCAAACUUGUCUAUGCAAAUGCAAAUGAAUGAUUCAGUUAGCAAUUCCAUGACCAUACAUACAUACUCCCUCCGUCCCGAAAAACAUGUCGCAAGGGCUUUUUCGCAAUUUAGUCCUUCGAACUUUCCCGACCAAACCCGCAGUCCACCCUGUCUCCUUCCUCGCUCCCCCACUCUGGCGACGGCGCUGCCUCCGACCCUCCGCCCCACGCCCCACGCCACCUUGCUCCCCCCACCCACCUCUCCGCCGCACCACGUAGCCGUCGCCUCUCCCCCCACGCCCCCCCCCACGCCGCCGGCUCGUUCCCCUGCCAAAACAGAGCAGGCGGCAAGGUUCGAUUUUUGCCGCCGCCUGGUUCACCUGCGCGUUGUGGAUAACCGGCUAGUCUCCGUCGACCUCAUCCCUUCCCCCCACAGCUGCACCCCGCCGCUCCCGCGUCAUCUUCGGCCGGCGGCCCCGCCACGCCGCAGCUCCUUCGCCAGCAAGCCGACGCCGCCUUCCACCCCGUGUCGCCGUCGCCAGCAGGUAGACGACGCCGUCCACUCCUGUUCAGCCACGGCACCAUCGUCCAGCACCUCAAGGCCGUCCACUCCUGUUCAAGAUUUCAGAUUCAGAGGUGAGUACUGAAACUACUUGAUGCUAAGAUUCAGACUAAAGUUCACUGUCAAAACUGUCAAUUUGCUCCUUGAUGUGGGCAUUUCUAGUUUGAUCCAGAGAUUCAGAAGAUUAAGCGACUCAUUCGCACAUCUAGAGCCAACGUAACGCGUCAAUAAUUCAUCGGCGUUUGUUUACUGAUUGCCGCUAAAGUUUGAUGCUUUCGAUCUGGACAUGAUUGGGAGAGAGAGAGAGAGAGAGAGAGAGAGAGAUGUAAAACAAGAUGAGAUAGAAACUAGUUCUUCUACAACUUGUAUCUGGUUUCACACCCUUUUCUUUAGAUCCAGGGACAUAGGUCAUGCUGGCAUGGUAGCUUACAUUGUAGUGCUGAUGCAGAGGUCUCCUCUAGUUGGGUUAAAUUGAGGCGGUGACAUCACGUCUCGGUGUUGGAGUUCUUUUAUCGGCAUGCUGUCGGGUAAUUAAGCAAAUCAAACCAGGUUCAAGUGAAUGCUGCUAAUUCUUUUUCAUUUGGUUUGUAGUGUAGCUUUCCGUAAUAGGGGACUAUAGACACUUUAUUUCUUUUUUUUUGACGGUGCUAUGGCGGGCUUACUAUAGAAACUUCGUGACUGUAGUUGCUGCUGCACUAGCACUUGUGGUGCAGCUAGCUAGAAGCUAAGCUUGCCUGAAUUAUUUGUUCGGCUUAAUUAUCUGCUACUCUCAUCAUGUAAACAAAUCGAGACCAUUCUACAUGCUUGUUUGUGACUAAGAAAGAGUAAAGUAACGGUAAUUAACAAAGAGUAAAGUACUCCUUGAUGUGGGCCUCCUCAUUGGUUGUAAAGCAAAGCAAUUUGACAUUUUCAAUCAUGAGUAAAUCAGAAACUAGUCUCAGCUUGAGUCCUGAUCUUGUGCAUUUUCUUUUUUCUUUUAGUGAACUAGUAUAGCUAUUGAGUCAUGAUGUACUGUAGUUUUUUAUUUAAAUGUUUAAUUGACAAAUCAUUUUAAAUGGUGUGCACAGGUUUCAGUGAACUAGUCUCAGCUUGAAACAGUUAACUAAAUUUUGUCAGUGGAAUGGAUCUUUUUGAACCACUCUGAAUUCUGUUUCUGAAAAAUAGUCAGGUCAUCUUCACAUCCUGUGUUGUCUGUGUUUCUGAAAAAACAGUUAACUGAAUUUAAAUGUUGUUAAUGCAUUUUAGAAUUUUAGAAUGACUGAAUUUUCAGCCAAGUUUGUUUCUGAACAGUAGUGACAUGGAGUAGUGUAGUGGUCCUGUAGUGACCAAAUUUUCAAAUACUCUCUGUAAGUUGGUGAAAAUACCCCUUAUAUACUCUUACAACCUGGGUAUGAACCUCUCUUCUCUACUUCAUCUUUACUGAAUUUACUGAAUGUGUGUAUUCUCUGAACCACUUAUUCUCUGUCUACUGAAUUUUAGUGAAUGUGAGAUGUACUCCUGUAAACUGAGAUGUGCUUUUGUAAAGUGUGAUGUCAACUUGUGAAUUAUACUCUGUGCAGUUGUUUCUGAGGACAACUGUUUAUUGCCUGAAAGAUAACACAGAACUGAUCAAACAUCUUGUAGGAGUAAUUAACUAGCUAUUUUACUCAAGGAAACCUUCCUCAGAUUAACUUGUUUAUUUGCAGUACUUCUCUCUCUCUGUAGAACAAUUCUUUAAACUGGAAAAGAGGAGGCAAAAGGGAACAUGUGUAGCUGAUGUCUGAGAGCCUAAAACUUGCUUAUGCAGUAAAUUGCCCAAGUUAGCUGUAAUACAUUCAUCUUACUGCAAACAAGAAUGGUGUGCCCAGGUUUACACUACUGUUUUCAGUUAACUAAACUGGCAAAGACUAUGACAUGACAAGUGUCAAACAGUUCAAUUUAUCUUGCAAGUACAGUUUGACCAGAUUAUAUACUGCAAUUUUGUUUCAAUUAGAUGAUUGGCUUAUUGGAGUACAGAUUAACUGAAUCCUGAAACCUGACAUACAACACACAACAUGCUUAGUCCCUCUUUAGUUCAUUAACUUCACAUCAUUCAACUUUAGAGUUGUGAUUCAUGAUUUGGACAUAUGGGUGCCCUCUCUUUUCUUUGUAAUCUUGAUUGGGAGUAAAUGACAAAAUUAUAGGCCAUUUUUUGAGAGUGGAAUGUUUUCCAUUAUGUUUCUGCUUCAAUCUGAAUACCAUCUUAAUGUCAUCUCUGAAUGAGUACUGUAUUAAUGAUCAUUAUUACAGGAAGCAACAGCGGCACGAAGAGAUUACACUGGAUGUCUACUCCUUAUGCUUGCAACAGCAACAUCACUAAGAGAUUACAACAAGGAACAACAGCAGUUGCUACAGAUCAAUCUACAGGUCAGAGAUUACACUGUACCUUCUUCUUCAGAGAUGAUCAGCAGCGAAGAAUAGCAGCGCAGCACGAGCACGAGCUCCACCGGCAAGCAUGGAGCAUGGGCGAGCGUGCACGCACCCGAGCUUGGGUGGCGGCGGCGCCGGUUUUUGGUCACCGGAGGAGCUACUUACGAGCUCCAAUGGCGGCGAGCGGCAGACCACCACGACCAGGAGAACCAGCAACCAAUCGAUAGCGGAAAAGAGACCUGGAGGACCCGAAGAUCACCCUGAAGCUGUUGAGCAGCUCGAGGAAGCCAUAGGAGGAGCGAUGGCGUUGAGCUCGUGUGCGGAAUCGGCGGCCGGAGUGGGAGGAGACGGGAUCGAUUCCGUUGAUCCACGGCUUCCCAGCAAGCGUGGCUCAAGGAGGACGUAUGUCUGGGCGAGGCGGAGCUCCUGGUAUGCUCGGGGAGGACUAAGGAGGUGCGACGUCGCCGAGCUCCUGUGCCGACGCCGCUGCCGGCGUGGGAGGAGACGAGCUCGUUUUUGGAGUGGGGGGAGCUCCUGUGCGGAAGCAGCGACCGGCAGCAGGGGAGAAGCAGCGACCGGCCGACAGCAGCCGUUUUGGCCAACGGCAGGAGAUCCACCGGCCUGGAGCCUGGCCGGCGGCAGGAUCUUCCCGCGCCUGGAUCCUGCGUGCGGGUUGAUUUUAGAGAAUUCAAAGUUGCGGAAGGGUGUUUUUGUAAAAAGUGCGAUAGUUCAAAUUUGAAACCCCCUGCGACAUGUUUUUUGGGACGGAGGGAGUACAUACAUACAUUAUAUCAGUGCAGUGCAGCGCAGCGCAACUCGGAAGAUUGUUUCUCAACUUUUUUGCCAUCGUCAGUUGAGUUUCAGUGACAACAAGGUGGUCAUAUUGUAGCCAGCCAUGAAACCUGAAUGUUGAUCAGAUCCAAACUCUAGGAGGAGGCUCCUCUCUGACGUACUGCACCCUGCAGUUGGGCCACUGACAUGUGGGCCCAACUGUAGGGUGCAGUACGUCAGGUUGAUUUCUUUUUCUAUUUUUCUGUGCGCUUUUUGUUUUUCGUUUCUUUUUUCUUUUUCAAAAAAUUCUUGUGCUUUUAAAUUUUUGUUAAAUGUUUAAAAAAUGUUCGCUUUUGCAAAUUUUGUUCAUAAAAUACAAAUAUUCGCAUUUUCAAAAAAUAGUCCGUCUCUUUCAAAAUUGCUGAGAAUGUCAAAACAUGAACAUAUUUUACAAAGAGCAAACAAAAUUUUGAACACAAACAAUUUUUGAAUUUUUCAAACAUUUGUUGAACAUUAACAAAUUUGGAAUAAAAAAACAGAAAAAUGCGAACCGUAAAUUUGAAACCAAUUUUCCUUGAAUUUCCAUGAACAAUUUUUGUAUUCAUGUAGGAAAAAAAAUUGAAUAUAGGAUUUUUUUUCUUAAAAGCGCGAACAUUUUUUGAAUUUGUGAACAAUUUUUUUAUGGCCUUGCAUGACCAAUUCAAGGCACCAUGCCAAGUUGUCUGAGUUUUCGACAAGUUUUGCAUUUUUUUGGAGUUUUCUUGGUGAAAAAAUUCCAAUAAAUGGCCGGAUGUGUCGCAACUUGCAUAUAGUGUCGUAAGUCAUUCAAACCUGACAUGGAUGCCUACCACGGGCAUACCCACCUGCUUGCAAAAAUUGUGGUCAUUUUAAAGAUGUCCAAAAAUAGACCAUGUUGAACAUAGUGUUGAGGUAGAGUCGAGAAGGCUCCGUUUGAAAGCAUGAUGUUUCUCGACGUUCGUCAAAUGACCCCAAUUUCUUUUCAUUGGCUUGCAUGACCAACUAAAGGCAGCAUGCCAAGUAGUUCUGGUUUUCGAGAUUGCUUAUUUGUUAAUUAUUUUCUAGUAUGAAUAUGAAUGGCUAGCUAGCGUAUAUAGGUGCAAUUUGCAGUUCUUGUCAGGAUUUAACCCUAGGACGGGGCAUACUUGCAGGAUGAUGAAACCAUAGUGUCAAAAUAUGCUCUUGUUGUUUCUUCAGGGUUGCUUCUUUCUUCUAUGAAUAUGAAUAUGAAUGUUGUUUCUUCAGGACUUUGUAAUGUAGCCAUCCCUCCCUCCAUCCCUCCCUCCAUCCCAUUGACAUGACAUAUCGGAGAAAGCGACUUACAAACUUGUCUAUGCAAAUGAAUGAAUGGAUGAUUGAGUUAGCAACUCCAUGACCUCAUACGGGAGCAGAGCAUACAUAUGUGAGUGCAGUGCAGUGCAUCUCAAGUUGAGUUUCUGAAUCCUCAUAGCACAACUUUGAUGAUUGUAUAUAUCUGAACUUCAUUUUUGCCUGUCCGCAGUUAAAAGAAACUCAGUCCAGUUUCAGUGAUAACUGCAGGACUGAUCUGAAUGUUGAUCAGAUCCAAGCUCUAUUGUAGGUUAAUUCUUUCCUCUCUAUAAAGUGCAUUGCGUUACAUUAGAUAUGCUUGAGGACCAACACCCCGAAACAAACAAAUGCCAACGAAGAUCCCGACGAGGAUCCCCGGGACCAGACCACCAACGAGCUCCAGCCCUCCAUGGUGGUGCCCAUGCCACCAACUCUAGCGUUGGACAUGACGACCAGCACGAAUGCGAAAGCGAUGAUGCCGGGCACCGUGUGGACGACGGACAUUGCAGAUGCUCCCGUUGGCUGGCAGCAAACAACACCUUCAAAAUUUUAGGACCACGGCCAUGGCCUCACCGGCGGGGGCGAGCUUCCCGGUGUGAGAGGGUAACAAUGUGACGACGAUGGCGCUGCUGAGCUCUGCCGGCGGUAGAAAGAGAAAGAGAAAGAGAAAGAGAAAGAGAAAGAGGGGUGGCAAUCUGCAUUCAACCUGUUCUCCGGUGCAUUACUUUGUCUUUCUUCAUUCACUGUGGGGUAGCCCAUUUAUCUUGUAGCACAAUUUCAACCUCUGGACAUGAUUGAAUUAAAUUUUUGUCAUAACACUAAAGUUGUUCAUUUAUAUUGUAGCACAAUUAGCUGCUGGGACGCUCCCCGAUGUCCGCCGCUGUGUGGUGGAUGGCCGCGCCGAGGCACAUGAUACGUCUCCAACGUAUCUAUAAUUUUUGAUUGUUCCAUGCUAUUAUAUUAUCUGUUUUGGAUGUUUAUGGGCUUUAUUAUACACUUUUAUAUUAUUUUUUGGACUAACUUAUUAACCAAUUUCAGUGUUUUCUUGCCUAUUUCAUUGUUUCGAAGAAAAGGAAUAUCAAACGGAGUCCAAACGGAAUGAAACCUUCGGGAGAGUUAUGUUUGGAACGAAAGCAAUCCAGGAGACUUGGAGUAGACGUCAGGGAAGCUUCGAGGUGGCCACGAGGCAGGGAGGCGCGCCCCCACCCUCGUGGGCCCCUCGUGGCUCCCCUGACUGACUUCUUUCGCCUAUAUAUGUCCAUAUACCCUAAAAACAUCGGGGAACAGAAUAGAUCGGGAGUUCCGCCGUCGCAAGCCUCUGUAGCCACCAAAAACCAAUCGGGACCCUGUUCCGGCACCCUGCUGGAGGGGGGAUCCCUCACCGGUGGCCAUCUUCAUCAUCCCGGCGAUCUCCAUGACGAGGACGGAGUAGUUCACCCUCGGGGCUGAGGGUAUGUACCAGUAGCUAUGUGUUUGAUCUCUCUCUCUCUCUCUCUCUCUCUCUCUCUCUCUCGUGUUCUUGAUUCGGCACGAUCUUGAUGUAUCGCGAGCUUUGCUAUUAUAGUUGGAUCUUAUGAUGUUUCUCCCCCUCUACUCUCUUGUAAUGGAUUGAGUUUUCCCUUUGAAGUUAUCUUAUCGGAUUGAGUCUUUAAGGACUUGAGAACACUUGAUGUAUGUCUUGCAUGUGCUUAUCUGUGGUGACAAUGGGAUAUUACGUGAUUCACUUGAUGUAUGUUUUGGUGAUCAACUUGCGGGUUCCGUGACCUCGUGAACUUAUGCAUAGGGGUUGGCACACGUUUUCGUCUUGACUCUCCGGUAGAAACUUUGGGGCACUCUUUGAAGUUCUUUGUGUUGGUUGAAUAGAUGAAUCUGAGAUUGUGUGAUGCAUAUCGUAUAAUCAUACCCAUGGAUACUUGAGGUGACAUUGGAGUAUCUAGGUGACAUUAGGGUUUUGGUUGAUAUGUGUCUUAAGGUGUUAUUCUAGUACGAACUCUUUAAUAGAUCGAUCCGAAAGAAUAACUUUGAGGUGGUUUCUUACCCUAUCAUAAUUUCUUCGUUUGUUCUCCGCUAUUAGUCACUUUGGAGUGACUCUUUGUUGCAUGUUGAGGGAUAGUUAUGUGAUCCAAUUUUGUUAUUAUUGUUGAGAGAACUUGCACUAGUGAAAGUAUGAACCCCAGACCUUAUUUCCUAGCAUUGCAAUACCGUUUGUGCUCACUUUUAUCAUUAGUUACCUUGCUGUUUUUAUAUUUUCAGAUUACAAAAACCUAUAUCUACCAUCCAUAUUGCACUUGUAUCACCAUCGCCGAACUAGUGCACCUAUACAAUUUACCAUUGUAUUAGGUGUGUUGGGGACACAAGAGACUCUUUGUUAUUUGGUUGCAGGGUUGUUUGAGAGAGACCAUCUUCAUCCUACACCUCCCACGGAUUGAUAAACCUUAGGUCAUCCACUUGAGGGAAAUUUGCUACUGUCCUACAAACCUCUGCACUUGGAGGUUCAACAACGUCUACAAGGAGAAGGUUGCGUAGUAGACAUCAGCACACUUUGCUGCACUUGAAGAACGACACAUGAAACAUAGCCAAGAUGUCGUCGUGGCCACUAGCGUCGGCCGAGGGGACAAGCGGUCGCUGCAGCUCGUCGGAGGGGCGAAGUGCCCGAGGACAUCGAUGUCAUGAUAAUGAUACAAUAAGUGGACACACAUUAAAAUUCUCCAUAAUUAUUCAGCAAACCAUACACCGGAUCGAUUAUGAAAAGGAGAUACAUUGCACAAUAACUCUGAAAAUCUAAACAUGCCAUGGUCGCCUAUAAUAAAAUAUACGUCCAUAUCUAGAUUUUUUUAUUCUUUCACCGUUCCACAUUAUUAAUGUCACUAAUCACCACUUUGUUCUAAGAGGAUGGAAUAUAUAGAAUUCAACACCGUUGAUGUGAUUUAUAGUUUAUACUUCUUCAUGUAUUCACGGAAUAUGACUUGGUCAUAAAUGGGCUUAUUGUCUUCUGAUAAAAGCUCUUUUAUCGGCCCAUAUGGCCUAUCAAGAUCAUCAGUGCUUAGAAAGCAUGCGAUUGAGAUACGUGGCUCUACAGUUGCUCUCAGCAGAACUCGGUGCUCCACGCUCUUGAACUUCCCAUUUGUAAUAAUCUGCACAAUUGCAAAAAGAACAAAUAAGAAUUGGAUUUCAAACACUCCAUCAUAGAGAUCAAUGAUGGUGUAUGGUAUUAUGGUGAGUAACGACAUAUAUUUUAGUUAAGUGUAGUUCAAUUUAUUAAAGAUUACUGUUUAUGACAAACAAAAUAUUGCAAAUUUAUCACAAACAAAUUAUUUUUUGAUAGUUAAGUUAUUCUUAAAUUAUAAAAUUGUGUGAAAACCGUCCUUAAAUCUUAAAUAGUAACAAAUAAAGAUCAAUUUACAAAAAUUGACAUGAACAACUACAAUACAAAUAUGUAUCUUAUUGGUCCAAUAUCAAUUUGUAAUGUCAUUUCUUAUUAAAAUUUCUGUAUUUACCAAUAGUUUAGAGUUUAUGCACCAUUUUCAUAUAAUUUUAAAAUUAAAGACUAGAACUUGAGACAAUGAAAGAUUGGGGAAUAUACUGUAUUCACUCUUAUAUAUUGUUUCAAACUUAGCACUGUAGGGUAAAACCGCUAUCCAGUCUUAUAUAUUGGUACCCAGGUUUCACAAAAAAUACUGGUACCCAUAAAAUAUAGUGUAAUUUAUAUAUUAGCUUAAAUACACCUAUAAGAAUAUAACCGUAUACUAACAAUGAAAUAAAUUAUUUAAAUAUAGUUUAUAGAUGAAUAUUGUAAGCACAAACAUAGAAGAUAAGGUAGUUAUUAAUUUAUGAUCGUAAAUAAAGAAAUAGUUUAAUAAAUUUUAAAAAAAUCCAUAUGAGUGAAUGUAUAAAUAUGUAAUUAAUGUAUAGCAAUUCGGUUAGGUGAAAUAUUGGCCAGCAACGCACCCUUGACCGGAGGAACAUUAAUCUUUUUCUAACAUGGGAUAACUAAUAAAAAAGUUAGUGUGUGAAGUUAAUCUAUACCUAUACCCCUACUAAUAAAGUAAGGUGCGUUUCUCCAAUUUUUUCGUCCGUUCACCACCGAUUUUUUUAUAUCCGAGGUGGUACUAAAUUUUUCUAUUCGAUCUGCUAGAAAAGAAAAAAUAUAGUUUUGUCCAGAAUUUCGUACGUGGGCCGCACGCGCUAAGGCCCAGAGAAGCCACCCAUUUAUAUCCAGCCCACGCAGCUGGAAAACCUUAUUUCUCUAAGACAGCAGCAUAUAGUUGGAGUUUCGCGUCUGUCGGCUACCAUGGGCCGGCCCAUGUCCGUUUCUUCCGUUUUCUUUUUCAAAAUUUUUUGGUUCCCUUCCAAGUUAUAUUAUCAUUUUUUUCAUAAAUUUAUUUUUUUUCAGAAUUUUUGUUUUUACAAAAGUUCAUUAAGUAUUCCUAAUUUCAAAAUUUGUUUCCAUUUUCAAUAAUAUUUGGAACUUUGAAUUUUUAUUCUCGUACCAAAAUUUCUCUAAAUUCAAAAAAUGUAGCAUUUGUUUAAAAAACUUCCAUAAUUGUUCGAGAACUUUAAAAUAAAUUCGAUUUUCUAAAUAUUUGAAAUUCAAAUAAAUUCCUUAUUGCUGAAAUGUUCACAAAUUCAAAAUAAUGUUCGUGAUUAAAAACAAAAUUUUUAAAAUGGUUUUAUAUACCAACUAAAUACUAAUAAAGCAAGGUGUGCUUCUUCAAUUGAUUCAUCCAUUUAUCACCGAAAAUAUUUUUUUAUAUCUGAGGUGGUACUAAAUUUUUGUGGUGCAUCUGGUAGAAAAUAAAAAAAAGUUUUUUCCAUAAUUUCGUAUGUGGGCCGCACGCGCUAAGGCCCUGAGAAGCCACCCAUUUAUAUCUUGCCCAUGCAGUUGGGAAACCUUAUUUGUCGCACCAAGCAGCAUAUAGUUGGAAUUUCGCAUCUGUAGCCCAACGUAGGUCCGGUCCAUGUACGUUUUUUCUUUGUUCUUUUUCUAAUUUUCCUUUUCUUUUUCCCCUUCCAAGUUUUUUUCCUCUUUCCCUUAACUUUAUUUUUUUGUUUUUUCAGAAUUUAGAUAUUCGUACAAAUGUACGUUAAAUCUAGAGAAUUUCAAAACUUGUUCCCAUUUUCAGAAAUAUUUGGAAGUUUAGAUUUUUCUUCUCAUUCCAAAUUUAUUUGAAAUUCAAAUAAUGUUCGUAUUUUUCAAAAACAAUCCAAAAAAUUUCGUGAAUUUUAAAAUAAUUGUAAUUGGAAAAUAUUCCUUUUAUUGAAAUGUUCACAAAUUCAAUAUAAUGUUCGUGAUUAAAAACACAUUUAUUAAAACGGAUUUGAAUGUUCAAAAUAAGUUUCCAUUUUCAGAAAUUGUUCAUAAAUUAAAAAAAUGUUAAUUUCUCCGCCUUAAAAAUGGUUCCUGUUUUAAACAAAUGAUUGUGAAUUUUAAAAAAAUCUUCCUAUUUCAAGUUUUGUUUGUCUUUUUCCAUAAAUUAACGAUUUUUCAAAAAACAAAUGUUUGCAUUUUUUAUAAAAAAAUCAAGAGGUCACCACAUCCUCGACAAGGAGGCGGACCUAAAGAAAAAAAUGGCACGAAUUGGGUAGUAGCCGCCACUCCUACCAACCCCACUAUUAUAAAGAUCUCGCGGGCCAAACAUGACCCGUGAGAACACUACAACUCUCUGCUCUGUCGCACCACUGUUGUGGAGAUCGUUUUAAUGGACACAUAUUGUAAGCACAAAAAUAGAUCAUAAGAUAGUUAAUUUAUGAUGGAAAAUAAAUAAAUACGAGUGAAUGUACAAAAAAUAUUUAAUUAAUGUAUAGCAAUUUGGUUAGGUGAAAGUGUGACAGUACCUGCAUCAUGUCAGCAAUAUUGGCCAGCAACGCACCCUUGACCGGAGGAACAUCAAUCCAAACAUCUUGAUGAAGAACUUGAAGGCCGCCGACACUAUCUUGGAGGAACCCGAGGUCAGCAUGCUUGGUCCCACCCAUGGUCAAAUGUGGCUGGGGACAUAUCGGGAAAUAGUGACACGCCAUUGACCUUGCACUGAAGCAUCUUGUGCUUGUGCUUGCUAGAUAAUCACUUCCAAGACCUAAAGCUUCCGAAAAUAACUCAGACAUGUACUCCUUCACUUCUUCUCUGUACACUUUCACAAUGUUACCAAAAAAUAUAAUUUUAUCUCUAUUAUAAACGAAAGCACCCUCAACUUCAGUUGAAAAAUAAUUAAAAAGUUAGUGGGUGAAAUUAAUUAUAUACUACCUCUGUACCGAAAUACUUGUAGUUUGGCCCCCAGCUACAAGUAUUGUGGUGCAGAGGGAGUAUAAUGGAGGGAUGACCUGCAGAUUUGUGGUAUUGCUUCAAAGCUUUGAGGGUCUUGUAGGGCCUUGCAAGACAAGGUGUCUCUCCAUGGAAGCUGAACAAGUUAACCUUCCGAGCAAAGUCACGCGAGUACCACUUUGCCUUGUCCUCCUGAGCUGAGGAAGCUCAUGGAAAGCUCGGACUCCUCUUUGGAUUCCCUCCAUGACGCCAAGAGGAAUCCCAUGGUUCACCAGCUGCAAGAAUCCCCAUGACUCGGCCGCGUUCCUUAUCUCCUCCACCAUCUCCUUUCGACACUCGGAGGAAUCAAACCUUAACCCGGUGAGAUCGAUCACAGGGAAAUGAAGGCUGCGAAUAGCUGAGGCAUCUUCUUCAGGUUCAGGGAGUGAAGAGCUGAGGAGAUCCUCUGGAGGGUGUAUGAACAUGGAGGGAAGCUUGGUGACACCGUGGAAGGCUUUGAUCUCCAUGUCAGGCUGGUUGUAAUCCACCACAACUGAUGCCAUGGUUUGUUUGGUUAAGCAAGAACAAGUUUGGUUUGGAUUGCUCUGGUGUUCUGCUCUAUUUAUAUGGGCGAGUUAAUGAGUUGAAGAUAAGAUGAGUGAGACUUGUUUACCAAGUAGAGUGUUGAAAAAAGGACGGCUCUCUUAAUUUCUACGCCUGCUGUGCAAUUUUUCUUUUACUUCUAGACCAACCAUUAUCUUUGAGGGCUUGGCUGAAGGAGAUCAACAUCAUGAUAUUGACCAACCUGCACGUUUGGUCUGAUUUUCAACAAUACUGAUACUGUAGCACACAGCUUUCUUUGAAUAAAAAAAAAAUCAACAAUACUGUCUGCCGCGCUUGCUUCAAGAUUCAGCGAUUUCCUUUUUCACCUUCACCAACCAUUGUUUCCUGUUUAACGGCGCAGGUGCUUUUCUCGGACCAGACGCAGACGCCCAGCGCGACCGCGGCCCCAGUGACCGUAGGCCACCGCGUCGAAAAGAUAAGGACACACAUAUACAUCCAACACGCCUGUACCCAGCCUUCGCCAUCUGUGGCUUUGAGUACCGAUGUAUGUGCCCCUUCCAGAUGGAAGAGAACUUAGAUCCUAUAGGACCAGCGCACAAACAACAACUAUCGCCGUUGAAGAGAAUUUUAAAUCCAAAGGAUACAACCUGUAGAUAGACGAACACACACAAACAAGAUCUUCUUCUUCUUCUUCUUCCUGACCAAACAGAGCACGCUCACAAGGCGAAUAGAAAAUGGGACACUUUUUUACUUCUGCUUUGGUACACCUCUAAAUAGAUAUAUACACCUUGCUUACCCACGGAAAAGAGCGCUCAUACCUAGCGGUGGUUAGGUUUUCUCCUCCCUCCCGCCGGCGUCGAGGCUGGUCUGCCUCGUCUCCUGUGGCCUUAGGACCAUGAAGGCGUGGUGGAUCCCGACCCUUGCCGGCAGAAGAGCUUCAUUUUUGGAUGCUUUUUUGAGUUUUCUUAGGUUUGUGUUAUGCUCAGAGACGAGGCGGCGGCGGCUCUUUGAAGAUGGAAUAGGUUCUCCCGGUGAAUAGGAGUCCCUGGCCACAUGUCCCAUUUUGACUACCUUCUUUACUUUUUGAAUCAAAAUUAAUAUUGAGUAUAUUUUCAAAAUCAAUAUUUUGUUGCUUUCAAAUUUAACUCGAAACAUGACUGGAACAUUUACACGUUUUAUUAUAAUUUUUCGGUGAGGAAUAUCUGCAUCUUUCUCACACGUGUGUCCUACGUGCACAUACUUCUAGUACAUCAAAUUCCGAGUCAAGCUUCAAAGAAGCAAAAAAUAAUAAUUUUUUGAAACAUAUUCAACAUUGACCUUAUUUCAAAGGUCUCGUCUAGACAAAAAUCACAGUAAAAACGGAUCUUAAAUCGAACAUCCGGUUCAAAAUAUAUGAACCAUUUUGUGUUUGGGCAAAAAAAAAAUACGUACAGAAUUUUUUAUGGGAGUGUGUGCUGUGGAGUGCGGAUUAGUUUGCACAAACAGUGAGGUUGUCUCUGCAAAAAUGGUAUAGUCCAACUUUUGACCAAAAUCUGAUCCAUUACUUUUUCAUCUAAGGGUCCUGAAUCUACUGGUGCAUUGGGUGCACAAUUUGAAUGGGUGCGCAGGAUACAUUCUCUUAGUACGACGACUUCCCAACAAUCCACUACAACAGGUUUUAUCUGGCUCCAGUGAGGGAGGGGAGAUGAUAGCGACGCGCCUUCGGCUCACUUUCGUGCUUGUAGUCGUUGCUAGGUGAUAUAUGGAUUUAGAUGCAAUUUUAUUCUUUCUAGUAUAUUCAUUGUACUGUCAUGAUUGAUGAUAAAUAGAUUCGAAGUUUUUCUGAAAAAAGUUACCCUAUAUAUCCCUUCAUAAUAAAGGGCAGGAUGGUCCUUUAGGAAAGUAAGUCGCUGCACCGAUACAGUGUGCGACUCGACCGACCCAUUAAGCCAUGUCCCUCCUAUCAGAUAAGAACACAAUUUCCCAGGCUUUUCCUCCUCCUCCUCCUCAGAAUUUCGCUGAUGUCUUGGCGGCAAUGGUUGAGGAGGGCGACACCGGAAGGGCCGACGAGCCCACUGACAAUGGGACGUCCUUGGAAUGUGCCCCUGCAAAUCCCCCGCUCUCGUCGAAUGCACAAAGUAGUGCGUAUAAUUUAUUUUUAAAAAGUCAAACUUUAAAAAAUUUAGGUUGAUACCCGUUGACAUGACAUAUUGGAAUUGUCUAUGCAAGCAAAUGAAUGAAUGGACGAUUGAGCAACUCCAUGACCUCAUUCAUAUGGGAAUGGGAGCAGAGCAGAGCAUACAUAUGUGGGUGCAGUGCAGUGCAGUGCAUCUCAAGUUGAGUUUCUGAAUCCUCACAGCACAACUACAGCUUUGAUGACAAGAGUCUAUCUCAACUACUGAUCUGAAUAUUGAUCAGAUCCAAGCUCGUUCGCAGGUUGAUUCUUUCCUCUCUAUAAAGUGCAUCGAGGACCAACACCCUGAACUGAAACAAAAGCCGGCGAAGAUCCCACGAGCUGCAGCCUUUGUGGUGCCCAUGCAUUACUCUGUUUUUCUUUACUGUAGCACAAUUUCAACCUCUGGACAUGUGGCAAAAUCUAGGCUGAGUUGCUUAAACAGGGUGAGACAGGGGUCCACAAAAGUAAACCUGAUACGGUUUCAGACCCUCUGGAUAUACCUGUAAAAUGAGACAAAAUUGAAGGCAGGGAGACACUACUCUAGGGCAUCCAAGCCUUUUUUGUUCAUGUAAACAAGCCAAUGAUCGGCCAGCCGAUCAAUUGACCUUUUACUCUUGGAAUCGCCCACUUGGGUAUUGGAGUAUUUCAAAAAAAAAAAAAAAACUGGGUGGUUACAAUAUUUAUUUUUUUGGCAAAGCCUGGGUUUUUAGGUUGGCUUGGCAUAACGGACACUUGGUAUGUGCGUACUCCCUCCGUUCGGAAUUACUUGUCACAAAAAUGGAUGUAUCUACAACUAAAAUACAUCUAGAUACAUUCAUUUCUUGGACGAGUAAUUCUGAAUGGAGAGAGUACAUAGGAGAUCUAGGCUAUGGUUAGGUGUAGGAGUACAAGAGCAUACGUAGGGUCUAGGGUUAGGGGCGAAUCUAGUAAGGGGGCUUUAACAGGCUUGAGCCCCCCCUCAAGAACUGAAAACCGUUUUUGACUACUAGUCUCAAGGCCCAACUCAGCCACAUGCCAGCCCAACCCAACAUAUAUUUGCAUGAUACAGACUUGCAUAAACUUUGAGCCCACCCUAUAUUUUCUGUCUAGAUUCGUCACAGUCUAUAUCUUCACCUAAUAAUAAAGGAGCUAUUGCUUCUGGCGGUACGUCACCGAAAUUGCCCUUAAAGUUGCAAAGCAUUAUCCACCGAUGCCACCUAUUAGUGAUAAAAAAAAGUUACACACGGGGAAUCCCAGCCUAGGCCGGCCCAUGCAGUCGAAACCUUUUUUUUUAGAAAAGGAGGAUGACCCCCGGCCUCUGCAUCUGGGAGAUGCAUGCGGCCAUUUUAUUGAUUAUUCUUGAGGACCUUACAAAGUAGUACAACAAUAUGCCUGAAUCCACCAUCUUGGCAACAUCUGCCGCUACUCCAAUCCAUAUGAUGAAGGGGUGCAAGCUGGGCCAAAUACCCAGACCUCUCACCUAAGCCUAACAUUUAAAGUCGUAGGCCCCGACCGAGCCACAUACCGGGUCCGGGGCACAAACCGGUCCGACGCACUCACAUGUGUCGUCGCCGCCAUCUUCCACUGGUCCAUCUUCAGAGCAGAUUGAGGUGCCAACCUUGGCAGGUGCCUCCGCCAUCGACGCCACCAUGACGCCAAACGACGACCUCCACCUACGCGAGUCCAUCUCCAAGCAACGGACGCAGAUCCAUACUAGGAUAGGGCCGCACCACCGCCGUCGCCCACCACCCACAAGCACCACCUAGCCCCAAGGUUCCCAAAGCGGCGCCUUCAAGAAGGGAACGACGCCGUGAGCGCCGUCGCCGCCCAACAAAGUUAGGGCUUUCGCCCGAGAGACCUAGGGGAAGGGGAAGUGAGGGGAUCAGUCCAUACCGACGCCUCCAAGGAGGGGAACGACGCCCUCGGGCGUCGCCGUCGACGCGGCCGGCCAUGGCCGACCAGGGAUUUCGCCCGAACUAGAUCCCCACUACCAGCAGCGCCUCCUGUACAGAACCGGCGACCCAAGGAAGCGCGGCCCGACGAGGCUGGCCCGCACGCCGAACAGGGAAGGAGGGGAGGCGCCAGAUCGCGCGCACCGGUCACCGCAGAAACUGCCGCCGGCCGCCAACGACCACCGGAUCCCGCCGCUCGCACGACCGGGAUGCCAGAUCCACCGCCCGCACGGCUGCUAGCCGGCCGUGCCUUGCCAAUGGAGCCGCCGCUCCAGAUCAGGGGUUCCCCACGCAGAGGCAGGGCAACCGAGGCCCCGCCGCCACCAUCCUUGGCGCCCCGGGCUUGCCCUGCGGCUGCCUCAGGCGGCGGCGAGGAAGGGAAGCGGAGGAGGGGCGACUAGGGAGGAGAAGGGAGGAGGAGGGGCGGUUAGGGUUGGGAGGGAGGAGGAGGAGGGGCGGCUGGGAGCCUUCUAUACUACGCUCUGCGAGCUGGGAGAAAACACAGCGCGCUUGUUUGGGCCGGACCAUGUCCACGCGGCCUGUUUUUUAAAUUUCAUUUUCCUUUUUCAUCUUUGUUUUCUCUACUUUAAAUAAUUUGGGACUUCAAAAAACUUAAGAUCAUUAAAAAAAUGAGAAUUUUGAAAUAAAAUAUUUAAUAAUUCAUAAAUGUUUAUGCAUUCAAGAAAUGUUUGUGAUUUAAAAAAAUGAUCAUAUUUUGUAAUUUUUAAGACAAAUAUUCAGGAAAUCAGAAUUUUUUUAUGUUUUUUAAAAAGUUCAUGUAUUAAAAAUUGUUAAUGAAAUCGAACAAAACUUGGCCAAUUUCAAAAAAUUCAUGAAUUGAAAAAUAUCCUAGGAAAAUCAAUAACUGUUCAUGACUUUCAAAAUAGUUUGUUGAUUCAUAAAAUGUUCGUUGAUUCAUAUUAUGAUCAUGCAUUUCAAAAAAAUUCAUGAAUUUUAAAAAUUGUUCCACCAAUUUCCCAAAAAAUGGCCGUCGAUUAUAAAUAUUCGCCUAUUCAAGAAAAAGUUUCAAAAAAUGUUUGCAAAUUGUAUAAAAUGUUCAUGAUUUUAGAAAAUGUUCGAAAAUCUGUAAAAAUGUUAAUGAAUUUAAAAAAUGUUCAUGAUGUUAGAUAUGUCGAGUUUAAAAAAAUUCAUGAAUUCAAAAAUUGUUCAUGAUUUCACGAAAAUAGGCAGGGCUUUUGUCCCGGUUGGUGUCACCAACCGGGACCAAUAGGCAUCCACGCGUUAGCAUUUCAGGGNNNNNNNNNNNNNNNNNNNNNNNNNNNNNNNNNNNNNNNNNNNNNNNNNNNNNNNNNNNNNNNNNNNNNNNNNNNNNNNNNNNNNNNNNNNNNNNNNNNNNNNNNNNNNNNNNNNNNNNNNNNNNNNNNNNNNNNNNNNNNNNNNNNNNNNNNNNNNNNNNNNNNNNNNNNNNNNNNNNNNNNNNNNNNNNNNNNNNNNNNNNNNNNNNNNNNNNNNNNNNNNNNNNNNNNNNNNNNNNNNNNNNNNNNNNNNNNNNNNNNNNNNNNNNNNNNNNNNNNNNNNNNNNNNNNNNNNNNNNNNNNNNNNNNNNNNNNNNNNNNNNNNNNNNNNNNNAGUGUCCUCUCUUAUCUCCGUGCUUGGUCGACGCUACGUACUAUAUACGUAUGGAGAGGACUAGACACGCUAGCUAGUAAGCAAAUGAAGGAAACAGAAGAUCGUCAUGAACAUAUGGAUACAGAGAGAAGUGAUAUCGACCACCUCUCCUUCUCCGAGAGAUUGGUCGAACAACAAGUUCUCGUAUAUCUAUCUGACACUACCGGCUACAUAUAUACAAUAAUUAUCUCUUACAAUAUAAUCUCCUAAUUAAAUUGUAAGAACACAGGGUCCACAUACUAUUCUCCGUUUUCAGCGAUCACGUGGUCAAGGAAGAAUGCCGCCAAUUCCUCUUGAAUUCCUCGCAUACGAUCUGGUGCUAGGAGUUCAUCACGCAUCUGAAAGAUCUAAUUUGAAGAAGGGGGUCAAUACAUACAUAUAUAUAUAUAUAUAUAUGAAUAAAUGAAACUCGACACAAAUGAUGGUAAUAAAAUAAAUUUGUGAAUAUUAUUGCUUACACACUUCAUAUUGUUCGUCAGAGUAGCCCCGCUCACAGGUCGUGUGGCGGAUGGACUCGCAAACGUAGUAUCCACAGUAAUUAUUCCCGGGUUCCUGCCACAACCACUUUACAAGAAAUAGAGGUCAAUCAAACUGAUAAGCAAGCAUGCUAAAUGGUAUUGAUGAAACUAGCGCUUGAAUCACUAGGAGAUGUGCGGAACAUGCUACUAUAGUACUUACUUUCGGGUGUCUAAAUUGCAGCUUCUUCGGCAGUCCCGGAGCUUUUGUGGUGAAUUUUCUCCAAACCCUGCCAGACAAAGAAAACAAUUACUUGAUAUCAGGAAAUGAACAAAGUUGCUGAUAUGGUGGAUAAUGAUCGAUUUAACUUACUUCUCGAGCAUUUGAGUCAUGUUCGCAUAGUCCUGGGGAUCUUUUCGUCUCGAGUCUAAGACAGUUACUACUCCCUGCUCAAGCUUAAUCUCUAGGAGAAUAUAGUGGAAGCUGGGCAUGCAUGCAUAAGUCAUCAAUUACAUUACCAUAACCUGGACUAAUAAGGGAAACCGAAUAUGCACAAGACAGUAACACUCACUUGAAGUUGUAAGGAAAGAGUAUUAUAUCUUUGUUUUGAUUUAAUACCAACGAUCGUAGCAAGUUGGCCUCGGCUUCUUUGGCAUGUUUUUCAACCUGAUAUGCAUCUAUGAGAUUUGUGUUAAUGAACCCAAUAUCACUGAUUUGUCUUUUCUUCAAUUCGGCGAUCUUCAAUCUGCAUAAUAUAGUGAUGAUAAUUAUAAAUACAUGCAAUGAAAGAGCUAACCUAUAUAGAGAGACUUAAUGACAUAAGUAGUACUACUUACAAACAGUAGCAAGUGAUCGUUGUUUUAUCAAGGGCCUUUUGAUUGUAAAACUGGAAGAAAUCCUCAAAUGGAACAUUCAACAGUUCAAUUCCAACGAGGUCAUGCUCCGGUUUAACUCUCAGCGUCAAAGUAUUCAUCCCAUCAGACUCUCUGCAGGUUUUCAUGUACCAAUCAUGUAAUCUUCGCAUCAUCGUUGUUAGAGAUCUUUCAUCUUUGACGAGAGGCUUCCCGUAAUGGUAUUUGUGUUCGUCCACCUCCAUGAUUUCAUAAUGUACAUCGUCGGGCAGGUAAUCUCCAAGAUUGCUAUAACCGGCCACCAUCCUCGGAUCAUUAGCGACGAUGUCUUUUGACACCUUGAGCGGGGGGCACGAUUGGUUCACUUGUUCGCCGAGCUGGGCAAUUUUUUUCCCAGCUCGUCGUUCUUUUAACCUUUGAUCACUGUCCGUACUUCCCGACCGCUCCGCUUCGGCAUAUGUCUUUGCAAGAAUGCGCUCAUAGUUGCCUCUCGGCGGAGACUUUGGUGGUUUUGUCAGGACAGCCAGAGUGCGCUUUGCUUUCACCGGAUCUACCUUCUCCUCCGGAGGUGGAUGUUUCUUUGCUUUCACCCCUUCAAAGAAGUUUGUCACUUCGGCUCGCACGAUCUCCCUGGUUUCCUCCUCGGUCCUCUCGUAUGGUAACUUCACUGGAGUCUUCAGAGAAGGACCGAAUUUGUAUUGCCUCCCGCCUCUGGCAGCUGUACUGCUAGACGCCGGCAGAGCAGAUGGAGCGGCUGCGGCUGUCUUCUUUCCUUGCUUACGAGGCAGAGGAGAAGGACUACGACGCGUCGGAGCAGCCGGAGCGGCGGCGGGUCUCUUCCGCCCUUGCUGAUGAGGCAGAGAAGGAGGAGGCUGGCUGCUCUGGCGCGCCGGCGCAGGCGGAGAAGGAGGCGGAGUGCCGCCACGCGCCGGAGAAGGAGGCUGAGUGCCCUGAUCACUCGCCGGAGGAGGAGGCAGAGGAGGAGGCGGAGUGCCGCCACGCGCCGAAGAAGGAGGCUGAGUGCCCUGAUCACUCGCCGGAGGAGGAGGCGGAGUACCCUUACUCGCCGGAGCCGCCCAGUUCGGAAGGUUGAUGAGCUCCUUCCGCCAUAGGCAUGGAGUCUUCAGAGCAGAACCCAGCCGAGUCUCCCCUUCACCGGUAGGGUGGUCAAGCUGGAGGUCCUCAAAUCCCUCCAUUAUUUCAUCCACCAUCACCCUAGCAUAUCCUUCUGGAAUCGGCCGACAGUGGUAGGUUGCGCCGGGUUCAGGAGGUAAAACAGAGCCAACAGCCGCCUUGACUUUGAAGUUCUGCCAUUGCGCCAUAAGGUGGCAAUGUUGAGACUCCGUGAUAGCAUCCACGGGGUAGCUAGUAGGAGCCGUCAAGACAUGCUCCGGCUGAAGCAGCUCGGUGGAAGCCACGCUGCUUCUCCGCUGAGAUGGCGGUGUAGCUUCGGGGGUAGUUUCGGCAUGUCGAUUGCCGUCUCGUUCCUCUAGCGCUUGAACCCUUUCGUGCAGCUUCUGAAUUUGGAUCUGCUCCACUUUUUUCCUCCUCUCCUGGCUUUUGUAACCGCUCGCGUCCGGAAAACCAGCCUUCCACGGAAUGGAGCCUGGCGUGCCUCGUGUCCGUCCAGGGUGCUCAGGAUUCCCGAGGGCCAUUGUGAGCUCGUCGUUCUCUCUGUCUGGAACGAACGUCCCUUGCUGCGCUGCAUCGAUAUAUUGCUGAAUCUUCCUGACUGGUAUUCUCAAAAGCUCGUUCGUCCAAACGCACCUCCCUGAUUCAGGGUCCAAGGUUCCGCCAGCCCCGAAGAACCAAGUCCGGCAACGGUCUGUCCAGUUCAUUGUCUGUGGUUCGAUCCCUUUUUCAAGCAGAUCAUUCUCAGCCUUGGCCCACUUAGGAUGGGCUUUGAGGUAUCCACCUCAUCCCGUGCGAUGGUGAUGCUUCUUCUUCGCAGCAUUCUUCUUGUUUGUCGCUAACAUCUUCUUACUCUUUUCCGAUGUCUUGUGGGCCACAAAUGCGGGCCAGUGAUCUCUGAUCUUCUCAUACCGGCCGAUGAAUUCUGGUGUCUCUUCUUUGUCGACAAACGUUUUCAGCUCAUUCUUCCACCUCCUGAAUAGGUCUGCCAUCUUCUUAAGAGCAUGAGACUUGAUUAAUUGCUCUUUAACUGGCUUCUCCGGAUCCUCCUCUCGCGGUAGGGUGAAAUUUGCCUUCAGCUCAGUCCAAAGAUCAUCUUUCUGCAUAUCAUUGACAUAAGACACCUCAGGGUCUUCCUUCUUAGGCUUAUACCAUUGCUGGAUGCUGAUCGGUAUCUUGUCCCUAACUAGAACCCCGCACUGAGCAGCAAAUGCAUCCUUUGUCCGGAUGGGUUCAAUCGGUUGGCCGUCGCGCACGAUUGCUGUGAUCUCAAACCUUUCAUCCGACUGCAACAUUCUCUUCAGGCCUCGUCUCUUACCGAAGUUGUGCUCGAUCCGGAGGGCUAGAAAAAAGGAGAAAGACGAGUGUUAAUUAAUAUGUGUACAUACCAAAACAAUGAAUGCAUCAAUUAGCUAGUCAGCACAGGCUUAACUAAUAUAUUUACCUGGCCGGACUCUGUUCGGUCACCGGAGCCGUCACCACGGGCUCCUUCUUGCACCAGCAUUGGGUCACCAGAGCCAUCAUAAUCAUGUCUUUCCUCCUCCACUCUUCGAUCACUGUAGCCUGCUUCUUCACCCUGUUCUUCCAGACCAUCAUUGUCGUUAAGAUACGACAAGAUAUCACCUCCGGCUAAGAUUAUGUCCCCCAACACCUCUUCUGUUUGCUCGUCUCGUCCGUGCUCCAUUGUUUCUGCAAAUAUUACAACAUGGCAAUUAUUACACAAACAUGACAGUAGGUGGAUAUAUUAGUGCAAACGUAGACCUAGCUUAUUCCGGGUUUGGGGUGGCCUCGGCAACACUUCAAGGGUAGGGGCGCGGCGGGAGGGGGUAUGAGACCGACAUUGUUUUUUUCUAGGGUUUGGGUGUCCUCGAGAGUUUUGAUCGAGCGAGAGGGCCGGGGGGGGUGCUCCCGUGGUAUAAGUUAUCACGGUCGAGAGGGGGUAUAAAUAUCGACCGUCCAUCAUGUUGAAGUUAUCUGGGAGGGAGUUAUAUAUAUCGACAACGACGACAUACAUACAUGGGAAAAUAAUGUUAUCGGGGAGGGGGUAUAUCGAGCCCCCCCCCCACGUGUUGAAUUUAUCGGGAGGGGGUUAUAUCGACAACGACGACAUACGUACAUGGGAAAAUAAUAUUAUCGGGGAGGGGGUAUAUCGACCCCCCCUCAUGUUGAAGUUAUCGGGAGAGGGGUAUAUCGACGACGACAGACCCGAUAAAACAUAAGAAAACGAAGAAGAAAUAAAAAGAGGAGAAGAAGAAAAGGAAUAGAGGAGAAGAUCGAAGAAAAAAAAGAAGAAGAAAAAAGAGGAGAAGAAGAAAGGAAUAGAGGAGAGAAGAAGAAAAAAUAGAAUUUUUUCUAUUUUUUCUUCUUCUCUUCUAUUCCUUUCUUCUUCUCCUCUUCUUUUUCUUCUUUUUUCCUCGUCUUAUUUAUUUCUCCUCUUCUUCCUCUCCUCUUCUUCUCCUUUCUUCCUAUUUCAUCAUUGUUCAUAUUUCAUUGUUCAUAUUUCAUCAUGUUCAUAUUUCGAAAAAAGUAAAGGUUUUGCCUAAUGCAUUGUUCAUAUUUCAUCAUGUUCUAUGAACAAAAAAACAUCAUAUUUCAUCCACAUCCAUGCAUACAUCAUAUAUGUGAUCAUCUAUGAAAAAAACAUCAUAUUCUAUAAAAAAAUCAUUACAUAUAUAUAUGAACAAAAACAAUUAUGAUAACAAGCAUAUAUAUCAUCAUAUAUAUAAAAAAACAAGUAUAUAUAUGAAAAAAAACAAGAAAAAAUGCGGGCCAGUGAGGGCGCCGGCCGGACCAAGGUGAGGAGGACCGCGGGGUCGGCGGCGAGGAUGGCGACGGGGCAGUGGGCGCGCGCUCGGGGUAGGGGGCGACGGCGGCGAAGGGCGGGGCAGGGCGACGACGANNNNNNNNNNNNNNNNNNNNNNNNNNNNNNNNNNNNNNNNNNNNNNNNNNNNNNNNNNNNNNNNNNNNNNNNNNNNNNNNNNNNNNNNNNNNNNNNNNNNNNNNNNNNNNNNNNNNNNNNNNNNNNNNNNNNNNNNNNNNNNNNNNNNNNNNNNNNNNNNNNNNNNNNNNNNNNNNNNNNNNNNNNNNNNNNNNNNNNNNNNNNNNNNNNNNNNNNNNNNNNNNNNNNNNNNNNNNNNNNNNNNNNNNNNNNNNNNNNNNNNNNNNNNNNNNNNNNNNNNNNNNNNNNNNNNNNNNNNNNNNNNNNNNNNNNNNNNNNNNNNNNNNNNNNNNNNNNNNNNNNNNNNNNNNNNNNNNNNNNNNNNNNNNNNNNNNNNNNNNNNNNNNNNNNUAUUUUUGUUUCUACUUACAACAAAAAACUUAUUUAUUUUAUUUUAUUUUGUUUCUAAUUACUUAUUUAUUUUACUUUAUGAUAAUUUUUUUUGCUAUUAAAGUUUCUAUCAAAAAAAGUUCUUUAUGAAAAUUCUUUUUUGCUUUUAAUGAUUUUGAACAGAAAAUACUUCGAUAAUUUUAGUUGCAUCAAUUUUAUAUGAUUUUAGUUUCAAUAAUACUAGAGGUUUCUUAUAAUGUUUUGAACAGAAAAUACUUUGUUAAUUUUAGUUUCAUAAAUUUUAUUAAAGUUUAUUUUAUUUUGUCGUAACACAAGAAGUCCGGAGUUGUAAUAAGUUAUUAAAAAUAAAAAAGAGGCGCAAUGCUCGUUGAUUUGCUUCAAGCCUUUCGGAAUAGUGUAGACUGCACUGCACAUAGCUCCAUGCAGUCUACCUUAUUCCUCAAGGCUUGAAGCUAAGCAACGUGAAGGUGAGCAUUGCGCCUCUUCUUCAUCGUCUCUGCACUCAGGGCUUAUAAACCGCUCCUAGUGCCUCUCAGCUAGCGAGGUGACUAAAAAACUGCUUAGUAAGAAACUCUAGUACCGGUUCGUGCCACGAACCGGUACUAAAGGUGCUCGUGGGGCCACAGCCUCAUUAGUACCGGUUCGUGGCACCAACCGGGACCAAAGGGUGGAAUUGGUCCCGGUUCGUGCCACCAACCGGGACCAAUGGCCUUGCACAGCGGCGUGGUGGUGGGAGUUUAGUCCCACCUCGCUAGCUGAGAGAGAGAGUCGCACCUGUUUAUAAGGUGCGGUGCACCUGAGCUGUCGAGCUCCUCUCUAAAGCAGGCUUACGGGCCUAACCUCUCUGUACAUGCCUGUGGGCCUACUGGGCCUUCUGCGGGCCUGAAUCCUGGCCCAUGGAUGGGUUUCUAAUCGUAUUCAGGCCGUGGUGGCCCAGUAGGUGGCAUAAUUUUUAAUUUUUGGCCUGUUAUUUUUCAUGCAUUUACUAAUUAUUUUGAGCUAUAAGACCCUAAAAUUGAAAAGCAUUUCAAAUGAACUCUGAAAAGGUUGAAAGUUGGCAUGGUAUCAUCAUUUCAUCCACAUAGCAUGUGCAAGAAAGUUGAGAGGGUUACGGCAAACACUGGAUGCACUUCGUGUACAAAACGGACAAUGGUAUCAUACUCGUCUGUUACAAAGUUGGCAUGGUAUCAUCAUAAUAGUUGCGGGAGAAAGUCUUCACUUUUUCUUCGCUUGUGUCAUUUGCUUAUUGCGCCGUAACCAUGGAUAAUCUUCAUCGUUUAUCAGGAUGCUUGGGUCAGCCUUGACUUUGAAGGGAGGAAUUUCAUGAAACUUUUCAUAAUCUUCAGACAUGUCUGUCUUGCCCUCCACUCCCACAAUGUCCCUUUUUCCUGAAAGAACUAUGUGGCGCUUUGGCUCAUCGUAUGAUGUAUUCGCUUCCAUAUCUUUUCUUUUUCUCGGUCUGGUAGACAUGUCCUUCACAUAGAUAACCUGUGCCACAUCAUUGGCUAGGACGAAUGGUUCGUCAGUGUACCCAAGAUUGUUCAGAUCCACUGUUGUCAUUCCGUACUGUGGGUCUGCCUGUACCCCGCCUCCUGACAGAUUGACCCAUUUGCACUUAAACAAAGGGACCUUAAAAUCAUGUCCGUAGUCAAGUUCCCAUAUGUCCAUUAUGUAACCAUAAUAUGUGUCCUUUCCCCUCUCGGUUGCUGCAUCAAAGCGGACACCGCUGUUUUGGUUGGUGCUCUUUUGAUCUUGGGCGAUCGUGUAAAAUGUAUUCCCAUUUAUCUCGUAUCCUUUGUAAGUCAAUACAGUCGAAGAUGGUCCCCUGGACAACGAGUACAACUCAUCACAAACAGUGGUGUCACCUCUGAGACGUGUUUCCAACCAACUGCUGAAAGUCCUGAUGUGUUCACAUGUAAUCCAGUCGUCACACUGCUCCGGGUGUUUGGAGCGCAGACUGUUCUUGUGUUCAUCGACAUACGGGGUCACCAAGGUAGAGUUCUGUAGAACUGUGUAGUGUGCUUGAGACCAAGAAUAUCCGUCCCUGCAUAUUAUUGAGUCCCCUCCAAGCGUGCCUUUUCCAGUCAGUCUCCCCUCAUACCGCGAUUUAAUGAGACCUAUCUUCUUAAGGCCAGGAAUGAAGUCAACACAAAACCCAAUGACAUCCUCUGUUUGAUGGCCCAUGGAGAUGCUUCCUUCUGGCCUAGCACGGUUACGGACAUAUUUCUUUAGGAUUCCCAUGAACCUCUCAAAGGGGAACAUAUUGUGUAGAAAUACGGGCCCCAGAAUGACAAUCUCAUCGACUAGAUGAACUAGGACGUGUGUCAUGAUAUUGAAGAAGGAUGGUGGGAACACCAGCUCGAAACUGACAAGACACUGCGCCACAUCACUCCUUAGCCUUGGUAUGAUUUCUGGAUCGAUCACCUUCUGAGAGAUUGCAUUGAGGAAUGCACAUAGCUUCACAAUGGCUAAUCGGACAUUUUCCGGUAGAAGCCCCCUCAAUGCAACCGGAAGCAGUUGCGUCAUAAUCACGUGGCAGUCAUGAGACUUUAGGUUCUAGAAAUUUUUCUCUGGCAUAUUUAUUAUUCCCUUUAUAUUCGACGAGAAGCCAGUCGGGACCUUCAUACUGAGCAGGCAUUCAAAGAAGAUUUCUUUCUCUUCUUUCGUAAGAGCGUAGCUGGCAGGACCUUCAUACUGCUUCGGAGGCAUGCCGUCUUUUUCGUGCAAACGUUGCAGGUCCUCCCGUGCCUCAGGUGUAUCUUUUGUCUUCCCAGACACGCCCAAGAAGCCUAGCAGGUUCACGCAAAGGUUCUUCGUCACGUGCAUCACGUCGAUUGAAGAGCGGACCUCUAGCUCUUUCCAGUAGGGUAGGUCCCAAAAUAUAGAUUUCUUCUUCCACAUGGGUGCGUGUCCCUCAGCGUCAUUCGGAACAGCUAGUCCGCCGGGACCCUUUCCAAAGAUUACGUGUAAAUCAUUGACCAUAGCAAGUACGUGAUCACCGGUACGCAUGGCGGGCUUCUUCCGGUGAUCUGCCUCGCCUUUGAAAUGCUUGCCUUUCUUUCAACAUUGAUGGUUGGUCGGAAGAAAUCGACGAUGGCCCAGGUACACAUUCUUCCUGCAUUUGUCCAGGUAUAUACUUUCAGUGUCAUCUAAACAGUGCGUGCAUGCGUGGUAUCCCUUAUUUGUCUGUCCUGAAAGGUUACUGAGAGCGGGCCAAUCGUUGAUGGUUAUAAACAGCAACGCGUGCGGGUUAAAUUCCUCCUGUUUGUGCUCAUCCCACGUACGUACACCGUUUCCAUUCCACGGCUGUAAAAGUUCUUCAACUAAUGGCCUUAGGUACACAUCAAUGUCGUUGCCGGGUUGCUUAGGGCCUUGGAUGAGAACUGGCAUCAUAAUGAACUUCCGCUUCAUGCACAUCCAAGGAGGAAGGUUAUACAUACAUAGAGUCACGGGCCAGGUGCUGUGAUUGCUGCUCUGCUCCCUGAAAGGAUUAAUGCCAUCCGCGCUUAAACCAAACCAUACGUUCCUUGGGUCAGCUGCAAACUCAGCCCAGUACUUUCUCUCGAUUUUUCUCCACUCGACCCGUCAGCGGGUGCUCUCAACUUCCCGUCUUUCUUACGGUCCUCACUGUGCCAUCGCAUCAACUUGGCAUGCUCUUCGUUUCCGAACAGACGUUUCAACCGUGGUAUUAUAGGAGCAUACCACAUCACCUUCGCAGGAACCCUCUCCCUGGGGGGCUCGCCGUCAACAUCACCAGGGUCAUCUCGUCUGAUCUUAUACGCAAUGCACCGCAUACCGGGCAUGCGUUCAGAUCCUUGUACGCACCGCGGUAGAGGAUGCAGUCAUUAGGGCAUGCAUGUAUCUUCUGCACCUCCAAUCCUAGAGGGCAUACGACCUUCUUUGCUGCGUAUGUACUGUCGGGCAAUUCGUUAUCCUUUGGAAGCUUCUUCUUCAAUAUUUUCAAUAGCUUCUCAAAUCCUUUGUCAGGCACAGCAUUCUCUGCCUUCCACUGCAGCAAUUCCAGUACGGUACCGAGCUUUGUGUUGCCAUCUUCGCAAUUGGGGUACAACCCUUUUUUGUGAUCCUCUAACAUGCGAUCGAACUUCAACUUCUCCUUUUGACUUUCACAUUGCGUCCUUGCAUCGACAAUGACCCGGCGGAGAUCAUCAUCAUCGGACACUGGUUCCUCUUGAUCUUCAGCAGCUUCCCCCCUUGCAGCAUCAUUGGGCACAUCGUCUGGUUCCUCUUGAUCUUCAGCAGCUUCCCCCGUUGCAGCAUCACCGUAUUCAGGGGGCACAUAGUUGCCAUCGUCCUCUUCUUCUUCGCCGUCUUCCAUCAUAACCCCUAUUUCUCCGUGCCUCGUCCAAACAUUAUAGUGUGGCAUGAAACCCUUGUAAAGCAGGUGGGUGUGAAGGAUUUUCCGGUCAGAGUAAGACUUCGUAUUCCCACAUAUAGGGCAUGGACAACACAUAAAACCAUUCUGCUUGUUUGCCUCAGCCACUUCGAGAAAAUCAUGCACGCCCUUAAUGUACUCGGAGGUGUGUCUGUCACCUUACAUCCAUUGCCGGUUCAUCUGCGUGCAUUAUAUAUAAUUAAGUGUGUCAAAAACCAUUACAGAACAUCAUGAAUAGAUAAUUAAGUGACCAAAUUAAUAGAAGUUCAUCAUCACAUUAAAACCAAAGUACAUACAUAGUUCUCAUCUAACAACAUAUAUAUAGCUCUCCAGAGCAUCUAAUUAACUAAACCAUACAUUGAAACUAUGUAAAACAUUUCAAUGCGAAAACAAAUGCGAUCAUAAUCGCAACCAAGGUAACAAUUGAUCCAACGGCAUAAUGAUACCAAGCCUCGGUAUGAAUGGCAUAUUUUCUAAUCUUUCUAAUCUUCAAGCGCAUUGCAUCCAUCUUGAUCUUGUGAUCAUCGACGACAUCCGCAACAUGCAACUCCAAUAUCAUCUUCUCUCCUCAAUUUUUUUAUUUUUUCCUUCAAGUAAUUGUUUUCUUCUUCAACUAAAUUUAACCUCUCGACAAUAGGGUCGGUUAGAAUUUCCGGUUCAACCACCUCCUAGAUAAAUAAAAUCUAUGUCACGUUGGUCGGUAUAUUUGUCAUAAACAAUAAAUGAACCAAAUAGUUAUAAAAAGAUAAUAUAUACCACAUCCGAAUCAUAGAUAGGACGAGGGCCGACGGGGGCGGAUACCAAAACCAUCGCACUAUGUAAUAAGAAGGAAUAAUAAAAGUAACAAAAUUAGACAAGUAUCUAUCUAAAGUAAGAAUUUUUCCCUUUCAGAAAGAAGAUAAGAACAAGAGGCUCACCACGGUGGUGCUGGCGACGAGAUCGGCGCGGGCGAUCGACGGCGGUGAAGACAGGGACGGGACGUGACGGACCGCUAAACCUAGACAAAUCUCGGGGAAAAUGGAGCUCGGAGGUCAAGUUUCGAGAGGAGAAAGAUUAACUAGCGUGGCUCAGACAUUUCAUCGAACACCUCAUGUGCAUAGGAGGUGAGCUAGAGCACCCAAAUGCCCUCCCCUCGCCGGCCAGAAAAAACAGAGCACUAUGGAGUGCUUUGCUGUGGCGAUGGGGUAUAUAUAGGGAACUCAUUGGUCCCGGUUCGUGGCANNNNNNNNNNNNNNNNNNNGUGGCUCAGACAUUUCAUCGAACACCUCAUGUGCAUAGGAGGUGAGCUAGAGCACCCAAAUGCCCUCCCCUCGCCGGCCAGAAAAAACAGAGCACUGUGGAGUGCUUUGCUGUGGCGAUGGGGUAUAUAUAGGGAACUCAUUGGUCCCGGUUCGUGGCACCAACCGGGACUAAAGGCCUUUGGUCCCGGUUGGUGCCACGAACCGGGACCAAUGCCCCCUUUAGUCCCGGUUGGUGGCACCAACCGGGACCAAAGGCCUUGUGCUGCCCCGCGUCAAAAGUUUAGUCCCACCUCGCUAGUUGAGAGAGCUCGAGAGUGGUUUAUAAGCGNNNNNNNNNNNNNNNNNNNNNNNNNNNNNNNNNNNNNNNNNNNNNNNNNNNNNNNNNNNNNNNNNNNNCACCUCGCUAGUUGAGAGGGCUCGAGAGUGGUUUAUAAGCUCUGCUGCGCCCACCCUCUCGAGCUCCUCUCAACUGCAGGCUUUCGGGCCUAACCGUUCUCUUUGCCUGUGGGGCCUACUGGGCCUUCUGCGGGCCUGAAUCCUGGCCCAUGGAUGGGUUUCAAGUCGUAUUCAGGCCGUGUUGGCCCAGUAGGUGGCAUAAUUUUUUUUCUUUGUUUUUUGUUUUCUCUUUUGCUUUAUUUGUUUUGUUUUGUUUCUACUUACAACAAAAAACAUAUUUAUUUUAUUUCUAAUUACUUAUGUAUUUUACUUUAAUUAUUUUAUUUUUAUUUAUUUUACUGCUGCUAUUUUUAUUUAAUUUAUUAAGGUUUAUUUAUUUUAGUUACUAUAGUUUAUUUUAUUAAGGUUUAUUUAUUUUAUUAAGGUUUAUUUAUUUAUUUACUAUACAAAAAUGAACAUAGAUGCGCCUAUAGAGAAAAUUCAACCUAAAUUCAUAAUAAAUUUCUAUGAAAUUCAAAGAAAUUUACUGUGAAUUUAGGUCAAAUUCCCUGUAUAAAGGCAGCUAUUUUCACUUUGAGAGGAGCUCAACAAGGCAGAGAGGGACGGGCUUAUAAACUGGUGUGAGCGCCCUUCGGUUGGCGAGGUGGGACUAAACACUGGCCGCAACUAGGACCAGCCCUUUAGUCCCGGUUUGUGGUAUGAACCGGGACUAAAGGGUGGUGGGCCAGGAGCGUGGCCCAUUGGUCCCGGUUUGUCCCACCAACCGGGACCAAAGGGGCCGGACGAACCGGGACCAAUGCCCCGACGAGGCCCGGCAGGCCCCUGGCCGCACGAACCGGGACCAAUGCUCACAUUAGUCCCGGUUCGUGACUGAACCGGGACUAAUGUGAAUAUUGCCUUGUGACCAAAGCCCAGUUUUCUACUAGUGAUGGUUCAACGACCCUGCUGUCAGCAAAGUGCCACCUUUGGGCAAGAACGAGGCCCAGCCGGCUGGAACGGGGAAGAGAAGGCCACCGGCGGCUGCCAGCCAAGCUGCAGCCACCGUGCCAUUUCUCGAACCGGGCUCGGGCAACCGUCACCACCCUCGAGAUCGGAUCUGGGCGGGCCAGCCGAAGCCGCUCCCCGUGAGCACAUCCGCCACGUCGCCCAACGCACCACCGCCGCGCCGCCGCCACAGCCCAUACGAUCAUUAAAAGUGGAUCAGGUUCCACUAUAAAUGGUUUAUGUCGACGUCCAGGCAGAUUUCAGGGAAGGGUUGUGUGCCUUGGACAUACAAGAAUUAUCGGCCAAGCCUCGUUCACAAACACUGUGUCUUGGUGUCAUCUAUGAUCUCACACCACAUGCAUGUUCAUAAAGAUACUGUGGCGCACGGCAUGCUUUAUUUUGUUUGUCCUUGAUACCUUUCUUGUUUCUUUUUUUUAGAAUAUUUUCAUUUAUAUCACGAAUCAACACAAAGAAGUUGACCCUUACAAGCACACUGAAACGUAAACAUAAAGGACCAUGAACACCCAGAGUACCCUAAGACAACCAUAACACAAGAAGAUCUCUGGAGCCCUGUGUCAUCAUCCCUGAAUCUUGAGAGAAGGCCCCUGCAGCAGAAGGAUCUGCAAAGUCGCAAGCAGGUCAUCAUCUUCGACCACGGUACAAUUGCCGCCACGCUGCUUCCUCCUUUCUUGACACCAGCACUGAGAGGGCAUGGACAUCAAUCCAACACACCUGCAACAACCGUCGCCAUCUUUGGCUUUGAGUACCGCGAAAAGUGUCCCUUUCGGAAGGAAGAGAACUCGAGUCAUCCGACCGGUCCAGCACCGCGGCCGGGCCAUCCGCCCGGACAAAGCAGGAUCUCCCACCAGCAUCAGCGCAGAGGAAGGAGAAGAACAACAUCAGCAAAUUAUACCAACAAGGAAGAAGGGUCUUCGUCUUCCUGCAUCCAUCGCCCAUCUGAGGACCCAAACGGCCAGUGCCAAUGGACCUCCAGCCACCAUAGCCCGCGACCUUGACAAGAUCCGGGGAUCCCCAACCUCGCUGGCUCCUAGACGAAGGCAAAAGCCUCGCCUGACUGCGAACGGAGCCCGGAGAAACUUAUUCCGACGCGACACCACCGCAACGGCCUCGGCAGCGUCUCCCUCAACCCUAACCCUACCACACACCCACCUAGCGAACAGACCCGAGGUUCCCCCUCCCUACCGCCGCCGGAGUGGCCGACGGAGAGAGAGAGAACCAGCGGUGUCACCGGCGGCGCGCAAGGGAACCCUCGUCGCCUCGCUUGAUCGCCUCGUGCGAUCCUACUUUUUUGGGGCGGUUCGCUCCUAUCUAGACGAGGAUCUGUGGGUAGUCUGGUAGAUCGAUAUCUUUCUUGUUUCUGUAAAACAAGACUUGGUAUCACUUGGCAUAUGUGGUAAGCUAUCUGAAAGAUAGAAAAGUAAACAAAGACUUGGUUGUGAUGCUCAAGUGGCUGUCCUACCACGGACCUUUACUUUCAUAAAAUAAGAGCAGGGCCACAUCUUAUAGAGAUUCGUUAAUCAAUCAAUCGGCAUCCGAAGCAGAUGAUCAAGUGUCUUUUUUUUUUCGGGGUAUCAAGUGUCUUUUAGUGUGUGUUUGUUUGCGUGCUACUUGAGCAGUGGUUAGCACACAGGAGUAUAUAACCAAUCUUAGAGCAUUUCUAACCGAGCCCCAAAAAUAGCGAAGUAUCCGUCGAAGUAAGAGCAUUUCUAACUGAUCCCCUAGAAAUAACGGAGUAUCCGGCGGAGUAAACACUUAGUGGAGUAUUUUUACUCCACUAAGUUUUCGCCGGACCUAACUAAUCCCUUAGUGGAGUAAAUUUUUUCAUUUGCAUUUUAUUUUCGGCCACCGCCACAUUUCUUGACUUCUUCAUUUUAUUCAAUGACAUUUUGAUACAUUUGAGUACAUGAUUCACCAAUGCUUCGCUGCGAGAGCAAGACAAAAAAAAGAACCACAAUUAGACACUUCAAAAGAUAUCCAAUUUUCAUAACUGCUCCCACCAGUUGGAUCAAUACCUUCUCCAUCUCUUCAUUGUUGAUUCUCUUUAUUGGCUUCUCGAGCUUGCACAUUUCUUUCUUUUACAAUUCCGAAGAAUUUGACGUUGCUUUGCAUCUAGGCUCAUCUCCAGCCUCUAUCUAGCAACAGGUGCGUGAGAAUUUAUCAAAUUUCAUGCUAUCAAUAGAUCAAUGUAAUCCUCUUCCCAGUACCAAAACUUGCAAACAUCCUACACACAUAUUUGAGCAAACAAUGCGCUAUCAAAAUUGUGCUGAACCCGGUGAACAACCGAAUCAAAAGAAGUACAUACUCCAUCUUUUUUGCACUUGAAGAACACCCAUCCGGGAUGUUUCGGCUUGGUAGAAACUCGGCGCACCACCUGCCACGGGCAGUCGUCGCACUUUAUGACCGACAACUGUGAGCCCUUGAGCCGCUGGGCCAGCGCCAAGCCCGGGCAACGACCGGGCGUGUCAUUGUUGGCAAAACCAUCGACGGGAGAGAUCCGACCGGCUAGAGGCGGAGUCAAUAGUUGCAUGUGGCGCGGGGGCGUUGCGGGGGCUGUGAGAUCCUGUACCAGGCAAAUUCAUGGCAAUGCGCAGUCGCUGGCGGUCGGAAGCGCCAAAUCCGGCGCCGGCGGGAGCCGCAGAUCUACCGAUUGUGCGCUGGUGACGGGAUGAGGGAGACACAAAUCCGAGUGGUCAAGGAGCGUCCGCGGUGGAGGUUGGUGGCCGGCGAGAGGUGGGAGGGGCGGCGCCGGCGAAGAUGCGGCGCGGAAGAGGUAGAGGAGAGGAAAUUUUUUACUCAGCCACCGAGCGAUGGAAUAAAUAUAAAAAGACGUGGCGCGGCACAUGUGUGGAUAAUUUAUCCUUCACUAGCAUCGGUUGGGGAUCGGCUAGGUGCCGGUUGAAGGAGUAAAAUUCGGAGCCUGGUUUGAGCCAUUGAAGGUCCAGUCCUUGGAGCGUGCUGCCUAAAGACAAAAGCAUCGGAAUGAUGCCAAAGAAGCUCCAACACACGGAAGAACAAAAGAAUAAAACUUUGCUUGGCUUUUGCUUCAGAAUGGUUCCUUUUUUCUCCCAUAUAUACGAUCCUGAAAAAUGGAUCAUGUUCCAGCAUCAAUGGUUUAUGUAGACGUCCAGACAGAUUUCAGGGAAGGGUCAUGUGUCUCGGACAUAGAUUGCGUCGGUGUCAUCUACUCCCUCCGUCUCAUAAUAUAAGAACGUUUUUAACACUACACUAGUGUUAAAAACGUUCUUAUAUUAUGGGACGGAGGGAGUAGUAGUUAUCUGGCAUCGCAUGUUGAUAAAGAUACGGUGGCACAUGGCAUGCUUUUAUUUUAUUUCUCCUUGAUAUCUUUCUUCUUUCUGUAAAACAAGACUUGGUACCACAUGCACAUGCAUGGCAUAUGUGAUAAGCUAUCUCAAGGAUACAAAAGUAAAAUCGGUUGUGAUUCUCGAGUCUGCAAGAAGCGUGGCUGUCCUACGACGAUGGACCUUUACUUACUUUAAUAAAAACAAGAUGCGGGCCACCAUCUUGUAGAGAUUCGUUGAUCAAUCGAUCGGGCCGGCAUCCCAAGCAGGUGAUCAAGUGUCCUUUUGUGUGUGUUUGUUUGCGUGCUAUUCAUAGAUUAAAAUAGCCCGCGAAAUAGCCGCGAUAGCUGCGCUAUAGCUGUCCGGGAGCCUCGCUGCUACGCUAUGGCUGCUGCCGCGAAAUCCUUCACAUAUCUCUACUCUUAAUGUCUCAGUUGGUAGUCCGCGUUUCGGGUUUAAUUUCGUCCCACCUUUCAUGGUUUUUUUUGAUACCUCCUCCCACCUUCCACUUUCAAAAAAACCAACCAAAACCACGUCCACAUAGUUCUCUCGCACGCCAGAAAAACGGACGAAAUUAAACCUACGAAAUUAAACCAGCGAAAAAAGUUCCGCUACUCGCACGAGCGAGCGAGCCAGCGAGCAGCGAGGCGCCCAGAGAGCCCUCGAGCGAGAACCCCGCUGUCGUCUCCCUCAGAAGCAGCCGCCCGCCGAAUCAAAUCGCGCUGCCAGCCUCGUCCGCCUCGCCGUGCCUGCGUCCCUCCCCGGACGUCGGCGACGAUGGAGGGAUCCACUGGCGCUGGCCAGGCCCCCGGCCGAUGGACGCGCCGGAUCGUCGCUCCUCUGGGCCAGCCCCUCCCGCCGCGCUGGAUCACGUGGCAGCCUAGGUAACCCUAACCAGCCCCCGAUCAUCGCAUCUCUCCCUGAAUCCCUCCUCCUCCACGAGCCGUGCGGUGUGCUUCCCUCCCACACGCUGCUCCUCUCCCUCCCCAAAUCAACAUGGAUCUCGCGCUGCUGGAUCCCCUCCUCUCCCUCCCUGAUUUGCCGUGAAUCUUGUGCUGCGAGAGCUGCUCCUAUCCCUUCCCUGGCCGCCAUGGAUCUCGCCAGGCACCAUCGGAGGAAGCCCCACACCCAGGCUUGAUGUGCUGGGGCUAUACUAUCAUCUUUUGGAUCUCAUAGAUCACUGAAUUUAUGUUCAGCAUAAAAAAAGGCUGCUUGGCUGCACCAAUUCCAUGUAGCUAAUAAACUAUGAGACAACAUUUUUUCGGAAUCUCCAGCAUUUGAUUCAUUUUCGGUGCUGUAUGUGAAAUAGUAUGAUUUAUGGAUACUGGGAUGCAUCAACGCAAUUUUACAGCCUUAGUCUAUAAUCUGAUUGAUGAUUGUUACAUACAUAAACUCCUGAUUCUUCCAUACAACAAAACAGUUCGUCAGUUGUUUUACUCGUGUAUUCUCACAUAGUAUUUUUUUUUGAGUUACAAAAAUAAUGCAUAACAUGUUGAUCACAAUACUGUGCCAGCUUGUCAGAGAUGGCAAAGCUGUUAUAUACAGGGUACGGCUCCGAGCUAGCCGAUGCCUACUGUAUCCAGUGUUCUGUUGCAUCCGGUGCGACCUCAAAGAAUACCUUCUUCUAGCUGGGCGUUGAGCGCCUCAGGGACGACGAGGUGCAGCGCCUGGGGUGGAAGCAGUUCAACUACACGAUGAAGAAGUGAGUGAAGGGGUUAAGACGGUUGUGUUGUGCGUGCGCUGCUUGCUUGCUGGUGAGUGUCGCCUCUGUGACUAGGUGUUCUUUGCUGUCUAUGCCCUCUGUAGUUUAAGGUGUUUGUUCUUUUAGCAGCCAUUAAAAUACUGCAAUGUAAAUGAAUGUCUUCUCUAUGUCUACAGCAUGCACUUGAAGUAUAGAACUAAUGGCAGUGUUUUGUCUAUACAAUAUAUUAGUAUGUUAUACAUGUUUUUGAUUCUAAGUGUAUUAUAAAUUAGUAUAGACUAUCUAUCAUCCUUUCAUUCAGUUUUUGCAGAGAAGUUCCGUUGCCUUGCAAAUGUUAAAAAACUUAAAUACAGUGAAUGAUUGUGUUUUCAGAUGGGAAACGCCAUUUCCAGUAAUAGUUGGACAACCUCAAAAGAAUUGCUCGAGUAACAUGUUUCCAAGCAGCAUACUCCAUAAUCUUUCAAAUUAUAGGCAAAGUUAUACAAGAAACACUGACCUAGGAGUUAGUGUAGUACUUUGUUCAUCAUUCCAUAAUUUCUUUGCACCUAGACGUGGAUCCUAAUGGCUUACUAAGAUCUUAAUUUUCCAUCAUGGUGGUUUGAGUUUGUUGCCUGCGCUUAUUACUAGGAAAUGAAGCUCUCAGCCUGGUUCUAACAAACUUAACUGAACUUCUGCACACGAGAUAAAUAAAUACAGUGUAUUAAGAUGUUAAGAGUCCUUAUACUGAUAUUUUAUUUAGUUCUUUUUAUUCAAGGAUACAUUAAUUAAGUUUCAAAGUUAAUUGUCAUUUUUAGUAAAUUGGUGUGUGGUAGCAUUCUUUAGGUAGUUGAUUACGUCACUUGAAUCUUUGCAGCUGUUGCAUAUAGCUUGUGGCUGUGGUUGUCCAGCCGGGUUAUCUCUGGCUGCAGAAUCAUCAAAGAAAGGAUCCACUGCUGGUCUCAUUGGCCUUGAUCUUCCAUUCACAAGCAAUUAAUGUUUAUGGGAGCACGAAUUCAAAGUAGCACAUUUUCGCGGCUGUGAAAUGCAGCAACAUGUUUGGAUAGCUGACCAAAAAGGAUCUCACUGAAAAACUGAAAUAUUUAAGUAACACGUCAACGACGGCUGCGUCCUGCGUGUUGGGAAGGCGGCGGCGACGGAUGGUGUGCAGGAUGCGGCCUUUUUUGUGUAUAGCUCUCUAAACUUGACAGUUGAGUUUCUUUUUGGUCAUGUUAAAACUGAGUUUCUGUUAGUUCAGUUUGCACAAGCGGCCAUAGUGCGGACCAUCAGGAGACAGGGGCACACAAGCACCAGCACGGCAGCACCACCAUCAGAACACACCAGACGGCUCGCAUAGGGAAUACUUCAAGAUGGACACUGGUGGUACAACAUGGCUUACUAUCAUCUGUUUACACAUGGCUAAUUUGACGGAAUAGCUUUGGCCAUCUUUGAUAUAUGUUACUCCUACUACAGAUUUCGCUCCCUCGUCUCCAAGAAAUUCCCUACUAGCUACACUUGACAUGAGAGUCCAAUUUGAAUUCCCAAUGAGAGGAAAGCUAUGAUUCGUUCGCUCCACUUUUAGCUUUGUAUCUCCUCCUGAAGACAUCCUCCCUGAACUACUUGAUUUCAGCCAUCAGGUCCAGGCUUCUACUGAAUGGUGUCCUCUGUCUCCAGCGCCCAUUUCCGCUUAGCGAGUUGUUGGAUUGCAUCCUACUUCUUAUUUUCCUCCUGCACACCGUCUCCCUUUGUGUCGUCAAUCACGUACUAUAACAUUUGACAAAUAGUAUGUGUUGUGUUGGUGUCAGCAUGCCAGCACUACAUGAAUGAUCCCACUGCUGCAGACUUCAGCCAAUACUGGCCGGCUAUGUUUACAAACAGAAAUGAAUUAUUCAGAGAAGAGGAGCAGACGUGCUGCAAAAUUUACCUCAAGGUGGUGAAUCAGCAAAUCGAGGGACUUAUUUUUUGGUGGGGCCAGCAGGGUAUCCCAUUACCUUAAUUUCCUCUUCAGUGUGCUGACUCCGAUCUCCAGAGUCAUGGUUGCUUCUUUCUUAGUCUGUUUAAAUCGGUUAUUUCUUUCAAUAUGCACUCUCACAAUCAUAUACUUUUUCUGUUCUUGAUGGUACAGGGAAUGAAUGAAACAAUGUCUUCUCAUCAAGGAAAAGACUUGUGUUCUCCUUAUAGAACAUAAUUUAUUAUGUGAGGCAUUUGCCAUUACAACAUCUUGUCCAGGGUAUGAUUUUUCUUCCACUAAACUGAACUGCCUCGCAUACAAUUGUAUGUAAUACCCCCUUUUCCAAAAAUAAAUGACAUCCUAUGGGUAAAAUAGUUAUGCUGAACCAUGGUGCCGUCAUACAAACAGUGUAGAUUUCAGAGCUAGCGUAUACUUCCUAGAUGUUGAGUAAUUGUUUGUAACUUGCUUAUAGACCUCAGUAGUUUAGUUGUUUGUAACUUUGCUCACAUACUUCAGUAGUUUGGUGUGAAAAAUGAAAGGGUAUCUAGAAAAGUAUUGGGUUAGUGCUACCGAUGACAUUUGAAAUAAGUAAAUAAACACACAAGGUUUGAAUUUUAUUUAUUUUUAGUUUUCCAGAUAAUGUGGUUCAUGCUGAUGUGAUCAGAGACAUUAUGAUUGAUGCUACAUCCUCUCUUUGUCCAUAGAUCUAGGUUUUUACACAUCGCUGGUACUUGUUAUAUUGUUUGGAUCUGACUGUUCUGCGUAAUCACCAAAAUUAACUGUGACCAGAAUCCAUGCGGGAAACAUGCAGUGUACAGAGAAAUCAGGUCAGCUACCUUGCCUUUGGAAUUUUUGAGAAAGUGAAUAGAGGAUGUAACAAACCAACCCAUGAUCUUGCAGCGCUUUCACAGGCUGAUAGGAGAAAUUUUUGGGUGGGGCCUGCAUGUUUCGAGAGAAUUGUCGUGUCAUAGUGCUAACUAGGAAAAUGUUGAGGAGGUCCUGUUGCGUCCCAUGUUCAAUAUAAGGUAAAAGAAAUAAUAAACUCCUGGUUCUACCAAAUGUGUGAACUUAAAAUGAAAUCACGCGUAUGACGCCACUAUACUAUAUUGUAUUGUUCUAUCAAGAAAAACACCCUCCAUUUGGAGGGAAUAAAUCUCUUACAAAUACCAAUGAAACAUGGCCAAGCAAGAGCAAGCUAUUAUUUUUUAAGUACCAAAUGCUUUCUCCUCUUUUACAACCGGUUGUGAGAACAUAUAUUGCCGAACUGAAAUUUUUGUAUUGUUUUUAACAUAUGUGAACUGGGUGGUCAUUUUAGAUCUAAGACAUUAGUCAUAUAUUUAAACUACAAAAUGUAGUUCUAUUCUCCAAACAAAGGGGACAAGAUAUAUGUCCAUAUUACAAUUUCUGUAAUUUUUGUAAAAAAAUGUGAACUGGGCGAUCAUUUAUAUCCAAGACAUUAGUCAUACAUAUGUUACAUUCAAAUCAAUUUUUGUACUUUGUCAAGGGAUAUAAAUAUAAAAUAUGAAACGUUUAGCCAUGUGAUCAAAGUAGAUUUUGUCCGAACCGAUCUAAUUCUGGAAAUUAUCUGUUGUUUGAAAUAUAAAUAUUUAAAUCAAUACGAAAUUAAAUAUUUACAUUCAUAUAUUUGGUUAGUAUGUGAAUCAACUAACCAAUCAGCUACCAAAAAUUACAGGGGGUGUUAAAAGGGACUCGAAGCAUUUUCAUGUGUCGAUGGCACGAGAGAUCCUCCCGAUACUCUCCUCAAGGUUGACCCAACUAGAUCCUGAUGCGCCAGCGGCACGGGUGGUCAGGCCUGAGCAGCGAGCUCUUCUGCCCCCUCCUCAUUGGAUCGGCGGCCAGGGAGGCCAGAUCGCGUGGCACGAGAGAAGGCUCAUGUGUGAGGAAGGGGAGCAGCAACAUGCGUCGAUUGGGGAAGGGAGGAGCAACGGGUGCCACUGAAGGGAGGGGAGCAGCGGCAAGCGCGGAGGGAGGGGAGCACGGGAGCCCCAAGGGAGGCGGAGCAGCGGCAGGUGGCGUGGAGGUUGGAGAUCUUGGUGAGGACGGCGCGACGCGAGGUCAUGGUGGCAUGUGUCGGAGCAGUGGUAGGUGGCGUGUGCAGGUAAAUAGCAACAUCACUACCUCUUUUAUUAUGUGCAUAUUACAUUUUGAAUAUUUCAAGUAACCAGAUGGACGUGAACAUAUACACAUAAUCCACUUUCCGGUUGAAGCUUAUUUUCUUGCAUGAGUGGUGAAGAAAAUGAGUGACAAGGAUGAUGAGAAUAAAGGGAGUGCAAUGUGGUUAUUGAAGAAGGGCAAGGAAGAGGAAGACACAUGUUAGUCGGGUGAAGUCAGCAGCGAUCGCUAUCAGUGAUGUUAUUGGCCAAAUAGGUUGUCUAAACAUUUUGCUAGGUCUCCCUCAGGGAUGAUGGUGUAACCUUGUUUCAAGUAGAUAAACAGAAGUGGGCUAAAAGAGUGUCAUAUUACAACAGAUCAGUUGGUGUGAAACUAGAUGUUGGACUAAUACGUGAUGUAAUGGGCAUGAAUGCAUUCUUUUGAGGAUUGGUGGUUGCAGCAGCGCCUGAUCAUGGUUAUAAAUCUUUUUGCUGCUAAAAAGACGUUGUCCCUUGGAGAAAUAUAUGAUAGGGCCUGAUUGGAGUUUAUCAUAACUGGUAAGUAUGGAUACUUAAUUUUCUUAUCUUAUACAAAUUACAUAGGAUUCCAUUUCCUUGCUUGCUUGUGAGUAUAUUAUGGCAACAAAACACACCGCAGAUUUUGCUUUUACUUUUCCAUAUUAACACUGAAAAGAUGACCCACAAAGACACAUAAAUAACUACUCCCUCCGUUCCUAAAUAUUUGUCUUUCUAGAAGUUUCAAAUGAUGACUACAUACGGAACAAAAUGAGUGAAUCUACACUCUAAAAUAUGUCUAUAUACAUCCAUAUGUGGUGACCAUUUGAAAUCUCUAGAAAGACAAAUAUUUAGGAACGGAGGGAGUAGAUUAAAGGGUGGACAUAUAAGUUUGAGACCUGGUUAUGGCCGCCGUACUCGGGGAAGGUGCGAUGCUGUGAUGAGCAGCAGGUUGCAUCGUCAUGGUGGUCACCCUCAGCUACGAUAGAGUGCACACCUUGGCACCGGGAAUCGGCCUGGGAUGCCGUGGAGGGAAGAGGAGGGGGCGGGCAACGACUUGUCAACAAAAUAUAACAAACCCUAACAAGUCAUUUGUACUAAAACUUGGGAUACGACUCACUAUAAUAAAAAGCAUGAUGACACUCACUCUGACUAAAAGUGAUCACCUGCUUGCAUCUAGCAGCUGAUCAAUGUAUAUAAGCCAUUUAUUUUUAUUAUAUGUUCACUUGUAGAUCAGAGAGAAAAUCCGAUGGCUUCGGAUGAUGCUUUGAAAAUGUCGAUUGACAAAGUCACAGACGUAACUAACCGAGCGGACUGAAAACUAAUCGAAAUUUUAGAAUUAGAAGGGAUGCAUAAAAAUAAAUGUUCUUUACAUAUACUAUAUAUUGCAUGCGAUAAUACAGAAGAUGUAUUUCUGUAUAUGUUUAUUUUGCAGAUUAUGAGAGAGAUGGAGGUGGAUUAUGUGGACGCUCAAAAAGAUCCAUUGGCAAGGGUCCUAACGAUAUCGUUGGAAGGGGAUGCAACCAGAAAAAAGAGUUCAAAAGCCCGUAGCAACGCAUGUGCCUGAGAUUGUGGCACGGUUUAGAGGGUUGGCCUGCGGCGGAGGCGGCGACUGGGGUAGGGGGCGAUGACCAAAAUAUUUCAAAAGCCCGUGGCAACGCACGGGCAUUAUACUAGUCCCUAUAAAUGGCUCAACAAUCAACAAAUCCCACCAGAAUCAUCUCCCCCACCAGAAAAAUUUCCGCUAUUUGCCGCGAUUGCCCGCUACGGCGGCCGCUAUAGCUGCUGGGAGAGGCCGCCGCGAAAUCGUUUCUCCCGCGAUUUUAGUCUAUGGUGCUACUACUUGAGCAGUGGUUAGCACUGCUCAAUUGAGGGUCCAGUCCAGUCCAUUGAGCGUGCUGCCUAAAGGCAAAAGCAUCAUAAAAGCAGUGGAUAAAAGCAAUCGAACGAGCUGUAUUCGACCCAGCUGCUCCGAUGGCAAGCGCAAGCGCAAUGGGUCCUGCUGCUAUGUUGAACAAAGAGCAUACUCAAAGCAGCAGCAAGCCGAAUGAGGAGUUUCAACAUCUACAUCGCCCUGAGCUGCUCAUUGCCGUGGCGCGUGGCGACUUCAAUGAAAUUAAGCGCCUUCUUUUUCUUCUUCUUCUUCUUCUUCUUCACAAGGAAGGGGAAGGGGAAGGGGAAGAUGAAGAUGCAGCGCACCAGCCGGUGGAACUUGUCCUCCAUGUCGACGAGAAAAUCACCGGCAUCAAGGAUACCGUCGUGGCCGACAUCACCGGUGCAGGCCAUGUGGCGGCGUCUAGUGGAGACGCCGAUCAAUUCUUAAAGUGCGCAACGCUGAUCGCCGACGAAGCCAGUCACCUCCUCGGCGCCCGCAACCGGAAGGGCGACACCCCCCCGCACUGCGCCGCCCGGUUCGGGAAUGCUAGGAUGGUCUCUCAUCUCUUGGCUCUGGCAAGAGCCACUGGAAAUGAUGAUGAGAGGGUGAAGGUGAUCCUAAGAGUCCAGAACAACAAGCAAGAGACGGUGCUGCACGAAGCCGUCCGUUUGGAAGCCAUGGAAAUAAUCGACCCACAGCUAGCUCGUUUUCCGCUGACCGCCCUUGUACUUGGCCCUCUCGCUGGGUCACAGGGACAUUGCCCGGCUGCUCUUUGAGACAGACAACGAGCUGUCUUACUCUGGACCCGACGGCCAGAAUGCCUUCCACGCAGCUAUUCUGGGGAGGCUGGGCAAAGCUACGUCUUCAAUCAAUUUAUUUUCUACCCAUGCUUGUUUUGCCAUAUUUAUUUAUACAGUUAGGGCACUACUAAUACUCAUAUAUACUAGCUAGGUGUUUAAUUAGAUUUCAAGAGUGUAUCUUUUUUUCUUUCUUUUUUGCGGGAAGAGUCUAAUUUUUCUAGUACUACAGUCCUCUCUUCAUUUCAAAUUACUUGUCGCGCAAAUGGAUGAAUUAUGCCCCACUUCACACGAGACACGAUCUUAUGUUUCUUCCUCUACAUACAAGUGCUUGAUUGUGUAUCCGACAAAAUAAUUCUGGUUGCUAGCUUUGAAUACGCAUGCAUGCAUGCAUGCAUGCCUCACUUCACAUGUGACAAGGUUUUGUGUUUCUUGAUGUACCACAAGUCUAAAGUUAUGAAAAUCAUGAAAACAAAUAUGUGAACAUGUAUUACUGUUCCGUGUAGCGCCUCGUAAAGUUCUGUGAGAUUUUUAUUUUUUUGGGCGAGAAGGCAAAGGCAUACUGUAUUAAAAUUUCAAAGGUUCGUGAGAGUUGUUUUCACUAUAUUUUACCAGUUGUGCAAAAACAGAAAAUUGAUAUUACUAUUUUUAAAUUGGUGCAAUUUGUCACUUGGCUUCUCUUUCUCAUCCUGUUUAAUGCAUUUUUGGUGAAAUUUUGCAUACAUGUCACACGUUACCAUAUGCAGUAAAUCCUUGGUCGUAGGUUCUAAAUUCCAAAGUUUGGAAAGAGGAAGUAGUAAACAGGCUCAGACCUGUGAAUUGGAGAAGAAACAUGCAUGCAAGGCAGAGGAGAGUAGCCUUACAUCCGCCACAUUGGACUCCGAUAUCCCAAACCCGCCCAAAAUCGAGUCACAUUUGGACAAUCCACUCACUAUUCCCAUGCAAAAGAACGCCCACCCUUCCGCCCACCACCGCCGCGAUAGAUCCGCAAGAGCUCAGGGUGGACACGGUCCGGGCCGGGCUGGUCCCUGACCGAGCUACUGUUUGGACAGGCUGCCGGCGGUCCGGACCGGAGCGGACCGAGCAGUGCCGCGGUUCUCUUUUCAGGUACCGGACCGGCGGGUGUAAAGCUCGGUGCGGACCGACAGGCUCGGCGGUCCCUGCGAUGGCCAGUCACUGCCAUGUGGGGCCAACAUGUCAGAGAGGUGGUGGGAGAAGUAGCACGGUGGCCGGAGCCGGAGAAGAUGCACCCGAUGCUUGCGGUUGACGGGCGACGCUACGGAGGAGAUGCGCCUCAUGCUUGUGGUGGUCGGACGACGAGAUGGAAGCUCCCCGCGUCGAUGGCUGCUACUUCUUGAGCUUGCGUUGAUUUUUCUAUUGAAGAGAAAAGGGUGAUGCAACAAAGUAGAGAUAAGUAUCUCCCUCAGUUAAGAAUCAAGGUAUCAAUUCAGUAAAAGAAACACCCAAAUCUCCAAUAGAUGCACCUGCACAAACUAACAAACACUCGCACACAACGCGAAAAAAGGGGUUGUCAAUCCCUUCACGGUCACUAGCAAGAGUGAGAUAUGAUAGAGAUAGGUAUAAAAGAUAAGUAAAAUUAUAAAAUAAAGUAAAGGUAGAUAAAUUGCAGCAAGGUAUUUUUCGUUUUUUGAUUUUAUAGAUCUGAAAAUAAUAUGAUGGUAAGUAGACCCGGGGGCCAUAGGUUUCAUUACAGACUUCUCUCUUGAAAGAAACAUACGGUGGGUGAACAAAUUACUGUUGAACAAUUGAUAGAAAAACGCAUAGUUAUGACGAUAUCCAAGGCAAUGAUCAUGAAUAUAGGCAUCACGUCCGUGACAAGCAGACCGACUCCUGCCUGCAUCUACUAUUAUUACUCCACACAUCGACCGCUAUCUAGCAUGCAUCUAGUGUAUUAAUUUAACAAGAACAGAGUAACGCUUUAAGCAAGAUGACAUGAUGUAGAGGGAUAUAUCCAAAAUAAUAUGGUAAAAAACCCAUCUGAAUAUUUAUACAUAGAAACUUAGUGUAAAAUAUACAUAAAAUGCUAUUUUCCUGGUCUUAUGACCUAUAUUUUUGUUUUCCUAUGCCAAAUUUUACGUAAUGAAGUCAUAUGAAUGUAACUAUUUGUAUUCCAAAUGUAAUUUGUUAAUGAAAAGAUCGAAAGAUUACUUUGGGUGACGAAUAACUUAUUCUGCACCCAGGGUGACGAAUAGUCAGUUUAUAUAUAGACACACACACACACACUUAUUGUGAUAUAUAGUUAACUCAUAUUUUUUUUAGCCAAAUUCUUGUUAGGUUCUAAUUCCAAGGGGGGCUAACAUAUUUGGAUAGAGGGAGUAGUAAAAUUGCUAGUCUUUGGUCAUAUAUAGAUUUUAUCUUGGGCUGACAGUGAUAGCUAACAAUUGCAGAGGCAAUUAAAAUGCUAUUGGAAAGUAAGAAAUAUCUUAUCAAACAAGCAGACCAAUCCACCGGUCGGACACCUCUUCACUAUGCAGCAUUAUUCGGGGAGACGGAGGUGACCGAGUUGCUACUCGAAGCUGAUCCGUCUUCAGCGUAUCUGCCAGACAGCAAAGGGUCGUUUCCCAUACAUGUCGCUGCAUCAAACGGCCAACCUGAUAAUGUUUACUAUGCCAAGCUACGUGAUGGCAAAGGCAGGACAUUCCUGCAUGUCGCUGCCGAGGCAGAGAGGUUCGGCGUCGUCUUGUUGGCUUGCCAAGAGCAGGGAAAGAUGGCAUCGUCGGUGAUGAACAUGCAAGACGACGAUGGGAACACUGCACUGCACCUCGCCAUGCCUGGGGGCUACCGAGCAGAUGACCAUAAAGAGGGCGGCGCACCGACGCUUGCGGGGGAAUACUUCUUCGACUGGCAUUCAUCUGCUCUUCACUAUCCAUGCUCUUUCUCAUGUAUGCAGGGGUGGGUUCAAACGUGAAAAGACGCACUUGGUCCUUGUUAUUCUCCGCAAAAUUCCUGGCUCAUUCAGCUAGCUAGGAGCCUCAGCGCCGCCUUCAUCUUCGGGAUGUACUCGAUCCUGGCUCCGGUCCAACAUGCCAAGGCCAUGUAUCCUUGUACAAUCACGGUUCUCCCCCUGGUGGUGGUGGAAGGCUUUUGGUCCACCAUGACGGUGGGAAUGGUAUACAGCGACAAAGUGCUGAUGGUGAGGAGGUUUGGAAGUCGGGCAAGGAAGUGGAGUCUUGCAUGGGCGGUCCUAGUGACGCUGAUAUUCCAAUUCUGGCCAUACAUUUUCAUCGCGGCUAUAUCUCAUUAACCUACAUAUUCCACUAGUAUCUGGAUACCAAUUUGUUGGCUGCAUACAAUAUAUAUUGUCACUACCAAAUUAUUGUUAUUCUACUAAGCAAUUGCCCAUGCAUUUCACCGUUGACAUAAAUAUUCUAGUGAGUUCAUAUGAUUCGUGUGUUGCUACAGGGUAAGAUAUAGAAAACAAAGACAUACAUAGACUGAUUAAUUGGGUUUCAUAUUUUGUAAAGAUUGGCGAGUAAUGUGCAUGGGAUGUUUGGCCACAUCAAACCAUAAAAGCUUGUUUUCCUCUCCUGAUUUUUCGCUAUGUGAAGGCCGGUGUUCAACCCUCCUGUAACUAAAUCAAAUGAUAAAAUUAUCAUCUAGCAGAUCUAAAUAGUUUUUUUUUAAUCUAUAAAUGUGGCCGUAUGCAUUGUUCUGAUGCAGAGGCCGGGGAGUCCCCCUUUUCGAAAAAAAAAGAUCUAAAUAGUUUAUUUGCAAUGAGCAGGUUCUUCCACACUUUUGCUGCUCCUCUGCAUGAGCUCCCAAUUGACAUUGACAACACGCUAGUCCUCCUUCUCUCGCGGGUAGUGUGCUUUGUCUUCCUCACUGAGUGUUGAGGUCUUUUUUCUUAUGAUCUAAAAUGAUUCCUGCUAAAACAUAGAUAUUCCAUCCAGAUGAAGUACUUUAUGACGUAAAACUACAAUAUCAUCAUCAAUGUCAAUUUAGAAUGAGUCCUGGAUUCUGUUGGUUUUGAUCAUUGAGACACAUAUUUGUUGUAGCUCUGAUGCAACUCGGAAUUACUUGGUUGUUUUGACUAGGGAUGGUGGAUUAAGAGAGGCUCAAGGUUUACACUUUCAGUUUCAGAAAAAAUAAUCAGCACCAACCGAAAUCACCGAAAUUCAGUGAUUUCAGUUUGCGUUUCAGCCAAAAGGCAGAAAUAUUCACUUGAAUUCAAUUAUAUUUUAAAAAAUUAAAAAUGUUUUUGAAAAAAAAUUGAAUUUAUGUGUACUAAUGAAAUUACUGAAAUAUUUUGGCUGAAAGGUAAAUAUUUCAAUGGCUGCCGAAAUUAGUGAAGUUCAGUGAAUUUCAUGGAAAUCUCACUGAAAGUGAAAACCAAUGGAGAUGAGGUUUCGGGGUUGAGAGAUAGUUCAGAGCAGUCGAACAAUGCUACUUGACUCGAUUCAAAAUCAUUGUCCAAGGUGCAGCUCACGCAAGUAACCCAACGAAAAAGGCAUCACAUUUCGAGAGGUGGAACUUGCGAAAGAAUCCUAAUAUGUGCAAGUGCGUUAAUGGAAAACUAACCAUUUUGAAAUUGGCUUUUAGACGCAAUUUGAGUACUCUUUGAUUAUAUAUGAAAUUACCAAUGAUGAUAACAUACAAUAAGUGCACAAAAUGAAAAUCACAGUGCACCCAUCGUCGUUUUGAUCGGCGAUUCUUCUUUGGUUUUCCGAUCUAAGAUCGUUGAGUCGCCCAUCGCCGUUCAUCACAGUGCGCCUCUACACCGUCGACAUCUUCGUGGUCUAAACCUGGAUCGGUUGCCACACGGCGACGGGCUACACGCACGUCGCGCGUCCGAUGCGCUGGUACGUCGGCCGCUCGCGAUGUCCUUUGCUUGCUAGCCUCUCAUCCUCGCCACAUGCCCGCGACCAUCCAGGCGCCUCGCGCGGGCGUGGUUUGCUGCUCGAGCAUCUUCGUUGGCCAACCUUCCACACGACCACACCACGUGGCCUCGUCCCGUGCAUGGUUGUGCACGUUUUUUUUAAUACAACGCAAGCGCUCAUAUAAACGCGCAUACACUUAUCCCUAUGAACGCACACAUGCACACCCUAUCCCUAUGAGCACUUUCGAAAGACUGAGCCGGCAUAUCAUCUUAAAAUUUACGAAGUCAACGUAGGCACCUCGUUGUCGAUGGGAACAUCUCCUCCCACUGAAUGCGCAUCGCCGGAAAUCCUGAAAUAAAUGCGAGCACCAGGAUUUGAACCUUGAUAGGCUGGGAAUACCACAGUCCCUCUAACCAUCCAACAACAAGUUGGUUCGCCAUGGCUGUGCACGUUGGUGCUUGUGAAUUGGUGGUGUUAGCUGCUUGUACAUGCAUGUUGCGUCUAGGGUGGGACGGAGGUUGUUUCUGUGCAUGCACCGAAUUUCACUAAGCUCGUCAAGUGUCUGCGCAUCUCCAUUAAUCGAGCAACGGGAUGCUGCUGCGACGCCUGCAGCAUCGUCGUCUUGUGGUGUUCCCCGCGGCUGCGUCGACCCACGUGCUGCCGCUGCGUCGUUCUUUGGGUCGUAGUGCCGCAGCCGACAGUCAACCGCCACCCCGUGGCCGUCCGCUCCAGGCCGUUCUCGUGGCUGCACCGACCCUCGCGCUGCCACAUUACGUGGCACGCGGUCCCUACCGCCACCCUGAGGUCUUCCCUGCCGUCGUCCCGACCCGUGCGCUGCCGUUGCGUCGCUCAUUCGGGCCGUAGCGUCACGGCACGCGGUCCACUUUGCCGUCGACGCGCGUCGACUUCUGUGUGGUAUGCGCCGCGCCGCCUUCCUAGGAGCGGGAACGCCACCGUCCGCGCUGGUCUUCGUCACGCCGUUGGGUUCUUUCUUGCCUACUUCGAGCACCGUCGCCAGACUCCUAACCUAGCCGCCGCCGCAGCCUCCUCCUCAGGCCGCUGCCGCCGCUCAUCUUCCCGGUCCACGACGACUACGUCGACACCGGCCACCCCGACUCAACAUCAACCACGGCGUCCCUCGCACGGCAACUGCUGGAAUUUUCUCGAUUUAUGGGCCAGCCCAACAACAAUUUCAGAAAUUCCUAAUAAAUCCUAGAGGCCCACUUAGCCCAUUCGUGCAAGGCAUGGGCACUACUAAAAUUUAGUCCCACAUUGCUAGUUUAGAGGGAAUUGGACCUCUUUAUAAGGGAGGUUCUUUCCCCACAUGUAUGAGCAUGAGAACAAGAGGGACAUCCACGCUCGCUCCUCCUCCGCCGCCCGCCUCGUCACGACGCGCCGCGCCGCGGGUUGCGGGAAUGAGCCGAGCCAAUGUCUAAAUUGAAACCUUUUCUGUAGUGGACACUGAAUCCGAACGGCUCGCCUCUUGGGCUGAAGUCCGUUCAAUUCAUCUCCCUCUUUUGCUUCAUCUCCCGUCGUUGGCCUCUCGCCUCCUUCUCUUGCGCCUAUAAAAGGGAGGUCGCUCCUCUCAGAGAGAUGCACCAGAACUUCUUCUUCCUCUCGCUACCGGUUCCAAUGUCUGAGCUGCUGUUGUCCUCCUCAUCCCGGCUUGUGGCGUGCACCGCGAGUCGGGACAGUAGGCCUCCAAAACCGCACAUCUUUGAGUCCUGUACGGGAGAAGGGUGAUAAGGUUUUUGGGGAGCGCUCAGCACGACUACUGACAUCUUCGUCACGGACGUCCCGGACUCCGACGACUACUUCCCCAACGACGACUUCUUCCCCGACGUUGACAACCUCCUCGACGACAUGGCUGGCGAGGACACCGAACCCAAGACCGGUGCUUCUGCUCCCGUUCCGUACAUUCUCAUACUCUUUCUAUUAGAGGUCCUGCCACAGUUCCUUAUUCUAGUGUUUGCCCUAGAUAUGUUAGGUUCUACUUCAUAUAUGCAACUUGUCCUACUGUCUGCUCUACAUAUGUUUGGUUACAAUUCAUAUAUGCAGAUGCUAUUUACCUUCUCUCUGUCAGAUCGCAUGACUUGUUUUAUCUCUGCUAUAUUAGUCAUGAUUUAUGUAGUAUUUCUGUUAAUAAAAUCAUUUGGUAAAUUGCUCAUAUUUCCGACAAUCCAAAAACCUUAUUAUAGGCAAUUUACCCCGAGUGGUUUUGCUGCUUCCAUGAGACCUCCUAUGUUUGAGGGUAUCCACUAUAAGAGGUGGCGCGUGAGAGCCGUUCUACGGUUUCAAACCAUGAGCUGCUAUGAUGCCACUCUUGUCAAACCUGAAGGAGAAUACGAUGCUCAACAUGAACAAGCUUUUCAGAAAAUGGAUACCCUGUUUAAGGCUGUUCUCUUGAGUGUUCUUGGUGUGAACAUAGUUGAUGCUUAUGCAUCAAUUGAUGAUGGAAAAGAUAUGUGGGACGCACUUGAGGCCAAGUUUGGGGUUCGGAUGCUGGCACUGAGUUGUACAUCAUGGAGCAAUUCUAUGAUUACAGGAUGACUGAAGAGCGCUCCGUGGUUGAGCAAGCUCAUGAGAUACAAUCAUUUUCUAGAGAACUUGAGCACUUUAAUUGUAUGCUACCGGACAAGUUCGUUGCCGGAGGCAUUAUCACUAAGCUUCCUCCCAUGUGGAGGAACUUUGCUACCUUACUGAAGCAUAAGAGGCAGGAGUUUUUCGUUCCGUAUCUCAUCCGUACUCUUGAUGUGGAAGAAAAGGCGAGAGCAAAGGAAAACCGUGCUCGAGGUAUUGAGGGAGGUUCUAGUACCAAUCUGGCACAGAAGAAAAACUUCCAGCCCCACAAGUCCAAGAACAAGGGCAAGUUUGAUGGAAAGCAAAGUUUGAUGGGAAGAACAAGGCUGUACAGCACACGAACUUUAAGGAGAAGAAUGACAAGAAGAAAGGUGUUUUUCAUGUGUGUGGAGAUCAUGAUCAUUGGGCUCCUAGUUGCCCUAAUCGCUAUGACAAGCGUUAUCUUGGGAAAGGUGGCAAGACCGCUAAUGUUGUCAUUGGAGACACUGACAUGAACAAUGCUGGGUAUGGUAUAUUUCCCACUAUUCUUUCAGUAUGUCAUUCCCUGAUUGGUUAAUUGACACGGGUGCUAAUUUGCAUGUAUGUGGUGAUAUUUCAAGUGCUUCUGUUCGUGGUGUUGGCACGGUCAAUCUGAAGUUUACUUCGGGGAAGAUCGUGUGGCUGAAGAACGUGCAUUAUGCCCCCUCCGUUAAUAUAAAUCUUGUUAGCGGAUCUCUUCUGUGUAGAGAUGGCCACAAGCAUAUCUUUGAAUCGAAUAAAUUUGUAGUAUUCAAGUAUGGAACCUUUGUUGGUAAAGGCUAUGAGUCAGGAGGCCUGUUUCGUUUAUCCUUAUCAGAUAUUUGCAAUAAAGUUGUUAAUCAUGUUUGCAACAAUAGUGAAUCAAAUGUGUGGCAUUCACGUCUUUGUCAUGUUAACUUUGGUUGCAUGUCGCGACUAGCGAAGUUGAACUUAAUCCCUAGUUUCACCACUAUCAAGGGAUCUAAGUGUCAAGUGUGUGUGCAAGCUAAGCAACCUCGUAAGUCUCAUCUGACUGCAGAAACGAGAAAUCUUGCACCACUAGAGCUCAUACAUUCAGAUCUCUGUGAAAUGAGUGGUGUGUUGACAAAAGGUGGAAAGAAAUAUUUUAUAACGUUAAUUGAUGACUCCGCUAAAUACUGCCAUGUGUAUCUUCUGAAAUCUAAGGAUGAGGCUUUGAACUAUUUCAAGAUCUAUAAAGCUGAAGCGGAAAACCAACUUGAUCAAAAGAUCAAGAGGCUUAGGUCCGAUCGUGGUGGAGAGUAUUUCUCAAAUGAAUUUGAUUCUUUUUGUGCGGAACAUGGUAUAAUCCAUGAGAGGACGCCUCCCUAUUCACCUCAGUCAAAUGGGGUGGCCGAAAGAAAGAACCGUACUCUAACUGAUUUGGUUAACGCCAUGUUAGAUACUUCGGGUCUCUCCAAGGCAUGGUGGGGGGAGGCGAUAUUGACUGCAUGUCAGGUCCUAAACCGGGUUCCCACAAAGAACAAAGAGAUAACUCCAUUCGAGGAACGGGAGAAGAAAAGGUUAAAGCUCUCUUAUCUAUGAACCUGGGGUUGUUUAGCGAAAGUCAAUGUGCCAAUUCCAAAGAAGCGGAAGCUCGAACCAAAAACUGUGGACUGUGUUUUCCUGGGAUAUGCUUUUCAUAGCAUUGGUUAUAGAUUCUUGGUUGUAAAAUCUAAGGUUCCUGGCAUGCAUGUCGGUAUGAUUAUGGAGUCAAAUGAUGCGACUUUCUUUGAAGAUAUCUUUCCCAUGAAGGAUAUGGCUACCUCUUCUAAUCAGGAGAUGCCUAGUUCAUCGAAUCAGGAACCAGUUACAAUUACUGAACCUGCCAUUUCGAUGGAACACUUUGAAAAUCCCGCGGAGGAGAACAAUGAAGUUCCUACUAGGAGCAAGAGACAAAGGACUGCAAAGUCCUUUGGUGAUAAUUUUCUUGUGUAUCUCAUAGAUGACACUCCCAGUUCUAUUUCAGAGGCCUAUGCAUCUGAAGAUGCUGACUACUAGAAGGAAGCGGUCCGUAGUGAGAUGGAUUCCAUCUUGGCAAAUGAAACUUGGGAGAUAACUGAUCGUCCUUAUGGGUGCACACCUAUUGGGUGCAAAUGGGUAUUCAAGAAGAAACUCAGGCCUGAUGGUACUAUUGAGAAAUACAAGGCACGACUCGUGGCCAAGGGUUAUACCCAAAAGGAAGGUGAAAAUUUCUAUGAUACUUACUCACCUGUGGCUCGACUGAACACUAUUUGAGUUCUACUUUCACUAGCUGCCUCACAUGGUCUUCUCGUUCAUCAAAUGGAUGUUAAGACUGCUUUCCUAAAUGGAGAGUUGGAUGAAGAAAUUUAUAUGGAACAACCAGAUGGGUUCGUAGUAGAUGGUCAGGAAGGAAAAGUGUGCAAAUUGCUGAAGUCUUUGUAUGGACUUAAGCAAGCACCCAAGGAGUGGCAUGAGAAGUUUGAAAGAACUUUAACAGCUGCAGGCUUCGUUGUAAACGAAGAUGAUAAAUGUGUGUACUAUCGCCAUGGUGGGGGCGAGGGAGUUAUCCUUUGCUUGUAUGUUGAUGACAUAUUGAUUUUUGGAACAAAUCUGAAUGUUAUUAAGGAGGUCAAGGAUUUCCUAUCUCGCUGUUUUGAGAUGAAGGAUUUAGGAGUGGCUGAUGUCAUUCUGAAUAUCAAGUUGUUGAGAGAUGGUGAUGGUGGGAUUACAUUGCUUCAAUCUCACUAUGUGGAAAAGAUCUUGAGUCGCUUUGGCUAUAGUGACUGCAAGCCCUCUCCAACACCAUACGAUGCUAGUGUGCUGCUUCGAAAGAAUCGAAGAAUUGCUAAAGAUCAAUUGAAAUAUUCUCAGAUUAUUGGCUCGCUUAUGUACUUAGCCAGUGUUACAAGACCUGACAUCUCUUUUGCUGUUAGCAAACUGAGUCGGUUUGUCUCAAAACUAGGAGAUGUGCAUUAGAAAGCUCUAGAGAGAUUUUUGCAUUAUUUCGAAGGCAUUGCGAAUUAUGGAAUUCACUACACUGGGUACCCGAAGGUGCUUGAAGGGUAUAAUGAUUCAAACUGGAUCGCAGAUGCUGAUGAGAUAAAGGCCACGAGCAGAUAUGUAUUCACUCAUGGAGGUGGCUGUUUCUUGGAAGUCUUGCAAGCAGACCAUCUUAACGAGGUCAACAAUGGAAGCAGAACUCACAUCACUAGAUACAGCUACGGUCGAAGCAGAUUGGCUUCGUCGGCUCUUGAAUGACUUGUGGGUUGUUGAGAAACUUGUACCGGGUAUCCUUAUGAACUGCGACAAUCAAACUGUGAUCACGAAAGUGAGCAGCCCAAAGGAUAACAUGAAGUCAUCAAGGCACGUUCAGAUAAGGUUAAAGUCUGUCAGGAACAUGAAAAAUUCCGGAGUUAUUGCAUUGGAUUAUAUCCAAACGUCUAGAAAUCUGGCAGAUCCUUUUACUAAGGGUCUAUCACGUAAUGUGAUAGACAAUGCAUCGAAGGAGAUGGGUAUGAAACCCGCAAUAUGAGUUGUUCACAGUGGUAACCUAGUCUAUGUGAUCGGAGAUCCUGUGAAUUAGAUGUGGAAAACAAGCUGUUGGUCAACUGAGAGGAGAGUAUCCUUAUUGUUAACAAUACCACUCCAUGAAGAUGCAAUACUCUCCUAAAGUUGCAUGGCAGAUUGAUGUAUAUCUUAAUGUGUUCUAAGUGGCUUAUUUAAGCAGAGAUGUUGUCCUGCAUUACAUCUUUUGAAGAACACACCUAUAUGAGUCUGAUUGUCAAACGUCGCAAUCUAAGAGAGUAGGGUUCUCUCUAGUAAACUCAUGAAAGGUCACGGAGUAUGACGCAUAAGCUCCACCCGCGGGGAAGACCCACGGUAGCCUAGUAUCGGUCAAGGCAUUGUGUGAAGCUAGAUUCGCAGAAAACUUGCAGUUCAAGGCCCAGUCCACUGUUCAAGUUGCUUACUAGUGUAGCAUGGAGUUCUAGGUGGAAGUACAACUUAACAGUCUCCACUGCAAUACUGGUAUAUAAAACAGUGUUUUGGAACCAAAGGCAAAUUUUGUGGCCUCUCGGAUCUGGUGGGGGAUUGCUGGAAUUUUCUCUAUUUAUGGGCCAGCCCAAUAACAAUUUCAGAAAUUCCUAAUAAAUCCUAGAGGCCCACUUAGCCCAUUCGUGCAAGGCAUGGGGCACUACUAAAGUUUAGUCUCACAUUGCUAGUUUAGAGGGAGUUGGACUUCUUUAUAAGGGAGGUUCUUUCCCCACAUGUAUGAGCAUGAGAACAAGAGGGACAUCCACGCACGCUCCUACUCCGCGCCCACCUCGUCACGCCGCGCCGCGGGUUGCGGGAAUGAGCCAAGCAGAUGUCUAAAUUUUUGCCAGGCACGACGGGUAUACGAAAGGUCACAUGGGAGCUGAAACGUUUCCUGUAGUGGACACUGAAUCCGAAUGGCGCACCUCUUCGGCUGAAGUCCGUUUGAUUCGUCUCCCUCUUUUGCUUCAUCUCCUGUCGUUGGCCUCUCGCCUCCUUCUCUUGUGUCUAUAAAAGGGAGGUCACUCUUCUAUAUUAGUCAUGCUCAUAUUUUAUCUCUGCUAUAUUAGUCAUGCUUUAUCUAGUAUUUCUGUUAAUAAAAUCAUUUGGUAAAUUGCUCAUAUUUCCGACAGCUACCUCGACCACGGUUACACCAUGCUACACUCUCGGCUACAUCGACAUCGGCACAAAGUGCUACCGCCUUGCUUGAGCAACCGACCUCGGUUUCCACUCCAGCCACGACUCUGCGAUGCAUCGACCGUUACGACUAUGGGCGGGUGUCCGUCGACUUGCCUUCGGAUUCUUCUCCAGUCUCACCGUCUGCGUCAAUACCAUUGUGACUGCGGGGGGAUGUUGAGUAUAAGGAUUAUUUAGAAAACGUAGGAUAGCAUAGGAUUUUUUCUACCUUGUCUUGUACUCCAAAAUGAUCAUGUACUCCUAUAUAUAUACCCAUCAGGCUCAAGCAGGUCAUAUUCCUCAUAAUAAGUCUGCUAGCCAAUGCUUGGAUGAGUUUGAUAAUUUUAUUGUUACACAAGAAAACUUCAAUGCUUAUGUUGCUAGACAAUUGAAACACAAUGCUUAUAUGAUUGAACACUUGAGUGAUUAUAUGUCUAGAGUUAAAGAUGACCUUAAACUUAUUAGUAAACAUGCUUCUAUGGUUACCACUCAGGUAGAACAAGUGCUUAAAGCACAAGAUGAUUUGCUCAAUGAAUUAAAUAAUAAGAAAAAUGAUAAUGCUGUUAGAGUUGUGACUAGAGGGGGUAGAAUGACUCAGGAACCUUUAUAUCCUGAGGGCCACCCUAAGGGAGUUGAGCAAGAUUCUCAGAGAAUUAAUGUUGAUGCACCUAGUCCUUCUAAGAAGAAGAAGAAGAAAAAUGAUAGGACUUUGCAUGGUUCUAGUGAACCUGUUGUUGACACACCUGAGAAUCCCAAUGAUAUUUCUAUUUUUGAUGCUGAAACACAAUCUGGUAAUGAACAUGAACCUAAUGAUAAUGAUGAUGUUCAUGUUGAUGCUCAACCUAGCAAUAACAAUGAUGUAGAGAUUGAGCAUGUUGUUGAUCUUGAUAACCCACAAUCAAAGAAUCAACAUUUUGAUAAGAGAGACUUCGUUGCUAGGAAGCACGGUAAAGAAAGAGAACCAUGGGUUCAGAAACCCAUGCCUUUUCCUCCUAAACCAUCCAAGAAAAAGGAUGAUGAGGAUUUUGAGCGCUUUGCUGAAAUGAUUAGACCUAUCUUUUUGCGUAUGCGUUUGACUGAUAUGCUUAAAAUGAAUCCUUAUGCUAAGUACAUGAAAGAUAUUGUUACAAAUAAAAGAAAGAUACCGAAAGCUGAAAUUUCCACCAUGCUUGCUAAUUAUACUUUUAAGGGUGGAAUACCAAAGAACUUGGAGAUCCAGGAGUACCAACUAUACCAUGCUCCGUUAAAGAAACUAUGUUAAAACUACUUUAUGUGAUCUUGGAGCUGGUGUUAGUGUUAUGCCUCUCUCUUUAUAUCAUAGACUCGAUUUGAAUAAGUUGACACCUACUGAAAUAUCUUUGCAAAUGGCCGAUAAAUCAACUGCUAUACCUGUCGGUAUUUGUGAGGAUCUGCCUGUUGUGGUUGCAAACGUUACUAUUUUAAUGGACUUUGUCAUUCUUGAUAUUCCCGAGGACGAUAGUAUGUCGAUUAUCCUUGGUAGACCCUUUUUGAAUACUGCAGGGGCUGUUAUUGAUUGCAACAAUGGCAAUGUCACUUUUCAUGUUAAUGGUAAUGAGCAUACGAUACACUUUCCGAGGAAACAACCUCAAGUCCACAGUACCAAUUCUAUUGGAAAAACUUCGACGAUUAUUAUUGGAGGUUUUGAAUUUCCUCUUCCUACUGUCAAGAAGAAAUAUGAUAUUAUUAUUGUUGGGGACAUACAUAUCCCCGUUGAGGUAACCUAGUGUCAUUUGAAAAUUCUCCGGUUUCAUGUUACUCGGAAAGAGUUUGUUAACAAGACUUGAUCAACCUUGUUAGUAGAUUCCUUUUGAUGAGCAUGAGAUGGAUGAAGUUAGAAGGCACAAAUCUCUGUACCCUACUUUUACUUUCUGUUAUUUAGAUUAAAUAAAGCAAAAAUAGCAUUUUCUGUCUGUUUUCUGAAUUACCCUUGCAAUAAAAAAUACCCCGAAAAUAAAAGUUCUCCAAACGUCCUGAAAAUGAAAUAUGAUUUUUUUGUAGAAUAUUUAAGAAUAUCUGGCACUGAGAACACACCAGAGGGGGCCACCACCUGUCCAUGAGGGUCCAGGGCACGCCCACCUCCCUGGGGCACGCCCCUGCCUCGUGGGCCCCAUGUUGACCCCCUCCACUUAUUCCAGUACCCACUCACUUCGUCUUCCUCCAGAAAAAAUCCUCCCAUAGCUCAAACCCAUGUUCUAGCUCGUUUUGCUGCCAUUUUUUAUCUCCUUGCUCAAAGCGUCAUUCACACUAUUUUGGGGGAUUGUUCUUCAGUAUGUGACUCCUCCAAUAGUCCAAUUAGUUUUUGUUCUAGUGCUUUAGUUAUUGCAAAUUUUUGCUGCUUAGGUGACCCUGUUCUUGAGCUUGCAUGUCAAAUUUAUAUGGUCCCAAGUAGUUCUAAUGCAUGAUAUAGCCUCUAGGCACUUGUGGGAGUAGUUGCUAUCAAUAUUGUUGAGUUUAUAUCACUUUUAUUUUGUUUCACUAAAAAUUUCAGAAAUUUUUCAGAGGAAGAAAAAUGUUUAGGAAAUUGUACCAAGGUGGUUCCUCAAGAAAGCAAGGACCAAGGCUUGCGAUACGUGAGCCAAACGAUGAACCACCGAGAGAAGCUCAAGUGCGGCCUUGUGAAUGGCCGUCAGAAGAAUUUAUGGUCCAAGCAGGUAUCAAGGAAGAAUUUGACGUGUAUGUGUGUAAUGCCGAUCUUGAGGGCUUCAUGUCAGAUAAGUGCCCGCAAUACCAUUACCUAACUGAUUCCAUUGUGAGAGGGUUUAAAUUUACAUCCUCGCGCAAUUCUCACAUUGUUCUAUUCGAUCUUUAUGAUAAAUCAUAUACCAUGGAAAUACUGCUUGUAAACUCCUGCAGUGGGGCAAUGUUAGCGAAUCUCGCAAAUCUGAAUAUAAAGACUUUCUUGCUAGCAUCACUGUGGGGGAAUCUAGAGAAAUUACACAAGCUACCAUAGGGAGCAUUCAUUUUCCUUCUAUACAUUAUUUUGCUCUGUUUAUAGGUAGAUGCAUCAACGGUAAAGAUGAGGCUUGUCACAUGUGCGUUCUAGAUCUUAGCGUCCUCAAGAGUGCGGUAUUAGGUGAUAAACAAUAUAACUUGGGGGCCAUUGUUGCAUGAAGAUUGCAUCUUAACGGUUUAAGUGGAGACUUGUUUGGUGGAAUUUAUGCAACUCGUGUAGCUAAUUAUCUAGAUGUACCCAUACGUGAAAAUGAUAUGGAAUUACCUCUUGUUCAUCUAGAUUAUAAUGCUAUGGUUGGCCAUCAGUUUGUUGAGAGGAAUGAACCGCCUCUCUAGUAUCAACUAAUCUUUGGCAGAUGUCGCACCGUCAAUAUUGUCCUUCCUGCUCCUACUCUCUUUGACUUUCAGGCAAAGGGGAGAUAUGUCAUAACCAGGGAGGAGGCGAAUGAGUACGAGAGGAGGACGAGGGCAGCUCGCCUCCAAGCUGCAGCUCGUCAGGCAGUAGGUGCUGCAUCUCAGUACGACCCCAGCUACGACUUUGGAUAUCCGCCAGGCCAGCAGUGGCCAUAGACUAACUUAGGCCAAAAGCCUAAGCUUGGGGGAGUACGUAUUUCUCACCAACAUUACAUUCAUGUUCACACACUCAUUCUAGUUGUCGGUGCUCAUACUUUUUCAUUGUACUAUCCAUGCUAGUUUAUUUUCUUUUCUAAGCUUUCUUCUUGUGUGUUUGAAAAACCUUAAGAAAAACCAAAAAAUUAGUUAUAGCUUUUAGCUAGUUUACUUUUCAUGCUGUAGUAGUAGUAACUAAAAGAAAACCCAAAAAGAUUUCUUGUUCUUCUUUUGCUUGUUGGGAGCUUUCCCGUGUAAAUAGUUUUAUUUCUUUUCUUUUCUUUGGGGGUCGAGAGGAGAAGACCAUGAUGAAAAUGUUAAGUGGCUCUUAUAUGCAUUAUUGUUGAUUUAACCAAGAGCCCAUAUUGCCUUGUCUUCUCCCUUGUAUUAAAUGCUUGCAGAUUCCAGCUUACUCCAAUGCACGUGCACUAUUAUUAUUAUCCACACCAUUCGGUCGUGCAAGUGAAAGGCAAUAAUGACGAUAUAUGAUGGACUGAUCGAGAUGAGAGAAGCUGGUAUGAACUCGACCUAUCUUGUUUUUGUAAAUAUGAUUAGUUCAUCGUUCCUGAUUCAGCCUAUUAUGAAUGAAACAUGUUUGCAAUGACAAUUAGAGAUUAUAGUUGCUCAUGCCAUGCUUAAUUAGCUAGGAGUUUAUAAUGGUUUACCUUGCGUGCCAACAUGCUAUUAAAAUGGUUGUGAUGUGGUAUGAUAGGAUGGUAUCCUCCUUUGAAUGAUUUGAGUCACUUGACUUGGCACAUGCUCAUGCAUGUAGUUGAAACAAAAUCAACAUAGCCUCCACGAUAUUUAUGUUCAUGGUGAAUUAUAUCCUACUCAUGCUUGCACUCAGUGUUGAUUAAUUUUAAUGCAUGUUUAUGACUGUUGUCGCUCUCUAGUUGGUCGCUUCCCAAUCUUUUUCUAGCCUUUACUUGUACUAAGCGGGAAAACUGCUUGUGCAUCCACUUCCAUAAAACCCAAAGUUAUUCCAUAUGAGUCCACCAUACCUUCCUAUAUGCGGCAUUUACCUGUCGUUCCAAGUAAAUUUGUAUGUGCCAAACUCUAAACCUUCAAAUGAAAUUCUGUUUUGUAUGCUCGAAUAGCUCAUGUAUCAACUAGGGCUCUCUAUAUCUUCCAUGCUAGGUGGGUUAUUCUCAUGAUGAGUGGAAUCCGCUCGUCAUUCAUGAGAAAAUGGCCGGUAACCGGGAUGCCCAGUCCCAUGCUCAAAUCAAAUCAAAAUAAAUGCAAACAUAACUCCCCUAGGACUGUUGUUAUUAUGGACGGUACCCGUUGUUUCGGACCAGCCGUGGAGUGUGCUUGUUGGAGGAGGGGCAGUAUAAACUUUACCAUUCUGUUUGGGAACCGCCUAUAAUGUGUGUAGCAUGGAAGAUAUCGAGAUCUCUCGGUUGUUAUGUUGACAAUGAAAGUAUGCCACUCAAAAUAUUAUUUAUCUCUGUUUCAAAACUUGAGCUCUGGCACCUCUACAAAUCCCUGCUUCCCUUUGCGAAGGGCUUAUCUAUUUAAUUUUAUGUUGAGUCAUCAUCCUCUUAUUAGAAAUCACUAGUUGGAGAGCACCGCUGUCAUUUGCAUCCAUUACCAUUAAUUUACAUUGAGUAUGACUGUGACUGGAUCUCUUUUACCAUGAAUUACAAUUUCUAGUCAGUCCUUGAUCUUCAGAGGCGCUCUGCAUUUAUCUGUUGCGGUCUCAGAAAGGGAUAGCGCCAUCUUGUUAUAUCAUAUUAUGAUUGUUUCGAGAAAGUGUUGUCAUCCGAGAUUUAUUAUUAUUGCUCGCUAGUUGAUUAUGCCAUUGAUAUGAGUAAGCAUGAGACCUAAAUGUUAUUGUGAAUAUUGAUAGUUCAUAAUCUUUGCUGAAAACUUGAAUGCUGGCUUUACAUAUUUACAACAACAAGAGCAAACAGAGUUUGUAAAAGUUUUUCUUUAUCACUUUCAGUUUGUCAACUGAAUUGCUUGAGGACAAGCAAAGGUUUAAACUUGGGGGAGUUGAUACGUCUCCAAUGUAUCUACUUUUCCAAACACUUUUGCCCUUGUUUUGGACUCUAACUUGCAUGAUUUGAAUGGAACUAACCCGGACUGACGCUGUUUUCAGCAGAAUUGCCAUGGUGUUAUUUUUGUGCAGAAAUAAAAGCUCUCGAAAUGACCUAAAACUUCACAUAGAAUGUUUUUGGAAUUAAUAAAAAAUACUGGCAAAAGAAUCAACACCAGGGGGCCACACCCUGUCCACGAGGGUGGAUGGCGCGCCCCCUGCCUCGUGGGCCCCCUGAGGCUCAAACGACGUCAACUCCAGCUCUAUAUAUCCAUGUUCAGGGAAAAAAACCAGAGAGAAGGAUUCAUCGUGUUUGAUCCGGAGUCUAAUCUCUCUCGGGAGGCUGCCAAACCCUAAUCUCUCUCGGGAGGGCUGAUCUAGAGUCCGUUCGGGGCUCUGGAGAGGGGAAUCCGUCGCCGUCACCAUCAUCAACCAUCAUCCAUCACCAAUUUCAUAAUGCUCACCACCGUGCGUGAGUAAUUCCAUCGUAGGCUUGCUGGACGGUGAUGGGUUGGAUGAGAUUUAUCACGUAAUCGAGUUAGUUUUGUUAUGGUUUGAUCCCUAGUAUCCAUUAUGUUCUGAGAUGGAUGUUGCUAUGACUUUGCUAUGCUUAAUGCUUGUCACUAGGGCCCGAGUACCGUGAUUUCAGAUCUGAACUUAUUAUGUUUUCAUGAAUAUAUGUGAGUUCUUGAUCCUAUCUUGCAAGUCAAUAGUCACCUACUAUGUGUUAUGAUCCGGUAACCCCGAAGUGACAAUAACCGGGACCACUCCCGGUGAUGAUCGUAGUUUGAGGAGUUCAUGUAUUCACUAAGUGUUAAUUCUUUGGUCCGGUACUCUAUUAAAAGGAGGCCUUAAUAUCCCUUAGUUUCCAAUAGGACCCCGCUGCCACGGGAGGGUAGGACAAAAGAUGUCAUGCAAGUUAUUUUCCAUAAGCACGUAUGACUAUAUUCGGAAUACAUGCCUACAUUACAUUGAUGAACUGGAGCUAGUCCUGUGUCACCCUAUGUUAUAACUGUUGAAUGAGGAAUCGCAUCCGACAUAAUUAUCCAUCACUGAUCCAAUGCCUACGAGCUUUUCACAUAUUGAUCUUUGCUUAGUUACUUUUCCGUUACUACUGUUACAAUUACUACAAAACUGCUACUGUUACCUGUGCCACCGUUACCGUUACUUCCAUACUACUUUGAUACUAAAUACUUUGCUGCAGAUAUUAAGUUUUCCAGGUGUGGUUGAAUUGACAACUCAACUGCUAAUACUUGAGAAUAUUCUUUGGCUCCCCUUGUGUCGAAUCAAUAAAUUUGGGUUGAAUACUCUACCCUCGAAAACUAUUGUGAUCCCCUAUACUUGUGGGUUGAAUACUUUUCCGUGCAAUAAAAAAAUACCCGAAAAUAAAAGUUCUCCAAAUGCCCCAAAAUUGAAAUAUGAUUUUUUUUGGAAUAUUUGAGAAUAUCUGGCACUGAGAACACAGCAGGGGGAGCAAGCACCUGGCCACGAGGGUCCAGGGCGCGCCCACCCCUAUAGGGCGCGCCCCCUGUCUCGUGGGCCCAUGGUGGCUCCCCUCCACUUAUUCCUGCACCCACACACUUCUUCCUCCCAAAAAAAUCACCAACCAGCUCAAGCACGAGUUCUAGCUCAUUUUGCUGCGAUUUUUGAUCUCCUAGCUCAAAGCACCUCUCACAAAACUGCUUUGGGGGAUAUAGCCUCUAGGCACUUGUGGGAGUAGUUGCUAUCAAUAUUGUUGAGUUUAUAUCACUUUUAUUUUGUUUCACUAAAAAUUUCAGAAAUUUUUCAGAGGAAGAAAAAUGUUUAGGAAAUUGUACCAAGGUGGUUCCUCAAGAAAGCAAGGACCAAGGCUUGCGAUACGUGAGCCAAACGAUGAACCACCGAGAGAAGCUCAAGUGCGGCCUUGUGAAUGGCCGUCAGAAGAAUUUAUGGUCCAAGCAGGUAUCAAGGAAGAAUUUGACGUGUAUGUGUGUAAUGCCGAUCUUGAGGGCUUCAUGUCAGAUAAGUGCCCGCAAUACCAUUACCUAACUGAUUCCAUUGUGAGAGGGUUUAAAUUUACAUCCUCGCGCAAUUCUCAUAUCGUUCUAUUCGAUCUUUAUGAUAAAUCAUAUACCAUGGAAAUACUGCUUGUAAACUCCUGCAGUGGGGCAAUGUUAGCGAAUCUCGCAAAUCUGAAUAUAAAGACUUUCUUGCUAGCAUCACUGUGGGGGAAUCUAGAGAAAUUACAAAAGCUACCAUAGGGAGCAUUCAUUUUCCUUCUAUACAUUAUUUUGCUCUGUUUAUAGGUAGAUGCAUCAACGGUAAAGAUGAGGCUUGUCACAUGUGCGUUCUAGAUCUUAGCGUCCUCAAGAGUGCGGUAUUAGGUGAUAAACAAUAUAACUUGGGGGCCAUUGUUGCAUGAAGAUUGCAUCUUAACGGUUUAAGUGGAGACUUGUUUGGUGGAAUUUAUGCAACUCGUGUAGCUAAUUAUCUAGAUGUACCCAUACGUGAAAAUGAUAUGGAAUUACCUCUUGUUCAUCUAGAUUAUAAUGCUAUGGUUGGCCACCAGUUUGUUGAAAGGAAUGAACAGUCCCUCUAGUACCGACUAAUCUUUGGCAGAUGUCGCACUGUCCAUGUUGCUCUCCCUGCUCCUACUUUCUUUGACUUUGAGGCAAAAAGGAGAUAUGUUAUAACCAGGGAGGAGGCGAAUGAGUACGAGCGGAGGACGGAGGCAGCUCGCCUCCAAGCUGCAGCCCACGAUGCAAUAGCCGCUGCAUCUCAGUACGACCCCAACUACAACUUCGGAUAUCCGCCAGGCCAGCCGUGGCCAUAGACCAACUUAGGCCAAAAACCUAAGCUUGGGGGAGUACGUAUUUCUCACCGACAUUACAUUCAUAUUCACACACUCAUGCUAGUUGUCAGUGCUCACACUUUUUCAUUGUAAUAUCCAUGCUAGUUUAUUUUCCUUUUUAUGCUUUCUUCUUGUGUGUUUGAUAAUCCUUAAGAAAAACAAACAAAUAAAAUUUAGUUGUAGCUCUUAGCUAGUUUACUUUCCUUGCUGUAGUAGUUUUAAUUAAAAGAAAACCCAAAAAGAUUUCCCGUUCUUCUUUUUGCUUGUUGGGAGCUUUCCCGUGUAAAUAGUUUUAUUUCUUUUCUUUUCUUUGGGGGUCGAGAGGAGAAGACCAUGAUGAAAAUGUUAAGUGGCUCUUAUAUGCAUUAUUGUUGAUUUAACCAAGAGCCCAUAUUGCCUUGUCUUCUCCCUUGUAUUAAAUGCUUGCAGAUUCCAGCUUACUCCAAUGCACGUGCACUAUUAUUAUUAUCCACACCAUUCGGUCGUGCAAGUGAAAGGCAAUUAUGACGAUAUAUGAUGGAUUGAUUGAGAUGAGAGAGGCUGGUAUAAACUCAACCUCUUUUGUUUUUGUAAAUAUGAUUAGUUCAUCAUUCCUGAUUCAGCCUAUUAUGAAUAAACAUGUUUGCAAUGACAAUUAGAGAUUAUAGUUGCUUAUGCCAUGCUUAAUUAGCUAGGAGUUUAUAAUGGUUUACCUUGCGUGCCAACAUGCUAUUAAAAUGGUUGUGAUGUGGUAUGAUAGGGUGGUAUCCUCCUUUGAAUGAUUCGAGUGACUUGACUUGGCACAUGUUCACGCAUGUAGUUGAAACAAAUCAACAUAGCCUUCACGAUAUUUAUGUUCAUGGUGGAUUAUAUCCUACUCAUGCUUGCACUCAAUGUUUAUUAAUUUUAAUGCAUGUUCAUGACUGUUGUCGCUCUCUACUUGGUCGCUUCCCAGUCUUUUUGUAGCCUUCACUUGUACUAAGCGGGAAUACUGCUUGUGCAUCCAAUCUCUUAAACCCCAAAGUUAUUCCAUAUGAGUCCACCAUACCUUCCUAUAUAUGCAGUAUCUACCUGCCAUUCCAAGUAAAUUUGUAUGUGCCAAACUCUAAACCUUCAAAUGAAAUUUUGUUUUGUAUGCUUGAAUAGCUCAUGUAUCAACUAGGGUUGUUUGUAUCUUCCAUGCUAGGUGGGUUAUUCUCAAGAGGAGUGGACUCCGCUACUCACUCACGAGAAAAUGGCUGGUAACCGGGAUGCCCAGUCCCAUGCUUUAUGCAAAUCAAAUCAAAAUAAUUGCAAACAAAACUCCCCUGGGACUCUUGUUAGUUGGAGGCACUCGUUGUUCGAGCAAGCCAUGGAUUGAUGCUUGUUGGUGGAGGGGGAGUAUAAACUUUACCAUUCUGUUUGGGAACCGCUAUAAUGUGUGUAGCAUGGAAGAUAUCGCCAUGUCUCGGUUGUUAUGUUGACAAUGAAAGUAUGCCGCUCAAAAUAUUAUUUAUCUCUAUUUCAAAAACCGAGAUAUGGCACCUCUACAAAUCCCUGCUUCCCUCUGUGAAGGGCCUAUCUAUUUACUUUUGUGUUGAGUCACCCUCUUAUUAAAAAGCACCAGCUGGAGAGCACCGCUGUCAUUUGCAUCCAUUACUAUUAAUUUAUAUUGGGUAUGACUAUGACUGGAUCUCUUUUACCAUGAAUUACAAUGUUUAGUCAGUCCUUGAACUUUAAAGGUGCUCUGCAUUUAUGUUUUGCGGUCUCAGAAAGGGCUAGCGAGAUACCAUCUUGUUAUAUCAUAUUAUGAUUGUUUUGAGAAAGUGUUGUCAUCCGAGAUUUAUUAUUAUUGCUCGCUAGUUGAUUAUGCCAUUGAUAUGAGUAAACAUGAGACCUAAGUGUUAUUGUGAAUAUGGUUAGUUUAUAAUCUUUGCUGAAAACUUGAAUGCUGGCUUUACAUAUUUACAACAACAAGAGCAAACAGAGUUUGUAAAAGUUUUUCUUUAUCACUUUCAGUUUAUCAACAGAAUUGCUUGAGGACAAGCAAAGGUUUAAGAUUGGGGGAGUUGAUACGUCUCCGUCGUAUCUACUUUUCCAAACACUUUUGCCCUUGUUUUGGACUCUAACUUGCAUGAUUUGAAUGGAACUAACCCGGACUGACGUUGUUUUCAGCAGAAUUGCCAUGGUGUUAUUUUUGUGCAGAAACAAAAGUUCUCGGAAUGACCUGAAACUUCACGGAGAUUAUUUUUGGAAAUAAUAAAAAAUAUUGGCAAAAGAAUAAAGGCCAGGGGGCCCACACCCUUUCCACGAGGGUGGGAGGCGCGCCUGCCUCCCUAGGGCGCGCCCCCUGCCUCGUGGGCCCCCUGGUGCUCCACCGACCUCAACUCCAACUCCAUAUAUUCGUGUUCGGGGAGAAAAAAAUCAGAGAGAAAGAUUCAUCCCGUUUUACGAUAUGGAGCCGCCGCCAAGCCCUAAUCUCUCUCGGGAGGGCUGAUCUAGAGUCCGUUCGGGGCUCCGGAGAGGGGAAUCCGUCGUCGUCGUCAUCAUCAACCAUCCGCCAUCACCAAUUGCAUGAUGCUCACCGCCGUGCGUGAGUAAUUCCAUCAUAGGCUUGCUGGACGGUGAUGGGUUGGAUGAGAUUUAUCAUGUAAUCGAGUUAGUUUUGUUAGGGUUUGAUCCCUAGUAUCCACUAUGUUCUGAGAUUGAUGUUGCUAUGACUUUGUUAUGCUUAAUUCUUGUCACUAGGGCCUAAGUGUCAUGAUUUCAGAUCUGAACCUAUUAUGUUUCAUGAAUAUAUGUGAGUUCUUGAUCCUAUCUUGCAAGUCUAUAGUCACCUACUAUGUGUUAUGAUCCGGCAACCCCGAAGUGACAAUAAUCGGGACCACUCCCGGUGAUGACCGUAGUUUGAGGAGUUCAUGUAUUCACUAUGUGUUAAUGCUUUGGUCCGGUACUCUAUUAAAAGGAGGCCUUAAUAUCCCUUAGUUUCCAAUAGGACCCCGCUGCCACGGGAGGGUAGGACAAAAGAUGUCAUGCAAGUUCUUUUCCAUAAGCACGUAUGACUAUAUUUGGAAUACAUGCCUACAUUACAUUGAUGAAUUGGAGCUAGUUCUGUGUCACCCUAUGUUAUGACUGUUACAUGAUGAACCGCAUCCGGCAUAAUUCUCCAUCACCGAUCCAAUGCCUACGAGCUUUUCACAUAUUGUUUUUCGCUUAUUUACUUUUCCGUUUCUACUGUUACAAUCACUACAAAACCCAAAAGUAUUACUUUUCCUACUGUUACUUCCAUACUACUUUGCUACUAAAUACUUUGCUGCAAAUACUAAGUUAUCCAGGUGUGGUUGAAUUGACAACUCAACUGCUAAUACUUGAGAAUAUUCUUUGGCUCCCCUUGUGUCGAAUCAAUAAAUUUGGGUUGAAUAGCCUACCCUCGAAAACUAUUGCGAUCCCCUAUACUUGUGGGUUAUCAGAUACCCCAGCAAAGAUGAGAGGAAUGUACACAAGAUCCAAAGAAUAUAUCUCAUGGUCGUAAGAAGAAGAAGAACGGUGUAGAUGGGUUCAGAGAAUGCGGUUGUUCCGGUUGUUCGGCCGGUAGAACCGCCGAGAGCGGAUCUGCCGAGUUGAAGAACGGGUACAACCCUACUUUGACUCUAGAUGCAAUAUUCAUACUUCUAACUACACACAAGAAAAGGAGGAGUAUAUAAGGAUCUCUCCCACCAAUCAUUUGCCCAAAAAUGCGGGAGUACAAGCAAUGCCCUAGAGGAAGGAUUCAACAAAAAGGAACCCUAAGAACAAAAGGAAACAGGGCAUUAUUGGUAUCCAUGGGAGGAGAUCGGAACGGAGGCGACCUCCACGGAGCAAAUCCGAUGAAGGGCCAACUGAACCAGAAUGCCUGAGGGCGCUCCGGGGCAAUGGGCGGAGCAACCGGCGGCUAGGGUUUAGUCGCGGGACGGGCGCGAAGGGGAAAAAGAAUACCCCUUCAGCCCGCGCCCUUUAUAUAUGCGCCCGAUACGUCUCCGACGUAUCUAUAAUUUUGGAUUGUUCCAUGCUAUUAUAUAUUCUGUUUUGGAUGUUUAUACACUUUUAUAUUAUUUUUGGGACUAACCUAUUAACCAGAGGCCCAACCCAAAUUGCUGUUUUUUUUGCCUAUUUCAGUGUUUCGAAGGAAAAGGAUAUCAAACGGAGUUAUGAUCAGGUAACCCCGAAGUGACAAUAACCGGGACCACUCCCGGUGAUGACCGUAGUUUGACGAGUUCAUGUAUUCACUAAGUGUUAAUUCUUUGGUCCGGUACUCUAUUUAAAGGAGGCCUUAAUAUCCCUUAGUUUCCAAUAGGACCCCGCUGCCACGGGAGGGUAGGACAAAAGAUGUCAUGCAAGUUAUUUUCCAUAAGCACGUAUGACUAUAUUCGGAAUACAUGCCUACAUUACAUUGAUGAACUGGAUCUAGUCCUGUGUUAUUUGCCACUGUUACCGUUACUUCCAUACUACUUUGAUACUAAAUACUUUGCUGCAGAUAUUAAGUUUUCCAGGUGUGGUUGAAUUGACAACUCAACUGCUAAUACUUGAGAAUAUUCUUUGGCUCCCCUUGUGUCGAAUCAAUAAAUUUGGGUUGAAUACUCUACCCUCGAAAACUAUUGCGAUCCCCUAUACUUGUGGGUUAUCAUUCUCCUGGCCUACGGACUGCCCAAACAGAGUUCAGAAACUGCAUCACAAAAGGAGCAUAGAUCGGUACCUUGCGGUACCACACCAUAUUGUACAUCUCCUCCCACAUCCACUUGGAGACAUCAAACGUGGCACCAGAACCCCUCUUGAUCUUCAUGGCCACAAGCAAAUCCACAAGAUAACCAUAAAUAUCGUCUUGAUUCCCAACCUUGGGUAGCAGCACAUAGUGGAACACAUGAUGCAGAAUAUCAUAGACUGGCAGAAGGUCAUUGGACUUACCCACGAUACCAUGACCCGGGAUGUACAGAGGGGCAAGCUUAUCCUUGUCCAUGGGAUGGGCUCGGUCGUGAGGACGGAGACCACCUUGGCCCUCCAACCCGGUAUCCUCAUAGCCAAGAGCAUUGUAGAAGGCUCUCCAAGGGACAUGAAAGAACUCAUCACGGCACAUAAAGGACAGGUGACGCGCAUCAUCGGUGCCAAAGUGGACGGUAGCAUAGAACUGAUGAAUGAGCUGCACAUCGAAGUCACAGUUCACAGACAUGAGCUUGAUCAAAUCAAACUCCUCACAGAUCUCCAGAGCCUCUCCAAAGUAACCAGGGUUGUUCCUCCAGUGAUCGAUGUCAAUUGACCACAUCCGGGUGAACUUGUUCUUGUGGUGCUCGAAAAAUUCUAAAACAAUCCUUAUCUGCAAGUCAUUCCGGAACUGAGGGUUGUUCCAACGAGGAUGCGGUGCCACAGAGUAGGGAUCCUGGAAACGGAACUUUUCCCAGUCCGUAAGCUUCCAUUUGUGCAUUGGCAUCGCAGCACGCUGCUUGGCAGCAGCAUACUUCUCCCGGCGAGUGGCUUUGGUAGGGAUCACAACCUCGUGAGUAUCCUCACUGUCAUCCGAUGGUUUGCCCCUACAGGCCCUCUUAUUGGUGUUCUGAGGCUUCUGAGCAGCACGAGAGCUAGAGCCACCUGCAAACGCACAUAGAGAGCACACAGAUACUGAUACGUCUCCGUCGUAUCUACUUUUCCAAACAGUUUUGCCCUUGUUUUGGACUCUAACUUGCAUGAUUUGAAUGGAACUAACCCGGACUGACGCUGUUUUCAGCAGAAUUGCCAUGGUGUUAUUUUUGUGCAGAAACAAAAGUUCUCGGAAUGACCUGAAACUUCACGGAGAUUAUUUUUGGAAAUAAUAAAAAAUAUUGGCGAAAGAAUCAAGGCCAGGGGGCCCACACCCUUUCCACGAGGGUGGGAGGCGCACCUGCCCCCCUAGGGCGCGCCCCCCUACCUCGUGGGCCCCCUGGUGCUCCACCCACCUCAACUCCAACUCCAUAUAUUCGUGUUUGGGGAGAAAAAAAUCAGAGAGAAAGAUUCAUUGCGUUUUACGAUAUGGAGCCGCCGCCAAGCCCUAAUCUCUCUCGGGAGGGCUGAUCUAGGGUUUAGGGUUUAGGGUUUUAGGGUUUAGGGUUUAGGGUUUAGGGUUUAGGGUUUAGGGUUUAGGGUUUAGGGUUUAGGGUUAGGGUUUGAUCCCUAGUAUCCACUAUGCUCUGAGAUUGAUGUUGCUAUGACUUUGCUAUGCUUAAUGCUUGUCACUAGGGCCCGAGUGCCAUGAUUUCAGAUCUGAACCUAUUAUGUUUUCAUGAAUAUAUGUGAGUUCUUGAUCCUAUCUUGCAAGUCUGUAGUCACCUACUAUGUGUUAUGAUCCGGCAACCCCGAAGUGACAAUAAUCGGGACCACUCCCGGUGAUGACCGUAAUUUGAGGAGUUCAUGUAUUCACUAUGUGUUAGUGCUUUGGUCCGGUACUCUAUUAAAAGGCGGCCUUAAUAUCCCUUAGUUUCCAAUAGGACCCCGCUGCCACGGGAGGGUAGGACAAAAGAUGUCAUGCAAGUUCCUUUCCAUAAGCACGUAUGACUAUAUUCGAAAUACAUGCCUACAUUACGUUGAUGAAUUGGAGCUAGUUCUGUAUCACCCUAUGUUAUGACUGUUACAUGAUGAACCGCAUCCGGCAUAAUUCUCCAUCAUCGAUCCAAUGCCUACGAGCUUUUCACAUAUUGUUCUUCGCUUAUUUACUUUUCCGUUGCUACUCUUACAAUCACUACAAAACCCAAAAAUAUUACUUUUGCUACCGUUACCGCUACUUCCAUACUACUUUGCUACUAAAUACUUUGCUGCAGAUACUAAGUUAUCCAGGUGUGGUUGAAUUGACAACUCAACUGCUAAUACUUUAGAAUAUUCUUUGGCUCCCCUUGUGUCGAAUAAAUAAAUUUGGGUUGAAUACUCUAUCCUCGAAAACGGUUGCGAUCCCCUAUACUUGUGGGUUAUCAAGACUAUUUUCUGGCGCCGUUGCCGGGGAGCAUAGCUCUAUUCUUUGAGUCACUUGGGAUUUAUAUCUGCUGGUCACUACGAGGAACUUGAAAGACGAGAAAACAAAAAUUUAUCCCUCAACUACGAGGGGAGGUAAGGAACUGCCAUCUAGCUCUGCACUUGAUUCACCUUCUGUUUUGAGUAAGCUUGCGACACCUAAACCUGCUUCUGCUAUUAAUUCGGACAUGUCACAUGUUAUUGAUGAUGCCACUUCUACUAUGCAUGAUACUUAUGAUGAAACUACUUCUAUGCUUGAUACUAGUAUGCCACUCGGUGAAUUUCUUGAUGAACAACUUGCUAGGGCUAGAGAGAAUGAAAUUAUUGAAACUGAUAAUGUUGAUGAAAGUGAUGAUGAAGAUUCUCCCCCUAGAUAUGAAUUGCAUGUUGUACCUGAGGGUUAUGUUAUGGAUGAAGAAACUGCUAGAGACUUUCUUGCUUGCAAUGAUAGAAGUGAUCUUAAGAAAUUAUUAGCUAAGCUGAAACAAAAAUCUCUGAAUGCUAGAAUGAAAUAUGAUCCUGCUUAUGCUACUUCACAUAUCUUUGUUACUGAUAAGGAUUAUGAUUUCUCUGUCGACCCUGAUAUAAUUACUUUGGUUGAGUCUGAUCCUUUCUAUGGCUAUGAAUCUAAAAUUGUUGUGGCACAUCUUACUAAAUUAAAUGAUAUAGCCACCCUGUUCACUAAUGAUGAGAAAACUCGCAACUAUUAUAUCCUUAAGAUAUCUCCGUUCUCAUUAAAGGGUGAUGCUAAGAUAUGGUUUAAUUCUCUUGAUCCUGGUUGUGUGCGUAGUCCCCAGGAUAUGAUUUAUUACUUCUCUGCUAAAUAUUUCCCUGCUCAUAAGAAACAAGCAGCUUUAAGGGAUAUAUAUAAUUUUGUGCAAAUUGAAGAAGAGAGUCUGCCACAAGCUUGGGGGAGGCUUCUCCGAUUACUUAAUGCUUUGCCUGAUCAUCCUAUUAAGAAAAAUGAAAUACUUGAUAUCUUUUAUAAUGGAGUAACCGAUGCUUCCAGAGACCACCUGGAUAGUUGUGUUGGUUCUGUUUUCAGGGAAAGAACUGUUGAUCAAGCUGAAAUUCUAUUGAAUAAUAUGUUGACCAAUGAAAAUAAUUGGACACUUCCUGAACCAAUUCCUAAGCCAACUCCGAAGAAAAGGGGUGUUCUAUUUCUCAGUCCGGAAGAUAUGCAAGAGGCAAAGAAAUCUAUGAAAGAAAAAGGUAUAAAAGCUGAAGAUGUUAAGAAUUUACCUCCUGUUGAAGAAAUACAUGGUCUUAAUUUACCGCCUGUUAAAGAAAUACAUUCUCCUAAUAACCCGACACAUGUAGUAAAGGUAAAUUCUCUCUAUAGAUUUGAUGAAGGUGAUAUUCCUCGUUAUAAGUCUGCUAGCCAAUGCUUAGAUGAGUUUGAUAAUUUUAUUGUCAAACAAGAAAACUUCAAUGCUUAUGUUGGUAGACAAUUAAAACACAAUGCUUGUAUGAUUGAACACUUGGGUGAUUAUAUGUCUAGAGUUAAAGGGGAACUUAAACUCAUUAGUAAACAUGCUUCUAUGGUUACCACUCAAGUAGAACAAGUACUUAAAGCUCAGAAUGAUUUGCUCAAUGAAUUGAAUAGUAAGAAUAAUGAAUUUGCUGUUAGAGUUGCAACUAGAGGGGGUAAAGUGACUCAGGAACCUUUGUAUCCUGAGGGCCACCCUAAGAGAAUUGAGCAGGAUUCUCAGAGAAAUAAUAUGGAUGCACCUAGUCCUACUAAGAGGAAGAAAAAGAAAAAUGAUAGGACUUUGCAUGCUUCUAGUGAACCUGUUGUAGACACACCUGAGAAUCCCAAUGAUAUUUAUAUUUCUGAUGCUGAAACACAAUCUGAAAAUGAACAUGAACCUAGUGAUAAUGUUAAUGAUGAUAUUCAUGUUGAUGCUCAACCUAGUAAUAACAAUGAUGUAGAAAUCGAACCUGCGGUUGAUCUUUAUAGCCCACAAUCAAAGAAUCAACGUUAUCAGAUACCCCUAUACUUGUGGGUUAUCAGAUACCCCAGCAAAGAUGAGAGGAAUGUACACAAGAUCCAAAGAAUAUAUCUCAUGUUCGUAAGAAGAAGAAGAACGGUGUAGAUGGGUUCAGAGAAUUCGGUUGUUCCGGUUGUUCGACUGGUAGAACCGCCUGUGCGGUAGUACCGCACACGAGGAGCGGUAGUACCACUGAGAGCGGAUCUGCCGAGUUGAAGAACGGGUACAACCCUACUUUGAAUCUAGAUGCAAUAUUCAUACUUCUAACUACGCACAAGAAAAGGAGGAGUAUAUAAGGAUCUCUCCCACCAAUCAUUUGCCCAAAAAUGCGGGAGUACAAGCAAUGCCCUAGAGGAAGGAUUCAACAAAAAGGAACCGUAAGAACAAAACGAAACAGGGCAUUACCGGUAUCCAUGGGAGGAGAUCGGAAGGGAGGCGACCUCUACGGAGCAAAUCCAAUGAAGGGCCAACCGAUCCAGAACGCCUGAGGGCGCUCCGGGGCAAUGGGCGGAGCAACCGGCGGCUAGGGUUUAGUCGCGGGACGGGCGCGAAGGGGAAAAGAAUACCCCUUCAGCCCGCGCCCUUUACAUAUGCGCCCGAUACGUCUCCAACGUAUCUAUAAUUUUGGAUUGUUUCAUGCUAUUAUAUAUUCUGUUUUGGAUGUUUAUACACUUUUAUAUUAUUUUUGGGACUAACCUAUUAACCAGAGGCCCAACCCAAAUUGCUGUUUUUUGCCUAUUUCAGUGUUUCGAAGGAAAAGGAUAUCAAACGGAGUCCAAACGGAAUGAAACCUUCGGGAACGUGAUUUUCGGAACAAACGUGAUCCAGAGGACUUGGAGUGGACGUCAAGCAAUCAACGAGGAGGCCACAAGGCAGGGAGGGGCGCCUGCCCCCCUGGGCGCGCCCCCACCCUCGUGGGCACCUCGUAGCUCUCCUGACCGACCUCUUUCACCUAUAUUUACUCAUAUACCUUGGAAACAUCAUAUACGGAGCCAAAACCCUAUUUCCACUGCCGCAACUCUCUGUACCCGUGAGAUCCCAUCUUGGGGCUUUUUCCGGCGCUCCGCCGGAGGGGGCAUUGAUCACGGAGGGCUUCUACAUGAACACCAUAGCCUCUCCGAUGAUGUGUGAGUAGUUUACCUCAGACCUUCGGGUCCAUAGUUAUUAGCUAGAUGGCUUCUUCUCUCUCUUUGGAUCUCAAUACAAGUUUCUCCUCGAUCUUCUUGGAGAUCUAUUCAAUGUAACUCUUCUUUUGCAGUGUGUUUGUCGAGAUCCGAUGAAUUGUGGGUUUACGAUCAAGAUUAUCUAUGAACAAUAUUUGAAUCUCCUCUGAAUUCUUUUAUGUAUGAUUGGUUAUCUUUGCAAGUCUCUUCGAAUUAUCAGUUUGGUUUGGCCUACUAGAUUGAUCUUUCUUGCAAUGGGAGAAGUGCUUAGCUUUGGGCUCAAUCUUGCGGUGCUCGAUCCCAGUGACAGUAGGGGAAACGACACGUAUUGCAUUGUUGCCAUCGAGGAUAAAAAGAUGGGGUUUAUAUCAUAUUGCUUAAGUUUAUCCCUCUACAUCAUGUCAGCUUGCUUAAAGCAUUACUCCGUUCUGAUGAACUUAAUACUCUAGAUGCAUGCUGGAUAUCGGUCGAUGUGUGGAGUAAUAGUAGUAGAUGCAGGCAGGAGUCGGUCUACUUGUCACGGACGUGAUGCCUAUAUACAUGAUCAUACCUAGAUAUUCUCAUAAGUAUGCUCAAUUCUAUCAAUUGCUCGACAGUAAUUCGUUCACCCACCGUAAUACUUAUGCUAUCUUGAGAGAAGCCACUAGUGAAACCUAUGCCCCCCGGGUCUAUUUUCCAUCAUAUUAAUCGCCCGUCAACUAGCUAUUUCUAUCGCCAUUUACUUUGCAAUCUUUACUUUUACUCUUUAUCAUAAAAAUACCAAAAAUAUUAUCUUAUCAUCUCUAUCAGAUCUCACUUUUGCAAGUGGCCGUGAAGGGAUUGACAAUCCCUUUAUCGCGUUGGUUGCAAGGUUCUUAUUUUUUUUGUGUAGGUGUGUGGGACUUGAGAGUGGUCUCCUACUGGAUUGAUACCUUGGUUCUCAAAAACUGAGGGAAAUACUUACGCUACUUUACUGCAUCACCCUUUCCACUUCAAGGGAAAACCAACGCAGUGCUCAAGAGGUAGCAAGAAGGAUUUCUGGGGCCGUUGCCAGGGAGUCUACGCACAAGUUAAGAAAUACCAAGUACCCAUCACAAACUCUUAUCCCUCGCAUUACAUUAUUUGCCAUUUGCCUCUCGUUUUCCUCUCCACCACUUCACCCUUGCCGUUUUUUUCGCCCUCUCUUUUUCGUUCGCUUCUUCUUUUUGCUUGCCUCUUGUUGCUUGUUACCCUCAUGGCUCUACCUAGAUUUGGUGAUCUUCACCUUAAAAGGGUAGAAGAGAUUGAAAGCAACGUUAGAAGUUUUAUGACUUUACAAUUUGAGCAUAAUAAUUUCUUUAGAAAUGAGCUGAAGGAACAAAAAAGCUUUAUGGGGUACAUGAAUAAAGAGCUCGAUGAUAUGUCUAAGGAAUUUUAUGGUUUGAAAUCUCAGAUUGAUCAUCUUGAAAAAUUAAUAGCUGAAAUUUCGGAUAAGCAGGCCACCUUAGUUAAUAAGAUGGCCGCUAAACCAGAAAAUUAUUAUGAGAAUAAAGAUGAAGAUCUAAAAGUUAUUGACGUGUCUCCUAUUAAAUCUUUGUUUUGCAAUAUGAUUCUUGAUAAUGAUGGGACUGGAGAUGAGUCAACUUUAGUUAGAAGGCAUCCCAAAAAUUCGGAGUUUUUAGAUCUUGAUGCAAAAAUUGGUAAAAGUGGGAUUGAAGAGGUUAAAACUUUAGAUAUCAACGAACCCACUAUUUUGGAUUUCAAGGAAUUUAAUUAUGAUAAUUGCUCUUUAAUAGAUUGUAUUUCCUUGUUGCAAUCCGUGCUAAAUUCUCCUCAUGCUUAUAGUCAAAAUAAAGCUUUUACCAAACAUAUCGUUGAUGCUUUAAUGCAAUCUUAUGAAGAAAAACUUGAGUUGGAAGUUGCUAUCCCUGGAAAACUUUAUGAUGAGUGGGAACCUACAAUUAAAAUUAUAAUUAAAGAUCAUGAAUGCUAUGCUUUGUGUGAUUUGGGUGCUAGUGUUUCCACGAUUCCAAAAACUUUGUGUGAUUUGCUAGGUUUCCAUGAAUUCGGUGAUUGUUCUUUAAACUUGCAUCUUGCGGAUUCCACUAUUAAGAAACCUAUGGGAAGAAUCAAUGAUGUUCUUAUUGUUGCAAAUAGAAACUAUGUGCCCGUAGAUUUUAUUGUUCUUGAUAUAGAUUGCAAUCCUUCAUGUCCUAUUAUUCUAGGUAGACCUUUCCUUAGAACGAUUGGUGCAAUUAUUGAUAUGAAGGAAGGGAAUAUUAGAUUCCAAUUUCCAUUAAGAAAAGGCAUGGAACACUUUCCUAGAAAGAAAAUUAAAUUACCUUAUGAAUCUAUUAUGAGAGCCACUUAUGGAUUUCAUGCCAAAGAUGAUAAUACUUAGAUCUAUCCUUGUUUUUAUGCCUAGCUAGGGGCGUUAAACGAUAACGCUUGUUGGGAGGCAACCCAAUUUUUAGUUUUUUGCUUUUUGCUCCUGAUUAGAAAUAAAUAUUUGAUCUAGCCUCUGGUUAGAUUUGUUUUUAUGUUUUAAUUAGUGUUUGUGCCAAGUAAAACCUAUAGGAUCUUCUUGGAUGAUAGUUAUUUGAUCUUGCAGAAAAUUCCAGAAACUUUCUGUUCAUGAAAACAAUUGUUUAAAAUCACCAGAACGUGAUAAAAUACUGAUUCCAAUUGCAGUAGAUCAAUAAACAAAUUAUCUAGGUCGUCCUAUUUUGGUAAAUGUUUCUGAGUUACAGAAGUUUGCGUUAGAUACAGAUUACUACAGACUGUUUUGUUUUUGACAGAUUCUGUUUUUCGCGCGUUGUUUGCUUAUUUUGAUGAGUCUAUGGUUAGUAAAAAGUUUAUGAACCAUAGAGAAGUUGGAAUACAGUGGGUUUAACACCAAUAUAAAUAAAGAAUGAGUUCAAUACAGUACCUUGAAGUGGUGUUUUGUUUUCUCUCGCUAACGGAGCUCGUGAGAUUUUCUGUUGAGUUUUGUGUUGUGAAGUUUUCAAGUUUUGGUUAAAGAUUUGAUGGAUUAUGGAACAAGUAUUGGCAAAAGCCUAAGCUUGGGGAUUCCCAAGGCACCCCAAGGUAAAAUUCAAGGACAACCAAAAGCCUAAGCUUGGGGAUGCUCCGGAAGGCAUCCCCUCUUUCGUCUUCGUCCAUCGGUAACUUUACUUGAUGCUAUAUUUUUAUUCACCACAUGAUAUGUGUUUUUUUUGGAGCGUCUUGUAUGAUUUGAGUCUUUGCUUUUUAGUUUACCAAAAUCAUCCUCGCUGAAUACACUUUUGAGAGAGACACACAUGAUUCGGAAUUUAUUAGAAUACUCUAUGUGCUUCACUUAUAUCUUUUGAGCUAUAUAGUUUUUGCACUAGUGCUUCACUUAUAUCUUUUAGAGCACGGUGGUGGUUUUGUUUUAUAGAAAUUAUUGUUCUCUCACACUUCACUUAUAUUAUUUUGGGGGUCUUACAAAACAGCAUGGUAAUUUGCUUAAAUUGUGAAAUUAGUCCUAAUAUGAUAGGCAUCUAUGAUUAGUAAAAACUUUCUUAUAAGUGUGUUGAAUACUAAGAGAAGUAUGAUGCUUGAUGAUUGUUUUGAGAUAUGGAGGUAGUGAUAUUAAAGUUGUGCUAGUUGAGUAAUUGUGAAUUUGAGAAAUACUUGUGUUGAAGUUUGCAAGUCCCGUAGCAUGCACGUAUGGUAAACGUUGUGUAACAAAUUUGAAACAUGAGGUGUUCUUUGAUUGUCCUCCUUAUGAGUGGCGGUCGGGGACGAGCGAUGGUCUUUUCCUACCAAUCUAUCCCCCUAGGAGCAUGCAUGUAGUGCUUGGUUUUUUAUGACUUGUAGAGUUUUGCAAUAAGUAUGUGAGUUCUUUAUGACUAAUGUUGAGUCCAUGGAUUAUACGCACUCUCACCCUUCCAUCAUUGCUAGCCUCUUCGGUACCGUGCAUUGCCCUUUCUCACCUUGAGAGUUGGUGCAAACUUCGCCGGUGCAUCCAAACCCCGUGAUACGAUACGCUCUAUCACACAUAAACCUCCUUAUAUCUUCCUCAAAACAGCCACCAUACCUACCUAUUAUGGCAUUUCCAUAGCCAUUCCGAGAUAUAUUGCCAUGCAACUUUCCAUCGUUCCGUUUAUCAUGACACGCUUCAUCAUUGUCAUAUUGCCUUGCAUGAUCAUGUAGUUGACAUCGUAUUUGUGGCAAAGUCACAAUGCAUAUUAUUUCAUACAUGUCACUCUUGAUUCAUUGCCCAUCCUAGUACACCGCCGGAGGCAUUCAUAUAGAGUCAUACCUUGUUCUAGUAUCGAGUUGUAAUCAUUGAGUUGUAAAUAAAUAGAAGUGUGAUGAUCAUCAUUCAUAGAGCAUUGUCCCAAAAAAAAGAAGAAAAAAAGAAAAAGAAAAGAAAAUAAAAAGGGGCAAUGCUACUAUCCUUUUUCCACACUUGUGCUUGAAAGUAGCACCAUGAUCUUUAUGAUAGAGAGUCUUUUGUUUUGUCACUUUCAUAUACUAGUGGGAAUUUUUCAUUAUAGAACUUGGCUUGUAUAUUCCAACAAUGGGCUUCCUCAAAUGCCCUAGGUCUUCGUGAGCAAGCAAGUUGGAUGCGCACCCACUUAGUUUCUUUUGUUGAGCUUUCAUACAUUUAUAGCUCUAGUGCAUCCGUUGCAUGGAAAUCCCUACUCUUUGCAUUGACAUCAAUUAAUGGGCAUCUCCCUAGCCCGUUGAUUAGCCGCGUCAAUGUGAGACUUUCUCCUUUUUUUGUCUUCUCCACAUAACCCUCAUCAUCAUACUCUAUUCCACCCAUAGUGCUAUAUCCAUGGCUCACGCUCAUAUAUUGCGUGAAAGUUGAAAAAGUUUGAGAUUACUAAAGUAUGAAACAAUUGCUUGGCUUGUCAUCGGGGUUGUGCAUGAUGAGAUCAUUCUUGUGUGACGAAAAUGGAGCAUGACCAAACUAUAUGAUUUUGUAGGGAUGAACUUUCUUUGGCCAUGUUAUUUUGAGAAGACAUAAUUGCUUAGUUAGUAUGCUUGAAGUAUUAUUACUUUUAUGUCUAUAUUAAACUUUUAACUUGAAUCUUUCGGAUGUGAACAUUCAUGCCACAAUUAAAAGAAUUACAUUGAAGAAUGUGCUAAGUAGCAUUCCACAUCAAAAAUUCUGUUUUCAUCAUUUACCUACUCGAGGACGAGCAGGAAUUAAGCUUGGGGAUGCUUGAUACAUCUCCGACGUAUCUAUAAUUUUUUAUUAUUCCAUGCUAUUAUAUAUUCUGUUUUGGAUGUUUAAUGGGCUUUAUUAUACACUUUUAUAUUACCUUUGGGACUAACCUAUUAACCGGAGGCCCAGCCCAAAUUGCUGUUUUUUGCCUAUUCUAGUGUUUCAAAGGAAAAGGAUAUCAAACGGAGUCCAAACUGAAUGAAACCUUCGGGAACGUGAUUUUCGGAACAAACGUGAUCCAGAGGACUUGGAGUGGACGUCAAGCAAUCAACUAGGAGGCCACGAGGCAGGGAGGCGUGCCUGCCCCCCUGGGCGCGCGCCCCACCCUCGUGGGCCCCUCGUAGCUCUCCUGACCGACCUCUUUCGCCUAUAUAUACUCAUAUACCCUGGAAACAUCAUAUACGGAGCCACAACCCUAUUUCCACCACCACAACUCUCUGUACCCGUGAUAUCCCAUCUUGGGGCCUUUUCCGGCGCUCCGCCGGAGGGUCCAUUGAUCACGGAGGGCUUCUACAUCAACACCAUAGCCUCUCCGAUGAUGUGUGAGUAGUUUACCUCGGACCUUUGGGUCCAUAGUUAUUAGCUAGAUGGCUUCUUCUCUCUCUUUGGAUCUCAAUACAAAGUUCUCCUCGAUCUUCUUGGAGAUCUAUUCGAUGUAACUCUUCUUUUGCGGUGUGUUUGUCGAGAUCCGAUGAAUUGUGGGUUUAUGAUCAAGAUUAUCUAUGAACAAUAUUUGAAUCUCCUCUGAAUUUCUUUUAUGUAUGAUUGGUUAUCUUUGCAAGUCUCUUCGAAUUAUUAGUUUGGUUUGGCCUACUAGAUUGAUCUUUCUUGCAAUGGGAGAAGUGCUUAGCUUAGGGCUCAAUCUUGCGGUGCUCGAUCCCAGUGACAGUAGGGGAAACGACACAUAUUGUUGCCAUCGAGGAUAAAAAGAUGGGGUUUAUAUCAUAUUGCUUGAGUUUAUCCCUCUACAUCAUGUCAUCUUGCUUAAAGUGUUACUCCGUUCUUAUGAACUUAAUACUCUAGAUGCAUGCUAGAUAGCGGUCGAUGUGUGGAGUAAUAGUAGUAGAUGCAGGCAGGAGUCGGUCUACUUGUCACGGACGUGAUGCCUAUAUACAUGAUCAUACCUAGAUAUUCUCAUAAGUAUGCUCAAUUCUAUCAAUUGUUCGACAGUAAUUCGUUCACCCACCGUAAUACUUAUGCUAUCUUGAGAGAAGCCACUAGUGAAACCUAUGGCCCCGGGGUCUAUUUUCCAUCAUAUUAAUCGCACGUCAACUAGCUAUUUCUGUUGCCGUUUACUUUGCAAUCUUUAAUUUUACUCUUUAUCAUAAAAAUACCAAAAAUAUUAUCUUAUCAUCUCUAUCAGAUCCCACUUUUGCAAGUGGUCGUGAAGGGAUUGACAACCCCUUUAUCGCGUUGGUUGCAAGGUUCUUAUUUGUUUGUGUAGGUGCGUGACUUGAGCGUGGUCUCCUACUGGAUUGAUACCUUGGUUCUCAAAAACUGAGGGAAAUACUUACGCUACUUUACUGCAUCACCCUUUCCUCUUCAAGGGAAAACCAACGCAGUGCUCAAGAGGUAGCAGCGCCCAGAUGUCAGCCAGUGGUACCGCUCUGAAGAGCGGUAGUACCGCUCCUGUAGCUAGGAGUUGUUUGAGAUUGGUAUUUCCGCUCCAGAAGUAGUGGUAGUACCACUUCCAAAUACCGGUACUACCGGCCAGUGGUACAGGUACGAGCAAGCACGGUAGAACCGCUCGUGCGAGACCGGAAGUACCACUGGGACUACACAACCUAGUGGAAGAGCGGUAGAACCGUUCUGACCACCGGUUGUACCGUCAAGAUGCAUCAGGCCAUGUACAAAGAGAUCAAGCUAGUGUACAUUUGGAAAAGAUGGCUUGGGAUGAGAAGGCUUAGGAUGGAAGCAAGACACUGUAUUAUGAUGAAGAAGCCCCCAAGAGUGCAAGAAGCAAACAAUAAAAGCCACUCCUUGAAGAAUUCAAGCAUCUAGGAGAACCGAAGGAGCAAGGCAAAAGGAAACACACAACAAAGAAAACACUCUUGCACAAGGGAGGUGGCCGGAGCCACCUAUGUUUGAGUUAAAUGGUAUGGUGCCGCGAAGAAUUAUCCUUGGGCCCAUGACCAAAACUCGUCUUUGAAGCACAAGUACCAUAAAAAUGGCUAAUGUGAAAGAGUUGAUCAAUUUAUGCAUAAUGGGGGAGGGAGAGUUCAUUGAGAGAACAACACUCCCCCUAUGUCCAUGCCUACACCUAAACAAGACAUCAAGAUGAGUAUGGUGGGGUGUGCAAGGGUUCAAGCCACAUUGCUCAAAUCAAUGAUAUUUAGCUCAUGCCUUAACUCGCGAAAUCUUGCUUCAUACAAAGGCUUCAUGAAGAUAUCUGCAAGGUUAUCAUGAGUGUUCACAUAGUUGAGCUCGAUCUCCCCUUGCCUACUAUGAUCCCGGAUGAAGUGAUACCGAAUCUCAAUAUACUUUGUCUUGAAGUGUUGCAUCGGGUUGAGAGAAAUCUUGAUGGCACUUUCAUUGUCACACCAAAGAGGCACUUUGUCACAAAUGACACCGUAAUCCUUUAAAGUUUGCCUCAUCCAUAGAAGUUGUGCACAACAACUACCGGCGGCCACAUACUCUGCUUCGGUGGACGAGAGAGACACACAACUUUGCUUCUUAGAAGACCAACUCACCAAAGAGCAACCAAGGAAUUGGCACCCUCCGGAAGUUGACUUCCUAUCCACUUUGUCUCCCGCCCAAUCAGAGUCCGAAUAGCCUACAAGGUUGAAGUUUUCUCCUCUUGGGUACCAUAAGCCAAAGUUUGGGGUAUGAGCCAAAUAUCGAAAGAUUUGUUUGACCGCCACAAAGUGGAUUUCCUUAGGUGCGGCUUGAAACCGUGCACAAAUUCCCACACUCAUCAUGAUAUCCGGUCUAGAUGCACAAAGGUAAAGCAAGGAGCCAAUCAUGGAGCGAUAUACCUUUUGAUCCACCGCUUUACCAUUGGGAUCUAUGUCAAGUUGGCAUUUGACGGGCAUUGGAGUGGAAGCCGGCUUGAAAUCACUUAGCUUGAAUCUCUUGAGCAUGUCUUCAGUGUAUUUGGCUUGGUUGAUGAAGGUUCCUUCUCUUCGUUGCUUGACUUCGAACCCGAGAAAGAACUUCAACUCUCCUAUCAUGGACAUCUUGAACUUUGAGGUCUUGAGAGCGGCAAAUUCCUCAUUGAAAGCUUUGUUAGGAGAACCAAAGAUAAUAUCAUCAACAUAUAGUUGGCACACAAACAAGUCCCCUUUGACCUUCUUAGUAAAAAGAGUGGGGUCGAUUUUCCCAAUUUCAAACCCCCGAUCUUGCAACAACUCGGUAAGGUGGUCAUACCACGCACGUGGGGCUUGUUUAAGGCCAUAGAGUGCCUUAUCGAGUUGGUACACGUGAUUGGGGAAAUAGGGAUCCUCGAACCUGGGGGUUGUUUGACAUACACCAACUCAUUAAUAGGACCAUUAAGAAAAGCACUCUUCACAUCCAUUUGUUGCAACUUGAAGUUAUGAUGAGAAGCAUAAGCAAUCAACAAACAAAUAGAUUCAAGGCGAGCAACGGGAGCAAAGGUUUCACCGUAGUUGAUACCCUCGACUUGGGAGUAGCCUUGUGCUACCAAGCGAGCCUUGUUGCCGACAAUAAUCCCAUGAGCAUCUUGCUUGUUCUUGAAUAUUCACUUGGUUCCAAUGAGAUUAUGGUUCCCCGUUGGCCUUGGCACCAAUCUCCACACCUUGUUGUGCUCGAAUUUGUUGAGUUCUUCAUGCAUGGCAUUAAGCCAAUCCGGAUCUUCGAGCGCCUCAUAGACCUUUUGGGGUUUAACACAAGAGACAAACGCGUGAUGUUCACAAUAGUUUGCCAAUUGUCUACGAGUGCUUACCCCCUUUCGAAUGCUUCCAAGCACAUUCGUCAUGAGAUGACCCUUGGUAGAGAGCUUGGAUGCAAUCUUGGCGGCACGACGCUCCAAUUCCUCCUCAGGAGUGAGUUGAGGAGCGGUUACUUGAUCAUCUUGAGCGUCGCCUUGAGCUUGUUCUUGAUCUUGAGCUUUCUCUUGAUCUUGAACUUGCUCGGAGGAGAGAACUUGACCUUGGGCAUCACUUGGUGGUUCAACACCAUCUUGAGGUUGAUCUUGCCCUUGGUCUUGUUCAAGAGGUUGAGGGCCUUCACUUUGUUCUUCGGAAGCGUGUGUGACUUGGGUUGGUGAUGGUUCCACUUGAGUGGAACAUUGUCCUUCUCCUUCGGCCACAAGGGGUUCCUCAAUGGGUAGGAUAAAACCAACACCCAUUCUUCUUAUGGCUUGGGGAGGAAUUUCAUCACCUACAUCACAAGUGUCACUUUGCUCCACUUGGAACCCGUUAUUCUCAUCAAACUCCACGUUACACGUCUCCUCAAUAAGUCCCGUGGACUUAUUGAGGACACGGUAAGCAUGAGAGUUUGUAGCAUAACCAACAAAUAUGCCCUCUUGAGCUCUAGCCUCAAAUUUAGACAAACGAACACCUUUCUUGAGAAUGAAACACUUACACCCGAACACCCGAAAGUACUUGAGAUUGGGCUUGUUACCGGUGAGUAUCUCAUAUGGAGUUUUGUUCAAGACUUUGCGGAGAUAGAGCCGAUUGGAUGCAUGCCAUGCGGUAUUGAUGGGUUCGGCCCAAAAGUUGUAUGGAGACUUGAACUCCGCCAUCAUAGUCCUUGCCGCAUCCAUCAACGUCCGGUUCUUCCUCUCCGCUACACCAUUUCAUUGAGGGGUGUAUGGUGCAGAAUAUUGAUGCUUGAUCCCCUCAUUACUAAGAAACUCAUCCAAGGUGUAGUUCUUGAACUCGGUGCCGUUGUCACUUCUUAUCGUCAAGAUCUUUGCAUUGUGUUGGCGUUGAGCUUCAUUUGCAAAGUCAAUGACAGUUUGUUGGGUCUCACUCUUCCUCUUGAAGAAGUAUACCCAAGUGUAUCUUGAAUAACCAUCCACAAUCACCAAGCAAUACUUUCUACCCCCAAGACUAUCAAAGGAUGAAGGCCCAAAGAGAUCCAAGUGAAGGAGCUCCAAAGGCCUCUUCGAGUAAAUGAUAGUCGUGGGAGGGUGAGCCUUCUCAUGUAGCUUUCCUUCAAUACAAGCACUGCAAGCACGAUCUUUGGCAAAACUAACAUUUGUUAGUCCACGGACAUGGUCCCCCUUGAGAAGACUUUGCAAAGAUCUCAUAUUGACAUGGGCUAAACGGCGAUGCCAAAGCCAUCCCACGUCAACUUUAGCCAUUAGGCAUGUCGCGGUCUUAGUGGGUCGCUCCGAAAAGUUAAUCACAUAGAGACCGUUCUCAACAUGCCCAACAAAAGCUACUUUAAGAGUCUUGCUCCACAAGAGGGCCACGGUAUCAAUAUCAAAGAAAGUGGCAAAAGCCAUGAGUGCGAGUUGACGAACGGAAAGUAAAUUGUAUGCAAGGGACUCAACAAGCAUGACUUUCUCGAUCGUGAGAUUAUGAGAAAUGACUACCUUGCCAAGACCCAAUACCUUAGAAGAUGAGGCAUCACCCCACUCGACAUUGGUGGGCAUAUAUGGAAUCUUGUGCACGUCCACCACCAAGUCCUUGCUUCCGAUCAUAUGAUUAGUGGCUCCACUAUCGAUCAACCAUGAUCCCCCACCGGAAGCAAACACCUACAAGAGGUCAAUGCUUGGUUUUAGGUACCCAUUUUGUAAUGGGUCCUUUGAUGUUAGUAACAAGGGUCUUAGGAACCCAAAUAGACUAUUCAAUGUGCUCAUAAGGAGAACCAACAAAUUUGGCAUAGACAUGCCCAUCAUUAGCACGGCACAACACAUAAGAAGGGUUAAAGUCGCUAGCUUUGUUGGAAGGAGUGGCAUUGCCCUUCUUGACACCACCACCCUUCACAUUGUUCUUCUUCUCCUUGGAAGCACCCUCUCCCUCCUUCACAAACGUUUGCUUGAGAGGAGGAGGUCGUUUGGCCUUGUCAUUCUUCUUCUUGUUCUUGGACUUGGGUGCGAACCCAAUUCCCUCCUUGGCCACAACUUCCUUUUGAUUGCUUAAAAGGUCAUUGAGGUUUUUGUCACCUUGUAUGCAUGAAACAAGGCCUUUCUCAAGUUGCCUCUUCAACUUAGUAUUCUCCUCCACAAGAUGCACAUGCUCACAACAUGGGUUAGUAGCAUUUGCAUUAUCAAUUAAAACCAUAUGAGGAAAAGUGGCAUUUUCCUUAGUUAGCUUCACUUGUAGUUGAUCAUGAGACUCUUUGAGGCUAGCAAGAGCACCCUUCAAGGCUUUAAGAGCCUUGUCAAGUAUAUCAAACUACUCCUUGAGUCUAGCAAGAUCAACCCCUAGUUUGGCCUUCUCGGAAUUGAGCACACGAGAUACAACAAGAGUAUGAUCAAGAUCUUUCUUUAAUUUAGCAUGCUCAUCGUUGUGUGACUCCUCAAGAGCCAAACGAUGACCACGCUCUUCUUCAAGAGCAUUAGAGAGAUCCGAUAUCUCAUCGGCAUAGUCAUGACUAUGUCCCUCCAUCUUAGAGAUGGUGUCUUCGUGAGCCUCGAUCAUGUCAUUGGCUUCACCAAGUUGUUCCAAGAGAGCAACAAAGUGCUUCUUGGAUUUACCCUUGAGCUUACUCAUAAAAGACUCAAAUUCAUUUUCUUCUUCAUUAGACCCCUCACUUUCAUCAAUGCCAUCCGUCAAAGAGGGAUUAGUAGUGAUGGUAGUUUUGAUGUUGGGGGUUACCUUGUUGGUGGCUUUGGCCAUGAGGCACAUGGCGGUGAUGUUGUCGUUGGGUGAGUCGGAGAGGGACACCCGUGGAGUUGUUGCAAUGGCGACGGAGGCCAUGGAAACCGUCUCACCGUCUUCAUCAUCAUCAUCAUCCUCAUUGUACUCUUCUUGUGCCACCAACCCAUUGGGAGGAGUCUUCUUGGUGAAGUUGCUCUUGUUGGGGAAGGACUUGGCCUUUUUUUCGGAUGAGCGUGCCACCAUUGUCUUCCCUCUUCUCAUAUGGGCAUUCCGCAACAAAGUGGCUCACAUUGCAUCAUGCUUUUAUAUCAAUAUUUAUUGCAUUAUGGGCUGUUAUUACACAUUAUGUCACAAUACUUAUGCCUAUUCUCUCUUAUUUUACAAGGUUUACAUGAAGAGGGAGAAUGCCGGCAGCUGGAAUUCUGGGCUGGAAAAGGAGCAAAUAUUAGAGACCUAUUCUGCACAACUCCAUAAGUCCUGAAAUUUCACAGAAGUCAGUUUUGGAAUAUAUUAAAAAUAUUGGGCGAAGAAAGCACCAGAGGGGGGCCACCAACCAUCCACGAGGGUGGGGGGCGCGCCCCCUGCCUCGUGGGCCCCCUGGCAGGCCUCCGGUGCCCAUAUUUGGCUAUAUGAAGUAUUUCGCCCUGGAAAAAAUCAGAAGGAAGCUUUCGGGACGAAGCGCCGCCGUCUCGAGGCGGAACUUGGCGAAACCAAUCUAGGGCUCUAGCGGAGCUGUUCUGCCGGGGAAACAUCCCUCCGAGAGGGGGAAAUCAUCACCAUCGUCAUCACCAUCGAUCCUGUCAUUAGGAGGGGGUCAAUCUCCAUCAACAUCUUCACCAGCACCAUCUCCUCUCAAACCCUAGUUCAUCUCUUGUAUUCGAUCUUUGUCUCAAAACCUCAGAUUGGUACCUGUGGGUUGCUAGUAGUGUUGAUUACUCCUUGUAGUUGAUGCUAGUUCGUUUAUUUGGUGGAAGAUCAUAUGUUCAGAUCCUUUAUGCAUAUUAAUGCCCCUCUGAUUAUGAACAUUAAUAUGAUUUGUGAGUAGUUACGUUUGUUCCUGAGGACAUGGGAGAAGUCUUGCUAUAAGUAGUCAUGUGAAUUUGGUAUUCGUUUGAUAUUUUGAUGAGAUGUAUGUUGUCUUUCCUCUAGUGGUGUUAUGUGAACGUCGACUACAUGACACUUCACCAUUAUUUGGGCCUAGAGGAAGGCAUUGGGAAGUAAUAAGUAGAUGAUGGGUUCCUAGAGUGACAGAAGCUUAAACCCUAGUUUAUGCGUUGCUUCGUAAGGGGCUGAUUUGGAUCCAUAUGUUUCAUGCUAUGGUUAGGUUUACCUUAAUACUUCUUUUGUAGUUGCGGAUGCUUGCAAUAGGGGUUAAUCAUAAUUGGGAUGCUUGUCCAAGGAAGGGCAGUACCCAAGCACCAGUCCACCCACAUAUCAAAUUAUCAAAGUAACGAACAUGAAUCAUAUGAGCAUGAUGAAAACUAGCUUGACGAUAAUUCCCAAGUGUCCUCGGGAGCGUUUUCCUUUAUAUAAGAGUUUGUCUAGGCUUGUCCUUUGCUACAAAAAGGAUUGGGCCAACUUUUUGCACCUUGUUUACUUUUGUUACUUGUUACCUGUUACGAAUUACCUUAUCAUAAAACUAUCUGUUACCAAUAAUUUCAGUGCUUGCAGAGAAUACCUUACUGAAAACUGCUUGUUAUUUCCUUCUGCUCCUCGUUGGAUUCGACACUCUUACUUAUCGAAAGGAUUGCGAUAGAUCCCAUAUACUUGUGGGUCAUCACCUUACACGUUGCUUGCCCUUCGUGCCACUUGAGUUGUUCUUGUUGAAGUUGGGCCUUGUGUUCUUCUUGCUCCAAAAUUGCCUUGAAGCGAGAGCCAUGUGUCAUGAUAAGCAUACUUUGUAUCUUCGGGGUUGCUCUCCUCUUGUUCCUCUUCAUCCUCUUCUUCCACACUCGCCUUGGGCUUCAGAGCAAGGUUGGGCUUCUUUGCUCUUUGAGAACGCAACACGGUCUUCUCCAAGAUACUCAUUGCCACAAACUCAUCCAACACUUCACUUGAGGACAAGGUGUGGAAGUCCGGCCUCUGACAGAUGACGGAUGACAUGGCCUUAUGGUAAGGCAUCAUGGCUUUGAGAAACUUCCGCUUGAUCCAAUUUUCAUUUGUAUCCUUGCUCCCAUGAUCUCGGAGUGAGACCGCGAGAGUGGUUAAUCUUCGGUAAAGCUUACGAGGUUCUUCACCUUCAUUCAUUGCAAAUUCAUCGGCUUCAUCUUGCAUCACUUCAUAGUUGGAGCGUUGAAUGCUUGCGCCUCCCUUGUAAAGGGAAACAACAUGGUGCCAAGCUUCCUUUGCCACGGUGAAAGGUCAGAGAUGCGCAAUAUCUUUGGAUGGGAUUGCAUCUUGGAUGAUGAAGAGAGCAUUCUCGUUGAAUUGAUGAUCCGCGGCUUCUCGAGGGGUGAAGUUGCUUGGGUCAUGUGGAUAGAAACCUUGCUCAAUGAUUCUCCAAAGAUUAGUAUUGACAUGAUUUAAAUGACGUUUAAAACGAUAUACCCAAGAGUCAAAGUCCUCAUUUUUCACAAUCUUAGGAGGACAGCCGGCAUGAUUUAAAUGUGUGGAGGGAACCGGUCCUCCAUAAGUAAGAGGUGGUUCAACAUGGGCAUAGGUGCCGUUUCCACUUUUACCACUUGACAAAGGAACUUUCUCACUAGUAGUUUCCCCCUUGUCGGAGUUAGAAUCCGUCACCUUGUUAGUGGGAUCGACCACUUCCAAAGGUGCAUGGAUAAUUUAAGACCAUCAAGAAAGUUCUUAAGCAUGCCUUUGACCUCGGCCGUCAUGGAGUUUUUCAAUGUGUCCAAAGCCACAUUGAACUCCUCACGUGAGACCGAGGUUCCCCCAUCACCCGUAGACGAGGACGGAAUCACACCGGGGUGCUCCUCCCCACCGUCUACGGUGUCAACCAUACUCUUCGGACGGCAAAGUCCUUACCAAAGAGAUGAGGCUCUGAUACCAAUUGAAAGGAUCGAUAUAGUUGACUAGAGGGGGGGUGAAUAGGCAACUAACAAUUUUCAGCUUUUCUUUACCAAUUUAAAGUUUGCAUCAAAGUAGGUUGUCCAGAUAUGCAACUAGGUGAGCAACCUAUAUGAUGCAACAACAACGAGCACACAAGCAAGCAAGAGAUGCAACACAAUAUAAGCUUGCACAAGUAAAGGUACGAGAUAACCAAGAGUGGAGCCGGUGAAGACGAGGAUGUGUUACCGAAGUUCCUUCCUUUUGAAGGGAAGUACGUCUCCGUUGGAGUGGUGUGGAGGCACAAUGCUCCCCAAGAAGCCACUAGGGCCACCGUAUUCUCCUCACCCCCUCACACAAUGCGAGAUGCCGUGAUUCCACUAUUGGUACCCUUGAAGGCGGCCACCGGACCUUUACAAACAAGGUUGAGGCUCUCUCCACAACUUAAUUGGAGGCUCCCAACGAAACCCCGAAGAUUCACCACAAUGGAAUGUGGCUCCGAAGUGACCUCUUCCGUCUAGGGUGCCCAAGCACCCAAGAGUAACAAAAUCCACACAAGAAAGUAUGGGGGAAUCAAGUUUCCUUUGGCGAGAGUGUAGAUCUAGGUCUCCUCCUUCAAUCCCUAGCAAAUCAACGAGUUUGAGUGGCUAGAGAGAGAGAUCGGGCAAGAAAGCUUCAAAGGCAUUAAUGGAGGAGAGAGAGAGAGGCGAGAGGUAGGUGAGAGGUGGGAGAAGCACCUCCUUAAAUAGGGUCCCCUCAUAUCCAACCGUUAUGCGCAGAAACCAUAGGAGCGGUACUUCCGCAAAGAUCACCGAUACAACCAGUGAAUGCGGGAAACCCCUGCUAGGGCACCAGGGCGGUACUUCCGGUGGGGCAACCGGUAGUACCGGUAUAUCGGAAUAAACCAGAACUACCAUUCCACCACCGCUCGACUACCGCUUCACAGCCAGAAGGUUUUCACCCUAGACCGGUAGUUAGAGCGGUGGUUGGGCUGGAGCUACCGCUGGACCAGCAAUUCCUGGGCGGUGGAGUUCCAGGCGGUUCUACCGCCCUGAACACCGGUAGUACCGGUUAGUCAAGACAAACCGGAACUUCUGUUCCACCACCGGUCUACCACCGUACCAGGUACAGAAGGGUGUCACCCCUGAGCAGUACUUGGGGCGGUGGUUUGGCCGGAGCUGCAUGCCAGUGGUACAACCACUCAAGAGAGCGGUACUACCGCCAUGAGCAAAACUGCACAGUCACAUAGGACAUUUGGGAACCACUCUCUCCUCGAACGGAGGGUAUAUGUGGGUGCAAAGAAUGUGUACGUGUAGUGAUUCACCCAAUACCUUCCGAUGUGGAUUCCCUCUUAAUAGUACGGAUAUCCUACGACCAAAGGAAUAAAAAACAUCAGAAACUCCGUCUUCGAUCUUUUCCGCAUAGAGAGAAGGCCUAACCAUCUUGCGCCACACAAUGUGUACCUGAGAAAACUAGGACGCACGAUUAGUCCACACGAGUGUUAUCAUCAUCACCAAAAACCUAAGGCAGAAGAUGCCCUUACACAUGUUUUUUCUUCGAACGGUAAGAUACGCCAGUCAAUGAUUGAGGUAUUAUACCAUAGAAUGAGUUGAGUUGAUGAUGAUACAUAAAUAGUGGAGUCGAGUGAAUAUAUAUGUACGCACACAUGUUGCAGUCGUGGACAGAUGGGAUGAUGUGUUUGUGGACCAAUGCUGGGCGUGCUACUUGGGAAAAACAAAGGGAACCCUUUCACGAUACAAAAUGAAAAGAGUAAAUUCAUCUGCUGCAUUCAACAUGAUGAGCAGGAGCAGGUCUCGUCAUCAAUCGGAGGAGCAAAUGCAGGCGGGAAGUAAAACCGACAGAUAUACGGAGAUCCUCCAAGAGAAUCAUGCAUUACAUGCUGCCCACUUCAGCUGUCACACUUGUCCAGCAGCUGGCAGGUAAAAAGAGUUCAUUGCUACACAUGCAUGCGCCAGAGCAAAUCUGUAGCAACACGGUAGUCGUACGUGGUAGUAACUCCUGUUGUAGCACUGUGGCAAGUGGAUACAAAAGAUAGGCCAUGUAGAUAAGGCACUGUUCCUCUAGGGCUCUUGGCCGUAGCCUAUAGAGGCACCCAUGGCCACGGCUAGCCUUUGCAUUUGACGUGGUUGGACGAAAAGUGAGGGCGUGCCGCUCCGGCCGAGGCACCCACGAGUAAUAACAGUUCUGCCUUGAUCUAUAAGAAGAGGAGACGCCUGAGCUGAUCAACAAAUCAUUCGUUUGCGCCUAAAUAUAGGGCAAACCUCAUUACCUUGAGUUAUGCAUUCUUACUUAUUUAUGCUAAACUUUUUUACAUCAAAAUAAUUCGACUUGUAGUUAAAUGUAUUUUUUUUCUUGAAACAACAUUCAGUAUUACUGUGCUGAAUACUAAAAUAUUAGGUAUAAUUAGCAAAAUUAUCAAUGUAAACACACUUGUAUAUUAUGCCAAUAUACUUACUAUUACACAAUCAUUUGUUGGUAUAGUGGAUUUUCAAACAAUUUGUUGGUAUAGUGGAUUCUCAAACACACUUGUAUAUUAUGCCAAUAUACUUACUAUUAAACAAUAACAGUUUGUAUAUUUUGUCACAAUUUUCUUAUUUAGUUCAAGAUAAUUAAGAAACUAUGUUGUUAUAGUGGAUUUUCUCUAUAAAUCUUAGCAAAAAUAUAUUUCAAAUUAUGAUUUCAUAUGGUGCCUUCUUGUAUACUUAAAUAUCGCAGAGAGUAUGGAUCUAGCAAUCUAGCAAAUAACUCGAAAGAUGUUUCUAGGGUAUAGGACCAUCAAGCUUAGAUGGAAUUAAAUAGCUAAUUCUCGAUGGUAUGUGUCUACUACUCCCACCAUUCCACAAUGUAGUGCGUAUUGAUUUUUUUAAGUCAAACUUUAUAAACUUUAACCAAGUUUAUAGAAAAAACCUAUACAUCUAGAAUACCAAAAUACAUAUCAUUACAUACAUCACAAGACGUAUUUUCAUGUUGUACAUAAUUUGGCUGACUUUUCAAAAAACUAUAUGCACUACAUUAUGAAACGGAGGGAGUAGUAUUUUGUCCUUGAAUAUCGUCUUUUGUUCUCGGUUGGUGGGGCCAUCAACGCAUCGAUCGCUAUGACUUUUAUCAACACUUGAUUAAUGUGCAUAAGUGGAGCAGAGCAAGGAGAGGGUGAUCUCAAAGUCUCACCGGUCGUCUCUACAAGGGGUCGGGGUGCCGUGUAGAUUGCCACAGGCACAAUCCGGGCACGACCUUAUCCCAAUCAUUUUCAUGUGAAAAUAUUUUGAUUGCAGAUGGAAAUAGCUGCAAUUUUUAUGUAAAACGAUACCCAUGUUGUUCCUUGGCACGGUGAGAUAACCCAGUCAAUGAUGGAGGUAGCAUAUCAUAGAAUGAGUUGCGUUGAUGAUGAUACAUAAAUAGUGGAGUCGAGUGAAUGUGUGUGCAUGUACAUACGUUGCAGCUGUGGACAACACGAGGAUGGGAUCAUGUGUUUGUGGACCAUAUAUAUGAGGACAGGACAUGCGGAUAUUAUAUGGAUGAUAUGCAAGCCAAGGACCUCACCUCAUCCGGAUGGAGAGGCGGCAACCAAUGGGGCGCCGGCAUCCAGAUUUGGUUACCCUUCAUCCUGGCCACCCGAUCCUCCUGCUCUUGUGGAUAUAAAACCAGCCAACCAGCAGCUUGCCUCGUCUAGCUCUAUCUACCUACGUACGCUGCCACUCUUUCCCAACCACUUACUUAGCUAGCUAGCAGCCAUGGCCGCCCUCUCCUCUGCAGCGGUGUCCGUCCCUUCCUUCGCCGCCAAGGCUGCCACCCCCAUGCGCAGCAGCAGGAUGGUGGUGCGCGCCUCCCUGGGCAAGAAGGCGGCGAGCGCCGCGGUCGCCGUGGCGGCCAGCGCGAUGCUGCUGGGCGGGUCGGCGAUGGCGCAGGACGUGCUCCUGGGCGCCAACGGCGGCGUGCUGGUGUUCGAGCCCAACGAAUUCAGCGUCAAGUCCGGCGAGACCAUCACCUUCAAGAACAACGCCGGGUUCCCGCACAACGUGGUGUUCGACGAGGACGCCGUGCCGUCCGGCGUGGACGUCUCCAAGAUCUCCCAGGAGGAGUACCUCAACGCCCCAGGCGAGACCUUCUCAGUCACGCUCACCGUCCCCGGCACCUACGGCUUCUACUGCGAGCCGCACGCCGGGGCCGGCAUGGUCGGAAAGGUCACCGUCAACUAAGCUAUCUUCUAGUAGCUCCCUGUCCUGUCCUUGAGAAUUUGGGUCCAUUGUUGAUCGGUCAGACCGGAGGUGUGUCAUGCAUGCAUAUUGAUUAAUUGUACGAACGUACGCUAUAUGUAUAUGUUUUCUAUAAGAUGAGAUGAGGCUCUUGAUGAUAAGUAAUCCUUCUUCUUAGCUUUGAUUUGUAUGCUUAAUUAUUUUUUCAAUUUGUUGUCGAAAAUUAGCCGCGGUGGCACGCGAUUAGUAUGCCGGUGUUAUGGCAAUUAAUACUUGUCAUGUUCUCGUUACUCAUCCUUCAUGUUUUCUCUGAUAUACGAUGUG